rnacentral:lncRNA from 1 species
AAGAAUCAUCCCUCUUCUUUCUCUUUUCUUUCCCCCUCUUCCUCCUACCUUCAUCCUCAUCAUCAGAAUCACUAAUUCCUCUCUUCCUACUACUCCUUUUCUUUGACCUCCCUCUCUUUGUCUUUCUCUCCCCAUAAUCGGAUUCAGAGCUAUCAUCCUCAUCACUCAUCUUCUUCUUUGAUGAUUUCUUCCCUUUCCUAGAAACCUUCUUCCCAGAUCUUUCAGCAAUAAUCCUCUCAAUAUCCGAAUCCACAUCAGAGUCCGAACUCUCACUCUCCUCGUCCUCCUCUUCUUCACUCUCCAUCUCCUUUUUCCCAUUCAGUUUCCCUCCUUUCAACUUAUCAAGUCCAUUCAAAACCGCAGCCUGGAUCGCUUCAGGGUCUUUCUCCUUACUCUCCUUCAAACUCACGAAAUUCUUGCACUGAAAAGUAAGGUGACCAACACGCCCACACUUCUUACAAGCUCCACGAGCCUCAUCUGCAUUCGAACCCGUGAUCCGGGCAAGGGCUAGAAGCCCUUGAAAGCUAGCGUAUGCGUUUUCACCAUCGGGUUCAGCAGCGGCAGUCAUCUGACUCGAUGAAUUUUUUGAAUCAUCUUUAUUAGGAGCAUAAGGGUCAUACCCGAUUGCACUUUGCCAAAUCCCGUGGGUUUGCAAGGCGGCGCUACUAUGCACCCGGUUGUUCGCGGGCAUUCGAACCCUCCCUGCGGUGGCCGGCAUCUUUUAGGGAUUGAGAUUACCCUAAUUUUGGGGAAUCAGAGUUUUCUUCUGAUGUAGGGUGGAGAAUUGAACUUCGCUUGCUUCAAGAAUCUGAAAGAAAAUAGUUAGGGUUUCAUAUUAAAAAAAUUAGAAAAGUAGACAUACAUUUAGGGUUUUUUCUUCUGAAAAAACAAAAUUGGGGUUCUUACCUGAGAGCGGAAUUGAUAAUCGAAGAGGCGAACAAAGUGAAAGAAAAUCGAGAGGAAUGAGAGCUGCGCUCUAAUGGAAAGAUGAGAUUUUGGGUUCUGGAUUUGAGAUUUUUUCCGAAGUUUUAUACUUUAUGUUGGUAUAUAUAUUUAAUAGAUGGUUAAAACUUAAAACCGCCCACUAAAAAUAAAGUCGGUAAAAGGAUAUGAUUUGAAAAGGGAAAGGGCGUAUUAAGUUUUUAUAAGGAUUCUUCGUUAAUAAACGACGUAGUAUGCCUUCAAAUCUUCGUUUGAUUAUUUCCCAAAAAAGUAAUUAAAAGGCUUUUUACUUGAAUAGUGAAUAUUGUCGAUUUGUUUUUCACUUUUUAAAUUAAAAGGUAAACUAUAUUCAAGGCCGCUAAAUUAUUAGUAAAUUUAUGUUUUGGUCACUCAAUUUCAAAAUGUUACAAAAUGAUCAUUGAACUAUUUGAAAGUUUUCAUUUAAGUCAUUAGUUUUUUUUUUUAAGUUUGGUUAGUGAGCUCCAAGCGACGAGAUGACAACCGAUAUAAUGGAUCAAUGAUCUUUCGUUUUUCUGUGCAUCAAAUUAAGUUCUUUUGACACUUAAAAAGCUUGUUCUCAAGUGUUUUAUGAAGCUUUUUGCUGUUUUUUAUUACUUAUUAGAUAUUACAUUAGAAGUUCGUCUUAUUGCGUUUCUUUUACUUUUGAGACCCAAAUUGACAAAAUUAUGUCAUUGGAAGUCUAAUGAUUGAUUUCAGCUUGUGUAUGGAGCCGAUUGACGCCAAACAUUAAAAAGGACUUUUACUAUGGUCGAGGUCAACACAGAAGCUUGUGUGUUGCGACACUGACCCUCCCACCACCUCGAGGAAAUUGAACUUCAUCAAAACUCAACCUAGAGUAGCCUAUUGUGGACACUGAAGCCUAACGGGUGAAAAGAUGCAGGGACAAUUUUGUGUUCAAGUAAUCUUAAGUCACUUUUCAUUUAAGGGCAUAAUUAUCAAUGCUAGGUUAAAUACUUUUUGCCUACAAAUACCACAUUAUGUCAACUAUUUGGGUGGCUAGCUUAGGUUAGAAAAUUAGGUUAGACGUUAGAAAAUAUUUACUCUCCUUUUCUUAGUUUAGGUUUUCAUUUUUCUUUUCUCUUCUUUUUCUUUUCUUUUCUUUUUUGUUGUAGAAUUUUUAUUUCUUCACUUUUGCUAGAACCUUGUGGAUGACAAUGGAUUAAACUCUCGUGUUCCAUCAAAUUUUUAUCUAUUAAUAAGCAUCUUCUCAAUCUUUAUCUUCUGUAUUUUAUGCCUACCAUGUGUUUGUUAAAAUACUUGUGUGGAAUCUAAGUUUAAUCAUGUGCUAAAUCAUUUUAUUAGUUGGUUGAUGAGUGUGUUACUUAACUAAGUUAUUAUCUAUGCCUUAACUAGUUGUUUGUUCAAGUGUAUUAAAUUGCAUAUUAAAAUAGAAUUAACGCCUCUUGUGGAAGAUCUAGAUAGAUGAGAUCGGUAGGAGACUUUACCAUAUAAGACUUUAACAUGUUUGUGUCGAAUAGUGAGAUUGAGAGGAGAUCUAUAUGCCUAAGUGAGACUGAGAGUAGAGCUUAAGUGGUAUCUUUUAGUUUAAGAUGAGACUAAGAUGAGAUUCCUAGCUAAGAAGGGCAAACAAUAUAAUCAUCAUAGGUUUAUUAGCUUAGUUAGUAAUUCAUGAAACAUUCGAUUAUCAUUUCAAUCCAUUUGUAUUGUUUCUAGUAAAAAAGAAUAAAAGUAGUUUGAUAUUUUUAUUUGUUAAUUUAGAAUUAGUUUAAAUCUCAUUUUAUUUGGUUGCACUAAUGAUUUUCGACUCAACUAGAUUAGUAAUUGCUUAACUCGUAAUUAAUUUGAUAACAUUUACUAAUUUGACAAUCCCUUGGGUUCGAUCCUUGGAGUACUCCGUGUGUUCAAUUAUAACACAUAAAUAUUACAACUGAUUUGUCACACUUGCAGUAAAAGUCGCUUUUAAAUCUUUAUAUUUUAUGCUAAUUCUUUACUCGGUGUUCGUACAAAGGGACCAUUUUUCUUAGACCUUUGUUUCUUUUUAUAUUUAGAUGAAUGGUUCACUGAUAGAAUCUUUUCAGCCUAAGAGAGGUCUAAGACAAAGGGACCAUUUUUUUGGUAUGUAUACAGGGUCUUUCGACAAUGUUGAGUUAAGAGUAGGAUUUUGGCAGGACUUAUGGGGUUAGGGCUAGCCAGACUAAGCUUGAGAUUAACCACCUCUUCUUUGCAGAUGACAACCUUCUGUUUAUAGAGAACUCGAUAGCUAAGGCUAGACGUGUUAGGAAUGUUCUUCAUCUUUAUGAGGUGGGUUCAAGGCAAAAUGUAUAUUUCGGUAAGUCUCUUAAUUACUUUAGUCUCAAUACACUUGUUGAGUAACAAGGUUCUAUCUAAACCAUGUUAGGUGUUCAAGAGGAGUCUAGCGUGAUAGAUAUUUGGGUAUGUCGCUUCUAAUUAGUAAGGAUAAAAUUUUUGUCUUUUAAUACAUCAUGGACAAAGUUCAAAAGCAUGCCUAGAGUUGGUCUAAAUGUUUGCUUGGCUAUGGUAGUUGUGAGGUGUUCAUUAAAUUGAUUCUACAACCUAUUUUGACGUAUAUUAUGUCUUACUUCUUACUCAUUUUGUUAGUUACUAAUGCUAUUGUUUCAAUUAUAAGAAAAUAUUGGUGGGCUAGCAAAGUGGAUAACUGAGGGUGGACUAUGUUAGAUUAGGACACGUAGUAAAUCGAAGGAAAUGAGUGGAAUCGGGUUAAGAUAUUUUUACCUUUUCAAUCCAUCAUUGUUAGGUAAACAAGUUUGAAGGUUUUUGCAUAAUAAAGACUAUUACAAGGUCUUUUAUGUGAAAUAUUUCACUAAUGGUAACAUCUUUGAUGCUAAAGUGGUUGAUAAGCUUUUAUAUCUUUUGUCUAGUAUUUCACAAGUUAUUGAUUCACUUUCACCAGGUUAUUUAUGGGGGUUGAGUAAUGGUUAUUAGAUUCGAUCUUUUGAGGAUAAUUGAUGGGCCUCUAGCCCUAUUGAUCUUUCAGUUUCUUAUGAACAUCAUGUUGGGCUAGAGAUAAGGCCAAAAGAUUUGGUGGUCAAUAACUCUUCAUCUUGGGUCUUGGAGGGGUUAAAAUAUGUCAUAGGUCAUUCUACUAUUUACAGAUUUACAAUUUAGCCCAUGUACUUUUAUUUACAGAAAUUUAGUCCUUCUACUUUUCAAAUUUCAAAAUUUAGGUGCAAUUGUUAACACUAUUAUUUUUUUUGUUCACUUUGUUGGUAUGAAAUUUUGAAAUAAAUAAAAAAAACUUUCUUAGUAGCAAUGUAACUAGUAAAUGACAUUGUAAUAAAUCUGAAUUUUAACAAAAUAAUUUUAACAAUGUUAAUAAUUGAUAGCAAUGUAACUAAUAAAUGGCGUUCUAAUGAACCUAAAUUUUAACAAAAAUAAUUUUAACAAUGUAAAUAGUUGGACUUGAUUUUUGAAAUAAAAAAAUUAGAGGGAUAAAAUUCCAAAUUUACGAAGAGUACAAUGACUUAUUCAUAUAUUUUAACUGAGUCGAAGGUGGUCCACAACUUGUUUUCUGAUAGUUUGAGGGUAUGCAAGCUCUAGGGGCCAAUGCGACGCACAUUGUGUAUAAGUAACUGCUUUUAAUGAGUUGGGUGAUAGUCCUCAUAGAGAGUUCUAGUGUUUCAUUUAAAAGAUUAAGGUUGCGUUUGGUUUUUGAAAAUAUCUUCUAUGCCCAUAACCUAUUUUCAAUUUUAGAAAAUAGUUUUUGUUUUUUAAAUAAAAACAUGUUCAAUAAAUAGAAAUAAAGUUUAUUUUUAAUAAUGAAAAUAUGAAAGCAUGUUUAGUAUCUAUUCGUCUAUAAUAGUAAUAAAAGAAAUAAAAUAAAAUAAAUUUACAUACCAAAUUUAAUAUUUGAAAAAUUAUUUGAAAAAAAGAAUACUUUUAUGUUUAUAUGGGUUUGAACCAAUGCGAAUUCAUUUUGUUAGAAUUGAGUGACCCGAAUCAUUGUUAAAAUAAAAGACAGUGGUAAAAUAAAAUAACAGUAAAAUCCAUAUAGAACUACACUUCUUUUAUUUUAUUUUAAAAUAAGGUUUUUUAACCCUAUUACACUUCAUCUAUUUGAUAUUGAUUAGAACAAGAUGUUUCAACCUUACUAAACUCAUUCUAUUGGAAUAUGAUUUUUCAAGCCUAUAAAUAGAUAUAGUCUACUCCUCUUGUAUUCAUUCGAAUUUGACAUAGUGGAUUAUCUUCUCCUCUAUUCGUGACUUUUUUUCUGAAAGGGUUUCCAUGUAAAAAUCUGUGUGUUCUUUAUUUUUCUCUCUUUUCUUUGCUAUACAUUUUCAUUAUCGAUGUUCUAUUUUUAACAAAUUGGUAUCAGAGCUUUCAAGUUGUUUAUUUCAAUCACGAUAAUGACUUCUUUAAAGUAUGAAAUUCCUCUGUUGGAUAGCAACACCAAGUUCGCGUUGUGGCAAAUAAAGAUGUACGCAGUUUUUGCGCAGAUGGACUUAGAGGAUGCGCUACUAGGGAUAGAUAAGAUGCCUUCAACAUUGACGGAGGAAGAAAAGAUGCGUAAAGAUCGAAAGGCCUUAACACAGUUACAUCUGCAUUUGUCUAACGAAAUUUUACAGGAUGUGAUGAAGGAGAAGACCGCCACUGCAUUAUGGAAGAAGCUAGAACAAAUAUGUAUGUCGAAAACUUUAACCAGCAAGCUGCAUAUGAAGUAGCGUAUUUAUGCUCAUUGUUUGGAGGAAGAUGCGUCUAUGCACAAACACUUAACAAUGUUUAAAGAAAUUCUCUCAGACUUGGAGGCCAUGGAGGUUCAGUAUGAUAAGGAAGAUCUAGAGUUGAUUUUACUUUGUUCGUUGCCUCCGUCUUAUUCAACCUUUAGAGACACGAUUUUGUGUAGCUGCGAGUCUCUCACAGUUGAUGAGGUUUAUGAUUCUUUGACCUUGUAUGAUAAGAUGAAACAUCUUGUGGUUAAACUCGACUCUCAAGAGAGGGUCUCAUUGUUCGUGAGAGACAAGAUUAGAAUGAUGAUGAUGAUGAUGAUGAUAAUGAUCGUGGAUGGACACAUGAAUGAAAUCCUAGCAAUAAAUCUAAGGGUAGAUUGAAGUAUUCAAAUAUGGGAAAAACUUGUAACUUUUGUAAGAAGAAAGGACACAUUAAAUUUGAGUGCUAUAAGCUGCAGAACAAGAUCAAAAGAGAGGCUACGAAUUAGAAGGGAAAACAACCAGAAAAAUCUGAUGAAUCUGAUGUUGUAGAAGACUACAGCGAUAGUGAACUCUUAGUCUCUUUUGCCAACAAUUUUAAAGUGAGCGAUGAGUGAAUCCUUGAUUCGGGCUACCUUCUAUAUGAGUCCUAAUCGGAAUUGGUUUACAAAUUACGAAAUAGUGUCUAAAGGUGUUAUUUUGAUGGGAAAUAAUACUUCGUGUAAAAUUGCAGGUGUUGGAACAAUUAAAGUUAAGAUGUUUGACAGAGUUGUUAGAACACUUAGUGACGUGCGACAUGUUCCAAAGUUGAAGAGAAAUUUGAUUUCGUUGAGUACUCUUAAUUUAAAAGGGUACAAAUACACAGCUGAAAGUGGGGUUUUGAAGAUCUUCAAAUGUUCCAUUGUUGUGAUGAAAUGGCAGAGAAAGACUGCUAAGUUAUAUAUUUUACAAGGUUCUACUAUUACUGGUGAUGCAGCUGUCGCUUCCUCUUCUUUGUUAGAUGAUGAUGUUACUAAAAUUUGGCAUAUGCGCCAUGGCAGAAUUGAGCAAAAGAGGACUUUUUGAUAGGCAAUGAAUUUGUAAACUGAAGUUUUGUGGGCACUGCAUUUUUGGGAAGCAAAAGAGAGUUCGAUUCAGUAGAGGAAUCCAUAACACAAAGGGAACAUUAGAGUAUAUUCAUUCUAAUCUGUGGGGGUCAUCUAGAGUGCCUUUGAGAGGUUGAGCUAAUUAUAUGCUAACACUUUUGAUGAUUUUUCCAGAAAAGUUUAGGCAUUUUUCUUGAAGCAGAAAAGUAAUGUGUUUUCUGCAUUUAAGUCUUGAAAAACUAUGAUUUAGAGUUCUGUUCUAAUGAGUUUAAUGAACUGUGCUAGUCAGAAGGGAUCGUGAGACACUUGAUAAUUCAUCAUACUCCACAGCAAAAUGGUGUUGCAGAACGAAUGAAUAGAACAAUUAUGGAGAAGGUUCAAUGUAUGUUGACUAAGGUUAACUUACCAAAGUCGUUUUGGGCCGAAGAAGCCUCUACUACAUUUUUUUGAUCAACCGAUCUCUAUCCGUUGCCAUUGAGAAAAAAAACUCCACAAGAGGUAUGGUCUGACAAUCCUACUGGCUAUUUUGACUUAAAGGUCUUUGGGUGUCCUGCGUAUGCUCAUGUUGAUAAUGGAAAAUUGGAACUGAGAUCCAUUAAAUGUGUUUUUCUUGGUUAUAAAACUGGUGUAAAAGGGUAUAAGUUAUUGUGUAAUGAAAAUAGAAAAGUUGUGAUUGGCAGAGAUGUUUUUGAUGAAACUGCUAUGCUACCUAACUUAUCUAUUAAAAACUCUUUCAAUAAAGAAAAUUAAAAGAAGGUGGAGUAUCAGAUUAAUCCAGAAUCUACAACAAAGUAGACUCUUCAAGCUAAUACAAAAAUUCAGAAUAGAGUUACUUCUUCACCACAAUACUCUAUCGCCAAAAAUAGAACUAGAAGAGAAAUUAAACCUCCAAAGAAGUAUGUCGAGGUUGAUCUAGUUGCUUAUGCUUUAAAUGUGGCUGAAGAUAUAUAUGCAAACCAAGAGCCAUCUAAUUAUUCUGAGGCGGUUAGCUGUGAAGACUCAGAAAUGUGGAUGUUUGCUAUGAAAGAGGAGAUGGAAUCACUCCACAAAAAUAGAACAUGAGAUAUUGUAAAACUUCCUAAAGGUAAAAAGGCUGUUCGUUGUAAAUGUGUGUUUAAAAAGAAAGAAGAGACUCUAGGAGUUGAAGAACCCAAAUAUAAAGCAAGGCUUGCUGCAAAGGGUUACAGUCAAAUUUCAGGUGUGGACUUCACGGAUGUGUUCUCCUGAGUUGUGAAGCAUAGUUCGAUUCGAGCUUUGCUCAAUAUUGUGGCCAUGCAUGAUUUGGAGCUUGAGCAGUUAGAUAUAAAAACUGCAUUUUUGCAUGGAGAACUUGAGGAGGAUAUUUACAUACAACAACUAGAGGGCUUUACAGUCUCAAAAAAAAAGAACUAUGUUUGCUUUCUGAAAAAGUCCUUUUAUUGUUUGAAACAGUCACCGAAGAUAGUGGUACAAGAGGUUUGAUUCUUUUAUGACUUCUCAUGAUUUUAAAAGAAGUAGCUUUGACAGUUGUGUUUACUUUAAGAAAAAUAGUAAUGGUUCUUUUGUGUAUCUACUCAUUUAUGUUGAUGACAUGUUGAUAGCAGUGAAAGAUAAAUGAGAGAUAAGAAAGGUCAAAGCCCAACUAAGUGAAGAAUUUGAGAUAAAAGAUUUGGGACCGGUAAAGAAGAUACUUGGUAUGAAGAUUCUCAAAGAUAGAAAAUCAAGUAAAUUGUACCUAAGUUAGAAGGAGUACAUUGAGAAAUUUCUUUGCAGGUUCAAUAUGUAGAGUGCUAAACUUGUUAUGUAUGCUAUGGUUUGUUUACAUCCAGAUUUAUCAUAUGCAAUCAGUGCAGUUAGCAGAUACAUGGCGAAUCCUGGUAAAAAACAUUGGAAAGCAGUUCAGUGGAUUUUUGGAUACUUAUGAGGUACCAUUAAUGUUUGCUUAUAGUUUGGAAGAAUUAGAGAUGGAAUCAUUGGGUAUGUUGAUGUUGAUUUUUUCGGAGACCUUAAUAGAAAAAGAUCUCUCACAGGCUAUGUCUUUACAAUUGGAAGUUGUGCAAUCAGUUGGAAAUCCACUUUGCAAACUACAGUCGCUUUGUCUACCACUGAAGUUGAGUACAUGGCAAUUACUGAGGCUUGUAAAGAAGCCAUUUGGUUGAAGGGACUCUUUAGUGAACUCAAUGAAGACCUUUAAAUCAUUACAGUAUUUUGUGACAGUCAGAGUGCCAUCUUUCUUACAAAAGAUCAAAUGUUUCAUGAAAGAACAAAGCACAUUGAUGUUCAGAAUCAUUUUGUUCGUGAUAUUAUUGCUUGUGGUGAUAUUAUUGUUAGCAAAAAUAGUACUCAUGCAAAUCUUGCAGAUAUGAUGACUAAGUCACUUCCCAUAACCAAGUUUGAGCAUUGCUUAGACUUGGUUGGUGUUCAUUGUUAAAAAAACCCCUUAAGGGGUUUCAUGGAAGAGGUGGAGAACUUAUUCGUUGAGAGUUCGUGGUGAAGAACUUGUUCAUUGAGAAUUUGUGUCAAGGUGGAGAUUGUUAGAAUUGAAUGACCCAAAUAAUUAUUAAAAUAAAACACAGUGGUAAAAAAAAAAGAAAGUAAAAUCCAUAUAGAACUAUACUUCUUUUAUUUUAUUUUAGAAUAAGGCAUUUCAACCUUAUUACACUUUAUCUAUUUGAUAUUGACUAGAAUAAGAUGUUUCAACUUUACUACACUCCUUUUAUUAGAAUAUGAUUUUUCAAGCCUAUAAAUAGACAUAGUUUACUCCUCUUGUAUUCAUUCGAAUUCGACAUAGUGAAUUAUCUUCUCCUAUGCUCGUGGUUUUUUUUCGAAAGGGUUUCCACGUAAAAAUCUGUGUGUUCUUUAUUUUUCUUUCUCUUUUCUUUGCGAUACAUUAUCAUUAUCGACGUUCUAUUUUUAACACAUCUAAAAUUAAAAACUCUUGUUUUCAUCAUGUUCAGUUUUACAAAAGCAUUUUUAAUGAAAACAACUUUUUAUUUUUUUUAAUUUCACACGUUUUUAUUUUCCAAAAAUCAUUUUUUUAAUUCUUUAGUGAUUCCAUUUUUCCAAAAAAAAAAAAAGAAAACGAAAAUGACAUCUAUUUUUCUGAAACCAAACGGAGCCUAAGACUAUCCAAAAAUUAAAUUGUUUGGGUAAAGACUUGGGUAUGAUAUUUUACCUACAGCGCCAUCCAAUGUCAUGUGAUCCUACUUGUAAGAGAUGUAUGAAUCGUUUGGAGUACUGAUUGGAACUCCUUACACUUUAGGAGUUGCAUGAGAGUCUCUUGGGUGGUUAUUACACAUAUUGCAUCGGUCGACUUGAAAAUGCUACAAAAGCCACAAAUAUUCAUGGUUUCACUAGUUUGAUUGUUUUGCUUUGGCAAAUAUGAAAUAUAUGAGUUUGCCAUGCAGGGAAGACAACUUCUAAAUGGCCUUUGAUCAUGCACAAUCAUUGAAAGUUGACUUUUGAUUGCACAAUUAUGUUUGCCACCCGAUUCUUCCUACACAACCACAAAAUGUGAAGUGGGCUCUACCUAUUAGGCUUAUUGAGGAUACUACUUAAUUCCCGAGUGACCAUAAUAAGAGUGUGGUUAUGGUGUGGUUGGCUUUGUUCUUGAAGGCCUUGCACGUCCGAAUCGAGAAGUUUUUUUUUUUGCAAAGCUUGUAGAGGUGAGGCUCUUCACUUUGGCUCUCUAAUUUGCUAGAGAUAGAGGCUACUCCAACAUUGUGAACUGAUCGAGAUGGACUCCAUUUUUGUGGUUAAUAAGUUCAUUUUAGUGACAUUAACUUAUCCUUACGCCGCAUUCACCUAUUAGAGGCUCGUGACUUUAUUAAUUUGUUUGAUUCGAUGUCUUCUACUUUUAUUAAUAGAAUUGGUAGCCUUGUUGUGCAUCAUUUAACUAGAUGGAUGGAUUGCUGAGAUGAUGUUUUUUUAUGUUGGUUUUGAUUAUCAAUUGGUUAUUCAUGAUUUUUUGAUAAAAGAUGCUAUGAAUACUUAAUAAAAUAGUUUCGUACUUCAAAAAAAAAAGAGGGGGGACUGACACAUUGAACAAAUUUGUUAAGUUUGAAUGUUGUUGUCGUUUUUUUAUAUCAAUCCUGCAUACGAGUAGAAAAUGAACAGAAUAUACGUGAUUUCACAAAGGCUCAGUAAUGCCACUUUCUAAUUUCUAUUGAAAGGCAUGACCAACAGAAAGGCAAUACUAUCUAAUUAGUAUUUGGGACCCAAACAAAAUUCCCACUCAAGCAUUAACCAAUUUUUGUUUCAUAUAAAAAAAUGUUUGUUGCACCCUAACCUGAAACAAGUGCAGAGAAAUAACUGCUGUUAAGAUACAAAAUAACUUCACGAAAACACAAUAAAAAACACCAUCUGUUGAUUAAAACCACAUUACUUGAGUCUAAUCAUAGUCAGGAUAUCUUGUAGAAGCAAACAUUGUCUACUACUAAGCACCAUUGGAUAUGCAUAUACUCAAAGAUGCUAUAACUAGGAAUGCACUAAAACCUCAAUCGCAGUAACCAGGAACUAUGUAUAACUAGGGUGUUAGGGAAAGUGUUGUGUGUAAGUUAAUGUAGAUUUCUUACAGUAAAGCAGAGUAGUCUUCAGAAAAUUUGCGUUCCAUUCGCAAAUAUUCAAGCUUGAAAUCAGGAAAGCUAAGCAGAACUCCAUAUUUGUCUAGAGAAAAACAUUAUCAUGAUGAUAUUAGUACUCUUUCAAGCCAAAAAGUUUAAAAGUGGUAAUGGAAUGACAAAUCAACUAUGGACUUAUCAAGAGCUAACUGAUAAGUCAUAAUCAUAUGAUUAUUUUAAGUUAUAUUUUAUUUACAUUUGCUUAGUUUCUUGAGUGUUUUUAUACAUUUUAGAUCCAUUUGAUUUGAUUUGAUUUUUUUUAAUGUUUGCAUUGUAAAUAGUGUUUUUAGGGUUUUUCACGCAUUUAAUUUUAAUAAAAUAUUUCGUGUGGAAUUUGUAGGUAAAACAAAUUUGGGAAGAAUAUGUCAAUACAUGGAACCAUGAGAUUAAAUGCACUAAACCUAAAGUUGAUCCAAGAUGCCAAGUGGAUGUCCAAUGCUCAAAGAAUCAAAAUUUGUAAUUUGAACACAUUCAAAAUUUCCAACCAAAACACUUCUUAGUGUUUCGAUCAUUUCUCGAGCUCUAGGACUCCAUUUUAGGUGUACCUUAUAUCGUCAGAAAGGGAGUUUGAAGAUCUAUAAAAUAUAGGAACACCAAUACCAAAAUGCAUCAGGAAGAAAUCCAAAAGUAAAGAGAAAUUUACAAAUUUCACAUUGAUGGACAGUUUUGAUGCAUUUUUGUGUUUGGAUCAUAUCUCCUAACAUACAUGGAGUUUGGAGCUGAAAUUUUUAUAGUGAAUGUACAAGAUGCAAAACAUCAAUCAACUUUCUUGGACUUUUCCCAUUGGGAGACGUUAACUUAGACGAAAGAAGUCAUCAAUUAACAUAUCAAAAAUGACUCAAAAGAUGACAAAGAAGGUGACCUAGAAAUUUAUAACUAGCAAGUCCUUUGCAUUGUCAUUUUCCUCUUCAAAAACCUCUAUAAAUAGCCUUUUGUUUCAGAAUAAGAGGCAUCUUGAAGUUGAGAUCAAGAUCAUUUUCUUGUUAGUAUUUGUUUGGUUCUUUAUCCUCAUAAAAUCUCAAGUUUCUUAUAUCUAAUAUGCCUUUUUCAUAUAAGUUUGAGUUGUUUAAUUUUGUUAUGUUAUUCUAAGUUUUUAAUGCUGAGGUAAAAGGGAGAAACUCUUGGCAAAUAUUAAGUCAUAAUUUGAGUUAAAAUUAAUUAUCAAUCACUUGCUAUAAUCAUACAUGUAAAAUAAGAUCAUUUAUUUGUUAUAGGCAAUAGAUGACAUAAUGAAUGCUUGGAUAAAUUAACCUUAAUUUGUUGUAGACAUAAAAAAAUUGACAUAAUAAAUAUUUGAAAUAUUUUUUUAUAAGUUUUGAAGUUAUCAAGUGAUUAUAAGACCAUAUGUUAUAUUUUUGGGUUGAACUUAAAUAAUUGAACUUUCAUAUUGCACCAUCCUUUGCUUAUGGAUUCAUUUGCUAAACUCUUGGGCUUUUGGACAAUCAUAUUGGACACUCCUUUGAUGGACAUAUCUUUCCUCAUGGAUUCAUAUGCCUAAUUAUUGGACGUAUAUUGCUAGAUUAUCCGAUUGGGAUCUCCAUUUUGUGUGGAUUCUAAUUGAGUAAUAAUAUUGAGUACUAAAAUUUAAUAUUAAUAUGACACCAAGAGUUGAUCCUCUAUCGUAAACAUAUUUUCUUUCAAGUAUUUGUUUUUAUUAUUUUUAGUUAAUUUCUUUUGUUGAUUUUUAUUUCUAGUGUUUCUUGUUCCUACUUUCAUUUUAGACCCUACCUGCACUUUGGUUAUAGAACUAAAAAGUCUCCGCACUAACUUACUCGUACAUGGAAAAGAAGGGCAAAAAUUUGAGAUGCAGAAGACUGGCUCCACAGUUGGACACUAAGAUCAAAGGUAGGCUUUCUACUAUCGGGCAUUCAAACAUAAUAAACCACAAGUACAUCAUAAAAGCAUAAUUGACCACCAAUAUUAUACUCUGAAUGAGAUAAUACAUCAUUUUUCUCUUACUUGGACUCGUAUCUGUUUUCCAUUCCAAUACAGAGCAAUAUGAGAAAUCCUCAAAAUCUUACAUAACUGGCUAACAAAAGAAAUGCAGCAGUUAGUAAACUAAAGUAUUUAAUCUUGAUUGAUGAAAAAGGCACAAGAACUUGAACAUUAACUAGUCUAAAAGCCUAAAUUGAAGUAUUUUUUUAUUAGUGAAAAGCCAAAUUAGAAGUAAAAGUAAAAAGGAGUUAGACAAAUUCUUUCAUCUACCUCAAAAGCUAAAGCAACAAAAAAAUCUUGCAAUUAAGUUACUUUCGCAUUUUGAUUUUUACAGAAGAAAUUAAACAUAAAUUGCUUUCAGACCAUAGUCAAUACUCAAUCUGUUUACCAUUAAACCUAACAUAUUCCAUUUUUCAGAAGAAAAAAAAUCUAAAACUAGAAUCUUUCCCUUUUUUCCCUUAUGUUAUAUUGAGAAACAACCACUGAUUUAAAAGCCUCCUGUUAAAUAUUGAUUUAAUUAUAAUCACAAGUUUUGAUAUCUCACAAAAAGAUCUAUAACAAUGUUCUCAAAGGGACAAAGCGCAUUAAAGAUGUUAGAAACUUUAUAUUCCCAUAGGCACAAGGAGCAAGAAAAAGCUUUCACUUCACUGAAGGUGCAAUAUACAUAUAUGUGUGCCUAUGCAUAUAAACAAAAUAAGCUUAAGGUUAAUAAUUUGAUACAAGCAUGCAAAUUUUCUUUUGUUGAUGAAUAUGCAUGAUUUCCCUAUGGUUGCAUGCAUUUUGUUGAAAACUUGAACAUUGAGAAGUAGAGAGAUCGAUAUUAUCUCUUUUCUGCUAAUAAAGGUACAUGAUUUCCCUAUGUGCACCUAAUCACACGCGCCUUGCCCAAAAUGGCUUAAGGUGCUCUUGUUGUCUAGUGCUAAGCAUAAAGCCUAGGUACGCUUUGAUGCACACCUUAAAAGCACUAUUCAUAGUGCAUUAAUAUGAAUUUAAAUAUUCUCGUACUGCCUACAUACAUUAUCUCACGUAACAACCCUACAAAACACCAACAUCACAAAAGAUUUAUUAGUCUUUACUAGCUUAACUAUUAAAUUAACAAAUUUUACAUCCUACAUAUGAAGCAGAGCCUUAAGAAAUUAUUAGCCUUUAAACUAUGAGAAACAAUUCCCUCCUCAACACAACUAACAUAAAACGAAGGCUAAAAAUAAACAUUACUGCAAUGAUCCAAAUCCAAUUGAGAAAUAUGCUUUCAUGUGAGCUUUAUACUUAGCAUCUGGAUAUCCACACAUAUUCAUAAAAAUAAAAUGCAACAGGUCAACAUAUAUGUAUCCAGAAGGAGCUUGACAUGCAAAUUAGGAUGAAGGAAAGAACAUAAAAAGCUUGCAUGAUUUCUAUCGUAAGCAUAGUUAUUGACCAGCUUAUUGCAUGUACUAGUCGCUGUACAUAAAAUGCUCAAUCAGAGCCCACUUACCAAGCACAUUACUAGAUCCUCAUUACACAACCUUUUGAGCUGUAAUAAGGAGUUUGAGACAAACAAAUGCUACUAGUAAAUCACUAAGAACCAGAGGCAGAGGCAUAUCUCAUUACAUAACUUUUAGAUGUGUGAAUAGACAAAUUAUAGAUGUCUGACAAUUCACUUCAUCUUGACAAAUUACCAUAAACCAAAACGAUUCCAAAUUACCAUCCUCAGUAAUCCUGCUUCGAAUGACCAUCAAAACGAACAAGUUACACCUGUUCUAUUCUUAAUCAGGAAACAACUAAUAGUAUGGAAACCAAAGUAAGAUGUGAUUAACAACCUAGUUGAAAGCAUCAUAUUUCACAACAUAUGAUUAGGCUUUGUAUCCAUAUUCGACAAUCAGUCUAGUAUUGUUUUACACAAUUGAAUACAAUGUGCUUGUUAGAAACAUAUCCAUUUAAGAUUUAUAUUCAUGAAAAGCUAUACGGGCAUAAAACAAAAGUAACUAGUCUUUUCUAAAAAGAUAUGUAUGAGUGAAGUGGAUUUUAAAAGUAAAAUAUAAAAUUACUCAAAAUUAAAAUUCAUCUAUAUAUACAUUGAAUCUUUAGGGGGAAAAUCUAUAUAUUGAAUUUAUCCCUUACUGAAAAGGGAAAAUUACCCAAACUAUAGAUGGAAAUAUGAGGAAUUACCAUCAACAACUAAGUAAAAGUUAAUUGAAUUUCAAUUAGAAUAUAAAAACAAAAAUCUAUUUAAAUUGAAAUUCAAUCAUUUUUUUUAGUACUUGUCUUUAAAAAGUGUUCUAAAGGGGAGUUCUUAAAAGCAAAGUUUCUUAAAAUUUUGUUAUAAAAAAAUGGGAGAUUGUUAUCUUUGAUUUUCUAAUGUUUUGAUAUAUCAAAUAAUCUCUUAAUUGAAUUUGAUAAGUUAUAUUUUAAGAAAUUGUUUUUCAAGUUAUUCUAAGUACUUAAAAGUAAAUAAACAAUUUGAAGUAUCGUUUUAAAGAAAAUUUUCAAGUAUUUUUCUUGUAGGGUGCGAUACCCAGUCUAAAAGAGUGCGAUAUCCAAGUCGACAGUAAGCUUUUUGCCACAAGGGUAUCGAACCCUUUUGGCAAAGGAAUUAAUACCCAAGUUGGCAAAGCUUUUUGCCACAUGGAUACCAAACCCAAUGUUCUAGACCCCAAGUCCCAAAACGUUUCUCAAAUCCUAAGGUACAGAACCCCAAUUGAAGAGGUACUAGACCCCUUCCAUCUUUGGUAUGUCACAUUUUAAAGGAAGGAACUAAACCCUAAUUACCAAGGUACCAAUACCUAUGCCCUUACAAUUACAUUUAAUGCUCGAAUUAAUGUCUCUAAUAACUCAAUUUUCCUUCUAACCACUACAAACUACUACAAAUCAAUAAGAUGGUAUAAAUAGAGAUCAAGAAUACUAAGAAGUAACAAUAAUCAAGCUUACAAAGUUUAUUGCACAUAAUUCUAAUAUUUUCAUUGUAUUUCUCUUAUACACACUUCGGUAGUUAUUUCUUUCAAUCUUUUAAAUGUUGUAAAAUCUUUUGAGUGAAAUCAACCUUUGAAAGGUAUUCCUUGUUAGUCAUUUUAUUUCUCAUCUUUGUAAGGGUUUACUUAAGGUUUUGGUAGAAAACCUCAAGGGGAAGUAGCUCUAUCUUGUUUAUUGAAAAUAUAGUGUUUGUAAAGGUUAAACCUUAUCUUCAAAAGGUUUCAAAUUAGUGAGUUUGAAAAAUCCUUAGUUGUGAUAAGUUAAGGUGGUGGAGAUAAGUAAUUGAAGCCGAAUCACUAUAAAUUAUUAUGUUGAUUUUUUAUUGUCAUCUUUCUUCUAAAAUUUUAAAACACCAAGUUACUCCCUCUUGAUAUUUAUAGAGCUUUACACCAUAAAAAACAAUAAUACAUAAAUAACACAAAUAUUACAAAUGAUCUAUAAAACACUACAACCUAUUAUACAAAUGUCAGUUCUUUUAAAAAAACACAUAAUGGAAUAAAACUUAAAACUAAAACUAAAACUAAAACUAAAACCAUAAUUACUUUUAGAGAAAAGAUAAUGGAGUAUUGUUUAUGUACAAGCCUCCAUAUAGAGGUGCUCGAUGUAACUAAAUCAUUACAAAAAUCAUAGUGAAAGCAAUUAAAAACAAGACUAGAAAGAAAAAGUUAAAUUUUGCUAUUAGAUCCUAUAUUUUGCGCAAGUUGUGGGUUUAGUACCUGUAUUUUUGAUAUUUGAAAAUUUUAGUCCUAACCAAUGAUUAGUAUUAAAUUCAUUAGGUUAAGUUAUGUUAUUUUUAAAAUUUGAUGUGUCAAAUAUAUUAUCACAUGUGUAAUGCUAUGUAUGUUUGUUAUUUCCACAUAUUACUCAAAAAAAAUCAGCUAAUAGAUUUAAAAACUAUCGCUUGCAUUAAUACUAAAAUUUUGAAAUUCAAAAAAUAUAACCACUAAAAAUUAUUCAAUUGGUGAACGUGGAUUAAAUCUAUAACUUUACACAUAAUACAAGAUUAAUAACAUAUUUUAACCAAACAUAUUUAACUGCUACCAUUGGGUCAGGAUUAAAAUUUCAAAUUUAAAAAAAUAUAAGAACUAAAAUUGAUCAAAUUAAAAUAUAUAUAGAUAUACUACAUUGAUAAUUUACAUAAAAUACAGGGUUUAAUAACAGAAUUUGACCAAGGAAAAUUUAAAGAAGUGAUAAAAGGGACGUGAGAGACGUCCAUUUAGUUUUAAAUUAAUAUAAAAUAUUAACAAAAUAUAAUUCGAAUAAUCAUUUCAAUAAUAAAUGGUAUAAAAACAUUUCAGUUAUUUUUUUUAAAAAAAUUGUUAUGUAAACAUAUUUAUUCUAUAAUAAAAUAUUAAAUUUUUAUAUUUAAAAACUUAACUAUUUUUUAUUUAGUAUUUUAAAUAGAUGACUACUUUUAUUUUGAUUUGUAGUUUUUUCCAAAUAUAGUGUAUCACGUUGAUUUUUAUAAUUUAUAUGUUUUUAUUUGAUUAGAUAAUGCUAUAUUUUUUAGCGUUAUAAAUUAAUACUUUAAUGUAUCUUCUUAAUAAUUAUUUAUUUGUAACAUUUGAGAUGUUAUUAUUAUUUAAUUUUGUAAUUAUUAUUUAAUAAUUAUUUAUUAUUAUUUAAUAAUUAUAUUUCCAAUUUUGUAAAUUUUCAAAGCAAAGUUUUAUUUUAUUAUUUAAUUUGAUAUUAUUUUAUUAUUUAAUUUUUUGUGCUACAUGCAUUUUAUAUUAUUUUUUUAUUUUUUAUCUUAAUUAUAAUUUUUAUAUAUUUAAAUAAUAUCAAUUUUAUCAAAUUUAAUAAUUGAUUAACAUAUGCAGUGCAUAACUAAUAUAAUUUUGAGAUUUUUUUCAUAAAAAAAGUAUUUUAAAAAGUAUAUCAUAAUAUCUAAUCCGAUCUACUCCAAUCCAUGGCAUGGGAGUGGCGUCUCCUUUCAUUCGUGUUUUAUUCUAAAAUGUCAAAAAGUCUUUCAAGUGUAGCUCUUUCAUCUUUGCGUUGCCAAUGUCAAAUCUAAUUCAACCUUCCACCACUGACUUGCCUUCCAAGCUGCUUCACAAAUCCAAUGCCAACGAAAGAAACUGUUGAGAACUUGACGAGCCCAAUAUACUUGCUACAGAGGACCUAGGACCUACAACUAAUGUUAUACAAAUCCUCUGAAGUUUGUUAAUCUUUUAUUUUCUAAUUUAUUAGUGCACUAUAAUACUCAGGUGGCAGAACAUAUCAUAUAUCAUUCAGGCAGCAGAGUCGGCCAUAUAUAAAAUCUAACCUAAGUGCACUAAAUGCUUAGAUGAUAAGGAAUUGAACGGAGGAAGUGGAAGAAGGACUUAAUUCAAGUUGUUUAACUUAAGAAGAAAAGAUUUGGAUGUGACCUGAAAUGAAGAAACCAAAUAAAUUUAGAAACCAAAUAAAUUUAGAAAAUAACAAAGGAAAUAACAAAAAUUAAAAAAAAUUAUAAAGGAUAAAUAUUCAAAAUAGUAACUAAAUAGAGAAAAGAUAGAUUAAAGUAAAGUGAAAGAUGAAACGAUAAACUGAUAGAUAAAAGGAUAAAUGUCUAAUUGAACCAUUUGAUAUAUAAAUCCCAAAAAACCUCAAUUAAUGACUAUAAUCAACCCUCCAAAAAAUAAUUUAUAUUUUCACUGUUUAGUUAUUAUUUUGAAUAUUUAUCUUUUAUUUCUUAAAAUUUUCUUAAAGUUUUCUUAUUUCUUUUGUUAUUUUUUAAAUUUAUUUGGUUUUUCCUUUCUGAUCACAUCCAAAUAUUUCCUUCUUAAAUCAAACAACUUGAAUUUGAUAUUUCUUCCACUUCAAUCUUUAUCAUAUAAAAGCUAACCCAAAUGUUUGGUUUGGUGUAUUGGUAUAGCCAAUACACCCCUAAUCGGUGGGCCUCACCUAAUGCGGCUGUAUUCCAUCGUUUGGUUUGAUGUAUUGCUAAUACGGGUGUAAUCCUUUACCUUCCUAAUCGGUGAAAACCACCGAUUUCUAAUCCUUUCCUUGAGCUCAGUUUAGGUGCUGCUUCAGUUUUGGUCCCUAUUUUACCCUCCCCAUUCCCGCUUCUGUUUUACCCAAAAUCCACGUAUUCUGUUUCUUCCUUAUAGCUUUCUUCUCCACUCUCAUCGCCUCUUCUCCUUCUCUUUUUUACCUCUCUUUUUUAUAUAGGUUUUUUCACGUGUGGUGGGCAUGGCAUGGCACUGGUAUUUUAUUAUGUCUCUCCAUUUCUAGAUCCCCAACACAACUCAAACCUCGACCAACUCUUCGAACAAUUUCGAAGGAGCUAACAUUCGCUUCCGAGACGCCGACGACAAGGAAAUCGCCAGCAACAGCUCCAAUCUCGAUGAUUCAAUUGUCGCCGUUGACAAAGCUAGUGAAUAUGUUUCUAUGGGAGAGCCCGACGUUUCGUUUUUCGGUUGCGACGGCGAAGAUGAUAAAACCAGUGCUGAUUAUUACUUCGAUUCUUACUCUCACUUCGGUAUAUUUUCUGCUUCUCAUCCUCUUUUCCAAGAUUCAAAUUUGAAGUUUUUUUACUGAUUUUUCUUGUUGAUUAGAAAACAAUGAGAAUGUGAGGAUUUCUUAGUGUUGCCUUUCACAUUUUUGUGAAGAAGGUUCGAAUGUGAGAAGAAAGUUUCUAUCUUCGCAAAAGUUAGAGCUUGUUGAGUUCAAUAGUUUAUUUAUAUCUAAGUAAUUUGUGGUUCACUGGUUGCAUGUUUAUGGGGCUAGCAUGUCGGUAUUAGGUAGGGCAUUGGGUUCACUGAUGUUUCAAGUCAUACAUUCUUGUAUUUAUCUCUAGUAAGCACUUUCCUCUAAAUCUUUGUCCCCUCUUUUGUGUAUGUGCAGGUAUUCAUGAAGUAAGUGUGCAACAACUUGGACAUUUGAAUCUUGUUUCGUUUUUGUCGACUUAUUUAUGGAAUGAUUCUGCUUCAGUCACCAUUAUUUUGUGAUCUAUUGGGUGCCGAAUAUCUGUGAUUGGAGGGUUGGUUGUAAUUUUUCUGUUUGUUUAAGCUCAUACAUGAAUUAAUGCAUCACAGUUACUAUCCAAAAACUGUCUUCUUUUUUUAACUUAAUCUUUUACUUAAAUUUCUGGAAAUGAUUUCUGCGUUUGUUUUCUUGGUUUCAGUAGAAGAACUUGAUACGGUUGCGUAACUUUUUCAUUUCUUCUUUUUUUUGUGAAAUGUUUUUCCUCUGUGUUAACCUACCAUUCCUUGUAUUUCAGGAAAUGCUUAAAGAUGUAGUGUGAACCAAGACAUAUCAAAAUGUUAUUUAUCGGAAUAAGUUUCUAUUCCAGAACAAAGUAGUUCUUGACGUGGGAGCUGGGACUGGAAUUUUGUCCCUAUUUUGUGCAAAAGCAGGGGCGGCACAUGUUUAUGCUGUAUGACUUCCAGUUUACAUCUUCCUUCUGUUUCUGUUUUAUGUGUUGUUAAUAAUCUGUCUGACCAAAUUCUUACACUCCUGGCGUCUAUCUCUUAUUUGUCAAAUGCUGUUCAUAUUUUUCCCUUUCCUAGGUUGAAUGCUCCCAUAUGGCUGACAUGGCUAAACAAAUUGUUGAAACAAAUGGCUUGCCUGAUGGUGAAGUUUUUGAAAUUGUUGUGUCUUCUUGUAUUGCUUCGUGUGGUUGGGGGCAGCUAGCUACUUUGUUAGUUAAAUUCUCCGUUGCAUGCUAUGAUUUGCAGAAAGUAGCUUAGAUUCCUGCUAUAACUGUUAAUUGAUUGAGAUUUUAACUCCAUCAUCAUGUCAAGCUCUCUUGAGUAGUUUGCUUCCUUAUUAUUUCGUGUGGUGAACGGGCUGGGCCUUUUAAAUUUAUUUUUACUCUUGCUCAUCAAAGCAAAACUUUUGUUGGGUUCUUAUAAGCUACAUUCUUUACAAUCAAAGUUUUUAUUCCUUCACCCGUGUCAGGUUGAUGAUGGAGUUGUGCUACCAGAUGAAGCUUCUCUUUACUUGACAGCAAUUGAGGAUGCCGAGUACAAAGACGACAAGAUCGAAUGUGAGUAUAACAGACUGCUAAAUUGAUAUAAAUCUAGGUAUUCAUGUUCAUAUGUAUUUGUAUAACUUUCAACGAGUUUUUCUAUUGUGUUUCAUUGCAAUUCAACUUUUUGUAUUCUUAUAUAUACCCCAUCUUUUCUACAUGGCAUCAUCUUGCUACAGUUUGGAAUAAUGUUUAUGGCUUUGACAUGAGUUGUAUAAAAAAGCAAGCUAUGAUGGAACCUCUUGUUGACACGGUUGACCAGAAACAAAUUGUAACAAAUUGCCACCUUCUCAAUGUGAGAAAAUACACAAGCAUAUUCCUGUAUGUAUGUAUAUAUCAUUGGGUAUCUAUAUAUAUGAACACUUACUGGAAAUUAUUUUACAAAAUAAUGUGUUUGGAGUACAACUGAAUUAUUUAUUUUGGUUUUCUGGUUUCAGACAAUGGAUAUUUCUAAGAUGGUUCCUGGGGAUGCUUCUUUCACUGCACCUUUCAAGCUUAUUGCAGAGCGUGAUGAUUACAUCCAUGCUUUCGUUGCAUAUUUUGAUGUUUCAUUUACCAAAUGCCACAAAUUGAUGGGUUUCUCUACAGGUUUGUAUCUACACCAAAAUUCUCCAUCCUUUGUCCUUUCCAUUUUAUCUACGAAUAGAAAUCAGCAAGCCAGCCUAGAAGAACUUUGCCUUGGCUAAUGGCAAAUACAAAAUGCAGGACCAAGAUCGCGAGCUACCCAUUGGAAGCAAACAGUCCUAUAUCUAGAGGAUGUGUUAACCAUCUGUGAAGGGGAGACAAUAAUUGGGAGCAUGACUGUAGGAUACCUUGUUUGCAUGUUCCUUAAACGUUUCACCAACAUUUUUUUAAUUCCUUUUCUACUUUCUUUUUUCUCGAAAGGUUUUCCCUGAGAAAGAAAAACACAUAAGAUGCAUGUACUUCAUUAACUCAAUCCAACUGUUUUCUUCUCAUGUAUGCUUCAUAUUGAGUCUUGUGUUUUGUGCUGGUGUGAGGGAGCAUAUAUACAAAUGACAUUGGAUGUAUGACAUAGGACUAAAUAGAUUUUGAGCUUUGACAAGCUACUUAUAAGCAUUGUUUCUUAUAGAAGAAACACAUUAUUGGAGAAAGCUUUUGAAUCUCCCAACUAUUGGAUUUGGGUUUCUUUUUGACAAUUUGUUUAUUGUGCUUUUGUUUAGAUGAUGAGAAAGGAAAGUCAAGAAUUAUAUUUACUCGUUAAGUUAAAUGAAGAUAUUUGUAAUUUAAAAAAUAAAAAUUCAAUAUAAAUUUAAAUUAAGAGUUUAACUAAAAAAUAAGAGUUAGUGGCAAAAAUUAAUAAAAUUUAAAUUUUAGUGGUAAAAUUCAAUAACAUAAAAAUUAAGUUACAAAUUUACUCAUUUUAAAAAAAAUAACGGAAAAUAUAAAUAAAAAUAAAGUACAGUGACAAAUUUCAAUAUUUAUCUAUAGUAUGAUGAUAAAUUAUAUAUUUUUAUUAAAUUAUAUUUAAUAAUAAUUAUGUUAAAUUAUAUUUUACAGUAUUAUAUAUUAUGAUUUUAGAAAAUUCAUAUAAGAAUAUUUAAUAUUAAGAAUUUUAUUAAAUCAUAUAUUUUAAUUAAAAUAUAUUUAAUAUUAAUUAUUUUAAAUUAUAUUUUAUAGUAUCAUAUAUUAUGAUUUGAGUAAAUUCAUAUAAGAAUAUUGAUUAUUAAGAAUUUUAUUAAAUUAUAUAUUUUAAUUAAAAUAUAUUUAAUAAUAAUUAUGUUAAAAUAUGAUUAAAUUAUUUAUUACUGAUAUUAAUAAUCUUAUUAAAAUUUAAUAACAAUAACCAUAAUCAUUUAUCUAAACAAAUUUCUGCUAAGGGUAUUCUAGUCAUUUUAGUUUUUUCCCUUAUGCUAUUACACCUCUAUUCAAUUCAACCAAACACAAGAUUACUAUUACGCCUCUAUUCCAUUACAUUCAACCAAAUAGUUGAUUUGCUAUUACACCUUUAUUUCAUUACACCUCUAUUCCAUUACGCCUCUAAUCCAAUACAGCGAACCAAACGUGCCCUAAGUGUUUAGAAACCUAAGGUUUAACCAAUACUUACAAUUACAAGAGAAGAGAACACUUUUAUUAAUACACAAUCCAAGAAAAUUGACACAUGUCAACACACUUCUCUCUUGCAUCAUUACAAAAAUGAAAGCUCCUACUCCUAUUUAUAGAGUUUAAUGACCGUUGGUUUGUUGACACAUGUCAACAUUCUUGUCAUUAAUUUUACAAAUAUCUAAUAGUUAGAAUGUUAAUCUAGAAUAUUUAGUCUUCAAGAUAGUAUCCUAUUUUUUUAUUUUAUAUUCUAGAAUAUCCCAAAGAAAAUAUCUCUUAAAGGAUAAGUUUGAUUUUUAUCUAAAAGUUGUAUUGGCUUUCAAUAGAAACCAAUUAGCUGAGUCGCCAAAGUCUCCCAACGAUUCGAUUUCAUGUGGCACCUUACUCGACACACCGCCACAGGGCUCGAACAACUUGUCGUUCUCGACAGAGUCCAAGGUGAAACAACGUGGGGUGGCAUCCGAUACUUGGUUGCCAACUGGAUGGUUGAUCAAAGAUAGGGGUCGAAGCUCCGAUGCCAGACCUGGUCUGGUUGAUAAGGUUAAUUCCAUACUAUCUACCAUAAUUUUUUUUUCUGUUAAGUUUAAUAUCAGCGUAUUUAUUCAAUUUUUAUUCUAUGGGUAUUCAUGAUUAUCGAAUAUCAAGUUGUGCAUGAUUGCCAUUUUCAUUAGUGACAUACAUGACACAUAUAAAAGCUUUUAACUGUCCCUUCAGAAAAACAAGGUGCAUUGUGGAAUCUGGCGAGUGAAUGUAACGAUUAAAUGUUGGUUAAUUGGUUCUUAAAAGAAGGAUUUGACUUGGGUGAAUGUUGCGUUUUAAAAUAUCUGAUUUAAGGGAGUCAUAGGAAACUAUGUGAAAGUACAUUUGAGUUGAUACCAGUUCAUUUUGUUGCAUCAUUGAUUUGUUUAUGCAUGUAGGGUGUAUAAAUUAGAAUUUGAUUGAGACCCUCUUGUUGUAUUCAUCUAAGUAGAUAAUUGGAAAUGCAGUGAAAAAACUAAAAACAAUGGUUGUGCAGUAUUAUGUUGAUCCAUCAUCGGGCCGAAAAUUCAGAUCGAAGAAAAAAGUGCUGUACUAUCUAGAAACUGGCACCCCUCAACCUAAAAGGAAGAAAGGAACAGAGACUCCUGUUGGUGAGGAAGUUGGAAGUCCGAAAUAAAAACGUUGUUGGUUGAAUAUUUGUCCAGACCCUGGGUUUUGGUUUAUGCUUGAAUUUUGUUUUGCAGUUGACAGGGGCCUCUCCAGGCAACAAAAAGAGGAAGUCUGAUAGAAAAUGAAGCCUUCCAACUUUAUUUUCGUUAAUGUACCAGAGAAAGUGGAUUGGUUGUUCAGCAGCAAUGCCUCUGCAGACUCCUGGACUCCCUUCCUUGGGGAUGACCAAGUCCAAGUGCCUGAAUCUACUACAUAAGAUUGGUCUGCUACAUUUACAUCCCUAACAGCCUGCCAAACUGAUUAAGUAAUGGUUUGCAAACAUUCCCUGUUUCUAGGUAGAGGUUAUAGGUUUCUUUUGUAUUCGUUUAUUCAUUCUUUUGUUCUCUUUCCAUUGUUAAUAUGUAACCUUUAGCUAGGAUUUCCUUUUUAAAUGGCUUUGAUUCAGAACAAAGAGAUGGUUUUCGUUUCAUUUUAGGCCUAAUUUGGGACGAGCUCGUGAAUGAAUUGAGAGUAAAAAGCCUACUUUGGCCUUGGGAUGAAUUUCUCCCCAUAAUGACUAAACUUCCGCUACAACAACUGGUUCUCCUGAGCUGACCUAUUGAACCUGUUUUUUUUUCUUCUUUUCCAAGAUUGUUCGAAAGGCAAAGGGGAACAUGUACAAAAGUCGUGGCGAAGCCGACAAACCAGCAACUCAAGUACUGAACCAUGCUCCGAAAUCCUAGAACUCUCAUUCCAGAAAUGGUGAAAACUCCAUCUCUCAAAGCUGUUUCAUCCUUCGGCUCUAUUAAAUAAUGCCAUCCUAGAAAAUUAAAAAUGGAGCACCAUUCAACGAGUUCUUACCCCAUAAAGUGAUGAGAAUGAAUCACCCACCUUCAGUACUUGGGUUUAGAUUUCCGUUAAGCACAUUUGGUUUAUCGGACAAGGAAUGUGAGAGACUUCGUUAACGGCCAACAAUACCAUUUUGCAGCCUUUAAUUAAUUUGAUAAUUCACCUGUGUACUUGGUUGAGUAAAAAUAUAAAUAAAAUAAAUUUUUUGAAAAGAAAAAUGAGAUGAAAGAGCAUUGAAGUGAUAACUAUUUUCUAUCCAAAUAAGCAAGGGUUAUAAGUUACUUUGAAACUAUGAGUGUGUUUGUUUGCCAGUAAAAUAUUUUCUGGAAAAUGAUUUCUGGAAAAUAAUUUAUUUUUCUAGAAAAUGAUUUACUGAAAAUAUUUUUUGGUGUUUGGAUGAAUCUGUGUAAAAUAUUUUCUGUUGUUUGGCAGAUUUCCUGAAAAUAUUUCCCGGAAAAGUUAUUUUUACAUAUAUUAAUAAAUUUAUAUACAUAUUAAUAAAUUUUUAUAUUUUAAAUUAUUUUUACAUAUAUUAAAAUGAUUUAUUUAUAAAUAAAUAAAUCAAAUUAAAUAUAUAAUAAUACUCAAUUAUUAAAAUAUAAAAGCAUUGCAAACUACUUCCGAAAUUUACUAAUUAGUAGUGAAUCUAAUUGUAGUGAUCUCCUGAUGAAAUUACACUCAGCAUAAAAGUAAUUUUUUUGUUGUCUUACAAACAACACAGAUAACAUCAUUAUCAAAUUUCAGCCACUCUCAAGUAUAACCAAUUCCUUAGCCAACCAAUCUACAUUGUAACACAAAGCUAACUCCUAUAAAAUUUAUCCCAAUGCACACAUUUACAGACAUAAAUAUGUAUAUAUGUAUGCAUUCAACAAAUACAUAACCAUAUGCAUGCAAUCAGCUAUGUUAUUUGAAAGCUACUACUAGAUCAAGCAUUGCCCCAAUACUAUAAACUGCCAUCCAAUAAAGAGGAAAAAAUACAAGCGAAGAGCCCAGCUUUUUACUUAGACAUAUGGCGAAACGUGCUCACGCAACUGGUAAGAAAAAAUCACUCAUGGCCCAAAAAAGAAUUUCAUAGAACUAAUAGUAAAAUCAAAAUGAAUGAUACAUACAAUCAAAAUUUUCAACUGACAUCUAUUGAUUUAAUACAACCAGGUAAAGAGGUAGACAACCAUCUGAUAUUUAUGAAGCAAAUGAACUAGCAAUAUACUAGAAAUAUCAGCAAUUGCAAUCAACAAAGGCAACAGGCUCCAUUGAAGUCCCCAAUUUAAAUCCAUUGAUUUAAUACGUGCUCUCAUUGAAGUCCCCAACUCUAGGAAUAUGGUUCUACCAGAAGCCAGUCAAUUAAGCACAAUCAAUAAAAAUUCAAGAAACAUAAACCCGAACCCAGAAAAACUAUUGCAUUUACCUUACGGUGCUUGCCUAUUAUGUUGCCAUGAUUUCCAAUUAUAACAGCAGUAUUCCAGAGAGUCUCUCCAUGAUUUAUAUCCCUCUCAAGAAUUGAGCUUAUAAUGACCAUGUUAUACUUGAGUGCAAAUUCCUGAAGAAAUUGUGUAGAUUCCCCGUUAACAGGUUCUGCAAAUUCACACCACCUCUUUUCUCGUGUACAGAAGGCAAAUGGCAUCAUCCAUGCUUCCUGAACUUGCAUCAUAGACUCAUUAAUUUGCAUUUUCAGAAUAUUAUGCAUCGAUCAAUAAAAUUGACCAUACCUGCAAGCAUAAUAUGUUGACUCCUGAAGCACCAGUAGCAUCAAUUAUUGGUCUCAAUUUCUCAAAUAUAGCUUUUUUCUGGUCUGAAAAGGGAGCAGUGGUUGGGAGAGUAAUGGAGUUUUGAAUAAAACCGACCCUUACCCGGGGUUCUCUUAACAACUCUUUGUCAGUAGAAAAUUUGAAAGCCUGGAAUGAUUUGAAAUGGAAAAGCACAUAUAACUGCCUUCUACAAUAUACUUGUAUUGAAAUGACAAAAAUCUAUGGAGAUAAUAGCUACAAGUAUGCUCAGGUCAGGUUGGUGAGAGAAUAAUUUUGUAAUGGAAAAGGGAUGUUUUUCAACCACUUAGAUAAGAGUGGAUUGAAUGAAAAUCAACAUAUUUCAAGGAGAUCCUGGUAGUACUAAAAUUAUACAUUAGAACUAUUAUAACCAAAUGUUCAAAUGUAUGAACUAGAAACUGGAAAAGGGGGAAAAUGGAGGAAGAAAAAUAUUCCAUACAAAUAUCAGAACAUAUGACAUAGAUUAACUAACCCUGCCUAAAGAUUAACAUAAUCUUUAGUUGCAGCCAAAAUGCAUGGUAGUGCCUUGUAUAUCUAAAGUGUCCAAAACAUAUAUUGUUCCUUCACUUUAAUUGUUUUAUAAUAGUACUACGAUUUCAGCCAGGCCAACCUUGUGGUUAUUGUUUUCCAAUAUUGAUGAGCUAAGAUGAUGGAUCUCUAUAUCAACGAAUCGUUAUAAUGCAGUAAUGUUGGAUAAAUAAAUAGGCACCUGAAGAUUAAACUCAUGUUUUGAAGAGAGGGCUUUAGCUGAUUCAGGUGGAACAAUAGUUUCAAGUGCUGUUUCGCAAUUCAGCCCCAGAAGCAACCGGCUGACUUCCUGUUAAUAAACCAUAACAAAAUUCCAAAAGAUUGUUACUUUCACCAGCAAUAAGAUCAGUAGAUUUUGACUUUUAAUAGGCAAAACAUGUUACUUGUUAAUGAGAUAAAUUGUUUACUAGGAUCGACUGCAAUGAUCAUUUCAGUGGCAAAAACUUACCAAAAUGACAAUAACCAAUCGAUUCAUAAUAGACAAUUUGAAAUGGGGUUUCCUUUUUCAUGAUCAAAUUUGCUUUUACAAUAUAUAUAAGCAAGAAAAAUAACAAGAAAUAUUGGAAUUUUUUGCCCAGUGCAUGGUCAGAUUAAGAAAAACAAAAAUACCCAAAUCAACAAAGUAAAGACAUAUAAAUUACAACCCCGAAAGCGGGAAAAAAGAAAAAGAAAAGUCCUGGUAGAGUUGAGGCUUGAGAUUUGCGCUCAAGAGGUGGUGAAGCGAAUUAUACCCACAAAUUGACCAUCUUUGAAACAUUGCUUUUCUUCUGUGCUUCCAUUUUCUUUCCCAAUUCCAUCAGUUUUCUCUAUUUUCUGAUUCCCUCAAUUAUUGCUCCGAAAUCAAAACAUAGAAAAAAGGUUUACGAACGCCGGUGUCUGGUGUUGAUAAUCGGUGUUGGCUGAUGGCAAGCAGAAGAUCAGGUGUCAAGGAUAGGGGAAGGGGAAAGGGAAGGGGAAGGGGAAGGGGAAGGGGAAGGGAAAGGGAAGGUGAUACGAGUCACAAAAGCCCAAAUUCUUGAAGGCGAGGCCCAAUAAGUAAAUUCCUAGCCCAAUCAAGAAAUCCAUCCAUACUUAGUUGAAAAUCAGGCCAAAUUGUCAAAGUGGCCCAAGUUGUAAAGUUUUAUUUUUAUUUUUAUUUAUUUAUUUACUUAGUUUAAAUUUUUAUGUCAAUAUUCAGUCCAAGAGUCCCAAAUAAAAUGACCUUUGACCGAAUUUCCAUAUUAAAAUAAUUAGGAGUUUUUUUUAUUUUAGUUUUCUAAUUAGAUUAGGACUAGUUAUAAGGCCUAUUUAAAGGCAUGGCUGUCCACCUUGUUAAACACUUAUCAUUAUUAUUAAAAUUUCAGAUUUGUUGAGAGCAGAAUUUUCUUUGAGUUUUCUCCAAGAUUUUUCUCUUGAGUUUUCUUUAGAAGUUGUUUUAACAAUCUUGUGAUUGUGGGAGCCAUCUUCAACCUUCUUCUUGCCAUUGAUAUUCUUUGGAGGGGAGAUUAGAGCCGUUUGAAGGGAGUUGUGAGAUCUUUCGAGAUUUCAAGGCUUCUUAGGACUUAUCUUUUAAUUUCUUACUGUCAAUUCUUUCUUUAUUUCUACUUGUGCUGAAUCAUUAUCUAAUCUAUUUUCUGUUCUUAUUGUGUUUUCAGCCUUUUUCUAUCUUAAGGAAUCAACCCAAAAAUCCCCAAUUUUUAGGGUUUUUCCAUACUCUUUUUGGGUGAAAUUAGAUUGUCGAAAUUUGGGGAAAACUAUCUUGGUGUUCAAUUGGGCAGAAUCACAAUCUCCUUGAGGGUUUCAAGAACCCUAACACUUAUUUCUAUUCUCAAUUUGAUUCUUUGCUGAUUUGGGGAUUUUAUUUCAGAUCUGAAAAUUCAAAAAUCUAAUCUUUUAAUUUUCUGUUUCGUUUCAGAUCUAAUUGUUUAGGGUUUUCGUAGGAGUUUCUCGUGACUUGGCAACUCGAUCUUGGUCCGCGCGCAACCCCGUAUCAGAAGGGAAGAUUGGUGUCUAAUUUUCCUGAAAAUGUCUUACCGAAUUAGAAACGGUGAGACAUUUUCCAAAAUUAAGGCUUCUUUUUCCCAUGUUUGUAAUUGAUUUUACGUGAAGAAAAUAUUUUCAGCCAAACAAACACUAGAAAAGGCUGAAAACAUUUUUCGGAAAAUGUUUUACUACAAUCAAACGGACCCUAUGUAUAUUUCAAACUUUUCAUUUGUUUUUCCUUUAUUUUUAACUUUACAAAGUAACGGAGGAAAAGAAAAUUAUUUUUUUUGUCAAUGUUUUUAUAUUUCCAGUUUGUUACGAGUUGUGUGACCCAUAUUUUUGUUAAAAUAAAAUACAAGUGGUUGCUUAAGUGAAAUCUAUUUGAUGUUCCUCUUAUAUUACUCAAAUUUGACAUAGUGAAUUUUCUUUUUCUCCACCCAUAAAUUUUCUCAAAAGAAUUUUUACGGAAAAUUCUGUGUGUUUUAUUUUUCUCUCUUUUUUUGUGAUUCAUUGUCAUUAUCGACAUCCAAUUUUACAUAGCUAAACAUAUUGAAAGAAAUGAAAAACAAAUCAAUCUCUCUAUUUUUCUACUCCUUUAAAUUUUAUCAUUUCAUUUUUUUACUCCACUGAGCAAAAACAAACCGACAUUUCGGUACAAAAGAUCCCCACUCAAACAUCAGCCAUCAAAAUAGGGGAAAGGUCGAGAGGGGGCAUGUUACAAACAAACAAAAGAUCAUGUUGGGAAUUUAUGUCCAAUAUAAAGCUUUGAAAACUACUUCCUGGACGGGUAAGAGCAUCUAUUCUUCUCGCAGAAGUUAUGCUUAAGUAUCUUUCCUUCCAAAGAGUUGAUAAUAUGUAAUGAUUUGAAUAGUUAUAUAUGGAUCACACUUAUAACAAUGGUUGCAUCAAUUUCAGCAUCAAGGUUUCUUAGGUUAGUCCUCUAGGCUAACUCAAGACCAUCUCUAAGGCCUCAUACUUUUGCCUCUAAGUUACUUAGCAUAAGCAGCGUGGCAAUAGGAUACUAUAAGCCAUCCGUUAUUCUCAUCUCAGAUAAGGGCCCUACCACCCGCCUUCCCAAGAUUUUCCAAAGUUAAGCCAUCAAAGUUUAGCUUUGCUUAUCCUCUCCCUGGCGCAUCCCAAUAGAAUUUCAUCGACAAUGGAGGAGCCUAUUUCCUUUCCUUAGCAGUAAGUGUGUCGAAACCUUUUUUAAAAUCGACCUUUUAUUUUAAAAUGAAAAUUGAGUCGCCACCAAUUUUUUUUAUUUAGGUGUGAUUGGAUCACCUCAAAACUCGUUCAUUUUAAUAAAACAUUAGAUUUACUAAAAUGGUAAUCUUUGAUCUACAAAAUCUAGGAAAUAGGUUCGGGAGUCGGUUACGUAUAAGGAAGGAUUAGCCCCCUCAUAACGCUCAAAAUUGGUACCUAGUUGAUUACUUGAUGUUUUGAUGUCAAAAAUUGAAAAUUCAAAAAGAAUUUAAAAUACGAUCCCUUUUGCGCGAUGUUGUUUAAUGGUAUUGAAAACAUCCCUAUCUAAAUCGAAUUUUUAAUGAGGAGGUUUUCUCAUUUUGAAUCAAUCGAGACAAAAAAUAUGUCCCGUAAGUUGGGGCACAAAAUCUCGAAUUCUUGAAAACAAGAACGCUCGCCAUUUAAUUAUUGUCUAAAUCUUAUAUAUUUUAAUUUUUUAUAAAAAAGAAGGGGGGAGGAUAUCCAAUUAUUUCGGUUCAAUGAGAGAAUUGUACUCUGUAAGUUAGGGAACAAUUUCUCAAAUCCUCAAAAUAAAGAACAUUGCCUUGAUUCAAGUUACUAAAUAUACAUCAUAUAAAAAUGAACCUUACAUUUAAAGCAAUAUGCGACUAAUUUAUUCGAGUAGUGGUACAAAAAUGAACAAAUAUUUAAACGUGUUACAUAAUAUGGUAGUGGCAAAAAUAGGAUAAAAUAGUUUACGCGGGUAAAAAAUGAUAAUAAGAUAAUAAAAAGUAAUAGUUGAAAUAAUUUUGUUAGCCGAUUAAUAAUACUAUUUAAUAAAAACAAUAAUUAGUAAAAUAAUAAGUGGAACAUUAGCAAUAACAAAAAUAGUAAAAAAUAAUAAAAAAGUAUGAUAAUAAUAAUAAUAAUAAUAAUAAUAAUAAUAAUAAUAAGAUAUUAACUAGCAUUAAUAAUCAUUUAACAAAAAUAUCAACAUUAAAAAAUACACAUAAAAAAUAAAAAUAAAAAGAACUAAAAUGAGAUGAUUAAGAAACUUAAAGAUAAAAAUGCAAGUUAUGUAAAUUAAAGGGUAAAAUAUAAAUAGGGAAUUAAAAAUGCUGAAAAUUAAAUAAAUAAAUAAAUAAAAAGGCAAGGUUAAAUGAAAAAAAGAUUAAAUCGAAACCAUAAUAAAAUUUUAGGGGAUAAAAUAAUAAAAAUAGUAAAUAGAGAGGCAGAAUUAAAUAAAUGAGGGAUUAAAUUGAAACUUAAACAGAACUUAAAGCAUAAAUUGCAAAAUAAAUAAGAGAAGGGGAAAUAAAGGACUAAAUUGAAAAUAUAACAAAAUUUAACGUCUAAAUUAUGAGAAAAUAGAACAUAAAGGAUUAAAUUAAAAUGGAAUAGAAAAGUUUAGGAACCCAAAAGGAAAUUAUCCCAACCCUAUGUCAUUUCUUUAGUUUAACCGUGGGUCAAAUGACCGAUUUGCAAGGAAAUUAAAAUUAUGGGGUAAAAUUUUGAAAAAUAAAAUAAAAAGGAAUAGGCCGAAAAUAAAAUGGAACAAAAAAAGCGGAAGGACCAAAAUGAAAAUUUCUCCCUCCAAGCGAAAUCAUGCGGAUCCUAAGGGGUCGGGUCGGAUUAUAAGGGUCGGCUUUGAAACGACGCCGUUUUGGGCGUCUGAAGCCAAGCCCAAAACGACGUCGUUUUGAAAGGGCUAUAUAAGUUUAAAAAAAUGUUAAAAAAAUCAUUUUUUGCAUCAGUUAAAAAAAUCUUCUUUUUUUUUUCUCUUAACACUCCCUUUCCGUUCAGCCCUUAUGCCGGUGAAUUUUCGCCGUGGCCACAGGUCACCGACGACAGAGACCGUCGCCUCCGGUGGCCAGAGUUCCUGAAAAAAGGUCAUUUUUAUCCUCUUUUUUUAGUAGAUUAUGGAUCUAGAGUUAGAUCCUCUAAAAUCUAGUCAAAACUUGAUUGGAAAUCAAAAAAACCUUUCGACUCUUCUUCUCUAAUAAAGCCGUCGACGGUGGUGGAAAAUGAACAGGUAAAAAAAGUUUAAACCUUUUGUUUUAUUUUUCUUGUAUUUUUUGAAACAAAAAAGAAAAAAAACUACCUUCGUAUUUUCUUUUUAACUUUUGUUAUUUUUUUAUAUUUUCAAUUUUUCUCUUCCUUUGUUACAAAUCAUUUUCGAUCUUUAUAGAAGAAAUAAAAUACAUUAUAUAUUAUUAUUUCGUUUUGUCUUUUCUUUGUUUCGACUUCUGCUCUUUACUGAUGUCUUGUAAGUGGCUUUGUAUGAUGAUGGCUAGGAGCUAUUCGGUCAACCAUGGUGGGGAGUCACAUUUUUUGCCAUUUCUAUGAAAGAGGGUAGACCUUGAGCAGCGCAUUUGCUGAUACGGCAGAUGCGGCAGCUGAAGACUUAGGGAGGCUAGGGUUACUGAUAUUUUUUAAUUUUUUAGGAUUUUAGGGGGUUUAGGGUUUAGCGUUUACUGAUAGUAAGCUCAUAAAAUUUUAGCAACGUUUGCUGAUAGUAAGCUCAAAAUGGUCUUCGAGAAGUUUGUGCAGAGAAACUCAUGCUAUGAUAUUUGGGGCACCUAUUUUUAUCUUACUCAUUUUGUAUUUUAGCAACGUUUGCUAUUUUGAUUAAUCUAUUCAUUUCAAGCUUUGCUGUCAAUAAAUUUCAAUCUUGUCCAUUGUUACGAUUUUUUUCAAGCAUUUUUCAUUGAAAUAACGAUUAAUGGACCAAUAAUAUUCAAGUAAAAGGAUUUUUGCAUAUUUCUCUGAAAGGCUUCUAAAUAGUACAAGGACCUGAAACAAGACCACUAGUUAGAACUAACCAAAUUUUAGGUUUGGAUAUAUCUGAGUGCGAAUAGUCUAAGUUAUGAUUAUUUCUUCGAGUUUUUUUGUCAAAGAUAUCAGAUCCAAACAAGAAGUCAUGGUAACACAUCAGUGAUGGAACCAUGACGAACAACAAGCAAUGUCAACCUAAGCAUUAAAAAAUGGAUCACUCUCGAAAAAUGACAUUCUGCAUUCAUUCAAAUAUCAUUCAAAUACAUCUAGUUAGGAGCAUUUGAUUCAUUCUAAUCAUAACAUCCUAAUCGCUUGGCAUAAAUAUAGGCCUAUGAAAUGAAUUCUACAGGUUAUAUUCCUUAGAGAACAGUGUAACAGAUUAGUGAAACAACAAAUUUUACAUCCCUGAAGUUACAGUGGAGCAGAUUGAAGCCACAAAACUUAUCUCCCUAAAGUUGCAGUGUAGCAGAUUGAAGAUAGCAAAUCUUAUUUCCCUAAAGUUACAGUGGAACAGAUUAAAGCUACAAGCCACAAAUCUUAUUUCCCCGAAGUUGCAAUGGGGCAGAUUGAAGAUAGCAAAUCUUAUCUCCCUGAAGUUGUAGUGGAGCAGAUUAAAACUACAAUUUUUAUUUCCCUGAAGUUGCAGUGGAACAUAUUAAAACUACAAAUUACAAAAUCUUAUCUCUCUGAAUUUGCAGUGGAACAGAUUGAAGCUACAAAUCUUAUCUUCCUGAAGUUGCAGCGGAGUAUAUUGAAACUAAAGUUCUUAUACCUCUGAAGUUGCAGUGGGUUAGAAUGAGGCUACUUGAAGAAGAGAAGCACAAAAGAAAUCGAGAUUCAGUGGGAUCGAACAAAAUUGGUCCUCCUUUAAAGUCUUUGCUCCCUUCUCGUUACACGACAAUGAGCAAAGAGAGGCAGCUGUAACAAGCCAAUUUUGUCCGGCCCAAACCCAAACCAAAUAAACCAAACAACAAUCAAAUAAAUAAAUAAAUGAAUAAUAAAAGUCCAUUAAUUACAAGCCCAAAUAGCCCAAAUCAUUUUUUGGAGUUUGUUGCUGCAUUCCCUUUGUUGGGCUUUUUGUGAACGAUAGUCCAUUCACCAACUAUUUCUUAUAUAGGGUUUUUACCUCUAUCCAUAAGACCUGCUAAGAUAAUCAACAAUUAUUAGUAAUAAUGAUUUAUUAUCUAUCAAUUUAACUGGUGUAAAAUUUUUAUUACACACAAUCUUAUUAUCAUUUUCAAGUGGUAUUUCUAAAAAAUCUUUUUCUACUGAUAACCAAAUAGAAUGUCUAUCAAUAGUAAAAGGUAAAUACCUACAUAUAAAAUUAUUUCCUAAUAAUAUAUCACCCUGCAUUUUAGGAAAACAUACCAUUUUAGGAAUUAUAAAUCUAACAUUGUUUAUGUAGAUUGGUAUAUUUUUAAAUUUAUGUUUUAUAAUAGUUUUAUUACCAUCUAUUCCCAUUAUUUUUAUAGGUUUUUUCAUUAAUUCCCAUUUUUCUACAGGAAUUGUAUUCUUUCUGCAACUACUAAUUGUAGCUCCAGUGUCUAUCAAAGCAUUUAGAGAAUAUUUUUUAUAUUUUCUAAACUGGAAUGUAACUUUAAUAUUUAUUCCAACUUUUGAUUUUUUAUCAAUUGUUGAAGUUUGAAUUUCUUCCAUUCUAAUUUUUCUAGAAUUACUACUGGGUUCAGUAGGAAAUAUAGGAAUUUGAACGGUUUUAAUUCCUAUCGGUGUACUGUUUGUACUAUUAUUAUCCUCUUCUUCUUCUAGUUGAGAACUAGAGGGUAAAACUAAAUUUUCAUUUGUAUUGGUUAUAAAAUUAUUUUUAAAAUACAGUCUGUUACCAGACGACAUAUACUCUAUAGUACUUACUGGUUUAGAAGUAAUAGUAUUAUUAAUUUUUUCUAUCAUCCAAUCUGUUGGAAUUGACAAAUCUCUUAAAUCUAAUAAUUUCGGCUGUAUUUCUGUAGUAAACCUAUUUGGUUCAAAGAGUUCAAUAAUUUUAUUAUUAAUCUCUUUUAUUUCUACUUCUGCCGUAUUUGUAUAUUCAUUAAUAGAAGUCCAACUGAUUGCCAGAUCUUCUGCUAAGUCAUUAAUUUCAGAAUUUUUUGUUUGAAUCCUUAGGCAAAGACACUCUUCUAUUAGAGGGUCUAUAAUGGAAAUAAAGUAAUUUGGUUUAACUUUAAAUCCUAUUACGCCUGUAUGUAAAUUAGAUUGAAUACCUCCAAUAAGUACUUUUAUUCGAUUUUCAAAUCUUUUAUCUAAAAUAACUGCUAUUAUAGGAAUAUCAUGACCUCUCCUAAAUAAGGCUCUAAUAGUAAUCAUAAUUAUUCCUAAAUGUAUAUAUCUAACCUGAGGAUAUUUCUUUUUAAUCCUCUUAAUUUUUUCUUUAGUAAAUAGAGGGAUUUCUGUUAAUCCUCCUCUAAUAUCCUUAGCGACUGUGUUACCGCUAAUUUUUUCUAUAUGUCUUUGUGUCCAUAUUUUGAACUUAGAGAUCUUAUAUAUUUCUUCUUUAGAAAUAUGAUUUUUAUUAAUCUUUUCUAUCAUUUCAUCAGAAAAGUCUUUUUCUUCUCCGAUUAAACUACCUAAUUUAAUAUCUUGUUUUUCAGAAUUAGGAAUUUCUUCUAAUUGAUUAUUAGAACUAUUUCCUAUAUUAAACAUAAAUAUAUAUUCUUCGUUGUUAUUAGAAUCUGUUUCUGAUAUUAACUCAUAUAAUAUUUCUUCAGGAUUUAUUUCCUGUUGAAAGCAUAUUUCUAAAUCUUGUUCUUCAAGACUUUUUAUCAUUUUCCUAACAUUUUUCCUUUGUUAGGACAAUUACUAGCUAUGUGACCUUCUUCAUCACUUAUGAAACAUUUACAAAUUUGUUUCUUUGGUUUAGAAGUUUUUCUCCUAACAACCUUUUGACUUUUACCAGAAAAUUUUUUAUUACCUGGUUUCCAUUUUCUUAAUUUAUAUUUUUUACGCUUUUUGUAAGUAUUAGGAUAUAUUUGUUUACAUCCAAUUUCCCACUCAUUUUCUAGUAUUUUUGUACAAUACUUAUUACUUAAUUUAUGCUUAACAUGUUUAGCAGCUUUACUUUGCAAACAAUAUAAGGUUAUUCUUUCUCUUGCAAAGUUUAUCCUAUUUCCUAUAGAAUCUAAAUUUUCUGUUGGAAGACCAGAUGUUUUAUUGUGCUUCUCUAAAUAAGAUAUAUAUUUGUUUAUACAUAUCUCAUCCCGGGUAAUUUAUGAAAAUAUUGGUUUUUCCAAAAUUCUAUAUUUUCAUUAUUUAAUUUUUGAUAUUCAUGAAGAAAUUUUUUAAAAAAUUCUUCUAAAUAUCUAAUAUCACAUAAUUUAAAUUUUGAAAGGAUAUAACUGGAUGUACUAUCUUGAUCUUUUUUUUUAUCAAAAUAUCAACAAAAUUCUGUUUUUAGAAUUAAGGUUAAUCCUUUUAGAAGAUCUUUAGGGGUUUCUAUCUGAUUGAUUAAUUGUCUCUUUUGUUCUUUACCCUUCUCAGUCCCAUCGUCUGAGAAAUUGUAGAACAUCUCCUUGAAAUGUUCCAACAAAAUAAUUUAAAAACUUUUCUUUUGACCAUGUGUUGUUUACAACAGUAGUCAUUGAUUGUGCCCAAUCAUCUUUAGUUUUUUCAUAGUCUGAAAUAGGUGUAUUUGUUAAAUCUAAAUGUAUUCCUCCCUGGGCUACAUUUCUUUUAUUUAAGUCAUCUAUUCUUGGUUGAACAGGUUGACUAGAUGUUUCUCCUGGAUAUUCAGGUUUAACAUCAUUUGUAGCUAUAUUUUCGGUUUUGUUACCAAAAUCCUAACUGUGUUUUUAUCAAUUUCAAAAUCUUUAUUUAAAGACCUAAGAUAAUCAUCUGUUUGAUUAUCUGACUCUAUUUUUCUUUUUCCAUACGGAUCUGUUGGUUUAGUAUCCAUGGGUUCUGGUAUUUCUAUAUUUUCUUCUUCAGAUGAAGUGUUUUCUUCAUCAGAAUUAUAGGUAGAGACUUUUAUGUCUUCAUCCUGAUCUGUUGAAGUUUUUUCUUCAUCAGAUUGAUUACUAAUUUUUUUAUCCUGAUCUGCUGAAGUUUUUUCUUCAUCAGUUUGAUUUUUGAAUAAUUCUGUGUUUUCAGAAUUACUCGCAUUACUACUGUCUGUAUCAUCAUAUUUUAACAUAUAAUGAUAAUUAAACAUAGAAAAUAGUUCUUUAUAUUGUUCAUAAAGUUCUUCUAUUAAUUUUAAAUAUUCAACUCUUUCUAGUUGAUCUUUAGUAGUAGUAAAUUUUUUUUCCAAAUGUUCUAUAAGGUUUUUAUAGGACUGGAAAUCAUAUCUUUGUUGUUUAUCAUCUUUUUUACGUUUUUUAUGUUUUUUAUAAUUUCUUAACAUAGAUUUUGAUUCAUCAGAAGAAGUGUUUUCUUCCUCGGAUAAGACUAAAAUAUUAUCAUUACCAUAAUAUAAAGGACCUAAAUCUACAUCAGACUCUAUAUUAUUAUUUAUAACCUGAUCUAAUUUAUUAUUAACACUAAUUAAUAUUUCUUUAGACUCAUGGUUUAAGUCUAAAUUUUUUACUUCACUUAAAAUAUUUACUUUUUCUUCUACAUUACUAACCUUUUUAUAUAGUUUACCAAAAUAAAAAGAAGUCAUAUCCACAAGACUAUUUAUACCCUUACUCAAAGAUGAAAUGUUGUUUUCAUUUCUAGAGUCUAUACGUGUAAUAUGAUUACAAGUUUUAUCUUGAAAUUGACACUCGAUUUGUUCCAUAAUAUUUGUUUCUGGUAUCUAAGACUGUCUAUUAUCUUAAUCGUCUUCACACAACGCCUAACGUCCUCCCUGGACUCAACGGCAACAAGAAGACAGAAUAACAGAUAUAUGGGUUUUGAAACAAAUAACUGUGAAACAAACAGAAAUGUAAAUCAAAAACAAAAACUUGUAAUGAAUAUUACGAUAUUAUUUCUCCAGAAAUUUGUUACUCCGGCACCAAUAAAAAAAGAACAAAUUAAACAACUAGAAAAAAAUCAUUGGUUGUUUAAAAUCCUUGAAGAUAAUUUUAGUGAAGAACCAUUAAAAUUAUGGAAAAAUAGUCCUCGAUACUGUGAAAUAAAAUUGGUAAAUCCUAAUAAAAUUAUUAAGGUUAAACCUAUGAUCUAUACUAAACAAGAUAUAGAUGAGUUUGAUGUUCAAAUAAAUGAAUUAUUAGAAAAAGGAUUAAUAGAAAAAACUAAUAGUCCUUAUUCUAGUUCAGCUUUCAUGGUAAGAAACCAUGCUGAAAUUAAAAAAGGAAAAGCUAGGAUGGUAAUUAAUUACAAAAGAUUAAAUCAAAAUACUAUUUUUGAUGGAUACUUUAUCCCAAGAAAGGAAGUUUUGAUUAAUCAAGCUAAACAAGCUAAAUACUUUAGUAAAUUUGAUUGUAAAUCGAGAUUUUGGCAAAUCAUGCUAACCGAUGAGUCAAAACCUUUAACGGCUUUUAGUGCCCCUAAUGGUCAUUAGCAAUGGAAGGUAAUGCCAUUUGGAUUAUGUAAUGCCCCACAAAUCUUCCAGAGAUGGAUGGAUUUCAUUUUUAAUAAGUAUAAAAGAUUUUGUGUGGUAUAUAUAGAUGAUAUCUUAGUCUUUUCAGAAACACUAGAAAAGCAUAGAAAACAUCUAAGUAUUAUUUCUCAAGAAUUUCUAAAUCAUGGAAUUAUAUUAAGCCCUAAAAAGAUAGAGUUAGAGAAAACGGAGAUAUAAUUUUUAGGAUUAAAAUUAUCUGCAAAUGGUCUUCAACUCCAAGAUCACAUUAUUGUAAAAAUAAAAGAAUUUCUUGAAAAAAUUGAAGACAAAAAACAGCUUCAACAAUUUUUGGGAAUUGUUAAUUAUGGAAGAAAUUUCUUUUAUAACUUAUCUGAAAAAAUAGGUGAGUUAUAUGAAAAAUUAAAAAAGAAUAUACCUUUCAGCUGAUCUAAACAAGACUCAGAAAUAAUAAAAAAUUUAAAAUCUGAAAUAAAUCAGAACCCUAAAGUUUAUUUACCUAAACAAUGUGAUAAAUUAAUUUUAGAAACUGAUGCAUCGCAAAACCAUUGGGGAUGUAUUUUAAAAGCUAAAACCACUAAUAAUGAAGAAUUAAUAUGUGGUUAUAGUUCUGGUAAAUUUAAACCAAAUGAGGUUAAUUAUGUUAUAUAUGAAAAAGAGCUUCUUGCUAUUAAAAAAGGAAUAAAAACUUUCCUUAUAUAUUUAGCACCUGAAAAAUUUAUCAUAAAAACUGAUAAUAAGACGGUAAAGCAAUUCCUUACUAACAACAAUUUCGAAACUGUACCAAGAAGAAUUAGGUGAUAUAAUGAUUUAUGUACUUUUAAUUUUGAAUUUUUUAUAUAAAAAGUGCUGAGAAUAUUCUUGCUGAUUAUUUGAGCAAGCCUACUUAUGGAUAGAGGUAAAAAACCUCUACAACCAGGUGAAUGGACUAUCGUUCACAAAAAGCCCAACAAAGGGAAUGCAACAACAAACUCCAAAAAAGGAUUUGUACCUGCACAAUUACCAUUUUAUACUAACCAGGGAUAUUAUGUGUCUUAUCCAAUGGUAAACCAACCUCUUGGAACAAAUGUUUUAAAAUAUCCAAUGGUAAACCAACCAGUUGGAAAAAGUUUUUCAAAUAUGGUGUGUAAAUCACCAAUGUCCCAAGAUUCAUAUUUAGCAUCACAAACCAGUUAUGCUGAAAUGAUCAAAGGAUUAGAAAAUUUGUUGAAAAAACAACAAAUUGAAGAAGAAAAAGAAAUUUCAAAAAUAAAAGAUUUUUAUAAUCCUGGUAUUUCACCAGAAUUUUAUAGUUUUAUAAACGAGAUAUGGAAAAUCCAUAUUUCAAAUCAAAGAGCUAAUUUCAGGAGAGCUCUUACACAGUUUUCAUUAUUUUUAGUUGAAAAAACAACUAAAGAAAAUGAAGCUGAAGAUUUAUUACUAAAAUCAGUUUUAUACAGAGAUUGAGAUGAAUUCCAACUCUUUAUGAUGGAUAUUAAGGAGAUAAACAAUCUUCUUGAUAUUUUUUAAUAUUUUAUUCGUAAAGGGAAAAACAUUCCUAAUAUGAAUAAGAUAUUUAGAAUCUGUUUAUAUAAUAAAUCUAGACAGAUUUUACCUAUAGAAAUAUUUAAUGAAAUUAUUGGAAUGAUCUGCAACCAGCAAAAUCGAUUUAGACAAUUUUUUCCUGAAUAUUUUCUCCAAUCUUAUGUUUUUACUAAUUUUAUUGGAAAUAGUAUUCCAACUAUAAAAUUUAGAUUGGAUCACGAACCGUUCAAUAUAACAAGUAUUGAAUGGGGAUUUGUAAGAGAAAUUAUAGUACAAAAUUUCUCCUUUCAUCUUUUAAAAGAUUUUCCAGCAAUAGUAAAAUCUUUAUUACAAACCAUCAUAAACAAUGAUGAUUUUUUCUAUUAUUUUUAUAUCCAAAUUAGUACUUUUAUUGGUAUUUCUGAAAAAGAAAGAUUUUUUCAGCCAUAUCAAAUAUGGGAUAUACAAAAGAUGCUAAGAAACCCCCGAUUAUCUACCUUAAAUGAAGAUAAAGAAUGCUUGACAAAAACAAUUGACAAGUGUCAGAAUAAUUCAAGCUAUUAUCAGAUCCAAGCUGGGAUUGAUUUAAUAGCUAAAGCCAAAUAUCUUCUCCAACAAAAAGAUUAUCAAUUCAGAACCGAUCGAAGAAGGAUAUUGGCAUACCAUUCUUAUCUUAUUACAGAAAAAGAUGAUGAAGGUAUCCGACUGUUAAAAAAGAUUGCAGAUAUGGACAUUAAAGAUUUUCCAUCUAAUAUUCUGGAACAAAUCAGAAGUACAUGGGAAAAUUGUCAUUAAGAUAUAUCUACCGUUCAUCAUUAUGGUUAAAGUAAAAAAAGAUGGAGACCUAAAAGAAAAGAAAUCCACAUACCAACAACAAAGUUUGGCAAAAGUGAAAGUCAUCAUGAUGCAAGCGGCAGUGAUGUAAUAUCCAGAUCAAGCGCGGGAGGGGGGAAGAUGAUUUACAAUGGAUGGGUAGAGUGCGAUUUACAAGCAGAAGGAUUUAUAGACUCUUUAUUACAAAAGGAAAAGUUUACAAAAGAGAAACUAAAAAAGAAAUAUGAUUAGAAAUGUACAAGAUCAGAUGCUAUACAAUUGAUCUUUCCUCUCUAUUUAUAGAGGAGAUUAAAAAUUCUAUACAAUUGUAUUUUCAAUUCCGAACAGUGUUCUGAUAAGGAUUCAACUUCAAAUGGAUGUGGCUGCUUCCACGUCUCAUUUGUCUUAUUGUUUCUCUAUUUGCAUGGUCAUGGUUGUUUCCACGUUGCAUGCUUGAAUUAAUGGCCGCAUCCAUCACUACUUGUGUCAUGGUUGCUUCCAUCACUGCUUACAUCAUCAUUGUUUUGAUGAUAGCUUCCACGUUGCAAGACUUUUUUGUCUGCAUCUGGCUUUCUUUUAUUAACAUUAAUGGUUGCUUCCAUCACUGCUUGCAUCAUCAUCAAUCCACGCAUGUCUUGAUAUGACCAUGGGAAACAUCUUUGAAUUCUUGGAGUAAUUUAAUGAUGUCUCACUUUUUCUCUACAUUGAUGUAAGCCUCGAUCUUCACCUCUUUCUUUUCUUAUUUGUCUCCUAAGCUCACAACUUCUACUGACUCUUUGUAAGGUAGGAUUUGUUUCUCAUCUUGUUCUACCAUCCUUAACAAAUCAGGAGAUAAGUUAAAAUCUAGAUCAUUUUCAAAGUCCUGAGGUUCCUUUAGACACAUAUCUCGUCCAAAAGGAGAUUCUGAGUUAGUAGCAGCGUCACUCAUAUCAUUCAUAUCUGGAGACCUGUUAUAGGAAUGAAGGAAGACUCAAAGAACAAAUGAAUCUAAGAAUAAUUAUCUGUGUGGUAUGAGUAUGAAUGAAAUGGAAAAAAUAAAAGAAUAUUUGCCCAAAAUGAGACAAAAAGAUGCAUUUUAUUGAAAUAAAGAUGUUGAACAUAUGCCUUUUCCACAAAACGAUUCUUAUUACUCCCAGGCUUAGAGCAAUAAGUCUAUUUUGAAUAUUACUCUAAAUUAGAUCUAAAAAUUAUAGGGAUCUCUUCUACAGUCCAAUUGUUCAGAACACUUCCGGGGAUAUAAGGACGAAUGCCUGAUAGGUUUUCCCCAAUUUCUUCUUCGAAUAUGGCAUUGAUGCUCAAAAAUUUUCCAACAUUACUUCAAGCUUUCUUUUUCUAACAUCUUUCGUUCAGGAUGAUUGACUUUUCCUGACACAAACGUCUUGAAUAUGUGGGGAAAGAUCAUCGAUUCCCACUUGACCUCUCCCACACUCAGUCACACUCUUCUUUUUUCUUGCUUCUUUUCUAACUCUUCUUCCUUUGCCUUGUAUCUAGUUUGUAUUUUAAGCGAAAGCGAUCUCGUUUCUCCAUCAGCAUUGGUGUUUCGACUCUUCCUUGAAGAUAUUUCCUAAGUCUCCUUCUAGGUAUAACUCAUUUCCCAGUCGUCAACUGUAGGCUCAUCCUCGUAGUUUUGGAUAUUUUAGGCACUAGGAUCUUGUUUCCUUCGACAAUGAAAGUUGCGUUAACAAAUUCUAGUGAUCGGAAGGAACAUUCUAUUGCCUCUUCAUCCACUCCUAUGUAUGGUGUGUCACUAGUUACGGAUGUAAUGAUAUCUUCUUCAGCAUUUAUAGUCACCAGUCGACCUUCCGUUACCAACUUUAACUUUUGAAGUAGUGACGACGGCACUGCCACAACUGAGUGAAUCCAAGGUCUACCCAACAAGCAAUUAUAAGAGGGCUUGAUAUCCAUCACAAAAAAGUUUACCUUAUAUGUGUUUGGGUUAAUUUAGAGAGGUAUUUCAAUCCUUCCUAUUACCCUCCUUUCCGUACCGCCGAAUGCUCUCACUAUAUUUUAGCACGUCUUUAUGUGAGAGCUAUGCACUGGUAAUCUAUUCAGUGUGGAUAGAGGCAAGACGUUCAGUGUAGAUCUAUUAUUGAUUAACACCCUUAGCAAUGUAUAUCCUUUGUAGCGUGUAGUGAUGUGUAGAGCCUUCUUGGAUCCCAUGCCCCUUGGCGAUAUUUCAUCAUCAUUGAAAAAGAUGAAAUUGUCGGCACUCAGAUUGUUAACCAGACGAUCUAGCUUGUUCACAGAGACAUCAUCAGCGACAUAAGUUUCAUUUAACACCUUCAUCAACGCGCUACGAUGUAUCUCUGAGCUCAAGAGUAAGGCUAGUAUUAAUAAGCGAGCUGGUUGUUUGUGUAGCUGUUCUACAGCACUAUACUCGCUAUGCUUUAAGAAUUUCAGGAAUCUCUUAGCCUUAUCCUCAGUUACCGACUCAUUAACAGGUAAUUUAAGUCUAGCCGUCUUUUUUUCCUUGUGCUCAACUGCCAGGGUUUUUCCUUUAACGGGCUCGGUUCUUGUAACUGAUAUUGCAUGUCUUUCUGAAUUUGUUUUAAUCUCUCUAAUCUUUGAUCCAUUGCUUUGGUUUUUCUGCGGGUACCGUAACGAUAUUCAGUUGGUAGAUUAUUAUUGGUUUUUAGUAGAGGUGCUCAUGGGCCGGGCGGGCCGUUGGGGAGGGUUUGGGUAAAAAUAUAGGCCCGAAAUAUGGGCUUGGGCAAAAAAAUAAGGCCGUUUAGAAAAUGGGCCAGGCCUCGAGCACCACUUUUUUGGCCCGGGCCCAGCCCGAUAUAUAAAUAUAUUUAUUUUUAAAUUUUUUUUAAUUUUAAAAUAUUUUUAAAAUACUUUUUUUUUAUUUUUUAAUUUUAAAAUAUUUUUAAAAUACUUUUUUAAUUUUUAAAAUAAAUUUUUGGUAUUUAUUAAAAAAAUGGGUCGGGCUGGGCCCGGGCUUAUGAUUUUUUUCCCGGGCUGGGCCUGGGCAAAAUUUCAGGCCCAUAUUUCGGGCCGGGCUAAAAUUUUUUAUGGGUCUGGCCCGAACCCGGCUCGGCCCGGCCCAUGAGCACCUCUAGUUUCUAGGGUAACUGUCACAAUUUCGAUUAAUUAGGGUCUUUUUAUGGGAUUUAAUGCAUGUGAUGAAAUAUAAUGCUAAUGAAUGAAAUGAAUGCAAAAGAGGCAUUGAUUCUGAUCAAUUAUAUUAGAACAACUUUACUAGAAAACAAAUAUCUUUACAUAAAACGGAUAUAUUUACAUAUACGACAUUGCCCUAAUACUAAAAACCUUGACUUUCCUAAGAAGCCAAGUUAAUUCUCGGUCAUGAUCUGAUUUUGAUUCGUAUUUUAAGCUCAGUAUGUUGGCUUAAACUGCUAGGGUUUGCACAUGGUGGGCUACUUCCCAUACUUGAGUCACAGUUUUACCCAUGAUGUGAUCUCUAUCCCUAAUCCGGCAUUGAGAGCGUUAGAGUUGCUCUUUCCAGUGUUCAUUGUUUCUUUUGAGAAGCUCAACUCGAAGUUCAUAAUUUUAUAGCGCGACUUCGAGCUCUCCUAUCUUUCCCUUCAACUCUUCAAUCUAAUUUAAGCUUUUUUUCAACUCAAUUGCGGAGUUGCGACCACGAUACUGAUGCAAUGACCUUUCUAGUUCUAUUACCUAGACUCUUAAUCCAACCUUUUCAUUUUAGCUUUCUAGCAAAUCCCUUUCUAGAGUACCUUUUUGAACUCAAACAUCUUGGAAUUUUUUUCCCACUGAUCAACCCUAAUCUUUUCUUCUUUAAUUUCUUACCGCCAUCGUUUUGAUGUUUUGCCCAACUCGGCAGUCCUUAUUGACAAACGUAACUUUUUAUAAUCUAUUUUUAGACUGUCCAAGUCUUCCUCGACCUUGUUCUUUCUUUUCUCAUUUUCUCAGCUUCUAACUUUUGGAUGUCGAAGUCUAAUCUUAGCUGCAUCUUUUCCUUUUCCAAAUGUUCUAUCUUUUUCCUCAGCUCUGAAUUUCUCUUUUCAAAGUCUUGCUUUAUGAUAUCUAGCUCAUACGGGAUCACUUAUAGGUGUUCUUCUAUUGGUCGAGUGCUUUGUUGACUUGACACAGCGACAUUGUCAUUGACUCUUUUACCUCACCACCAAUCAUAUUCAGGGGUUGUUAUUGGAUUUACGAUAAAUCUUUUCAUUCUGUGGGUUUGGUUCCAAGCGUUUGAUAUUUCACAAACCUUCUUCUUGUAAUUAUCACCCUUGUACGAAAACUCACACUGAGCCAACCUUUGCGUUGCCAGUAUGAACUUCCUCAAUCUAUACUUGUAACACCCCUUACCCGUAGUCAACACCGAAAUAGGGUACGAGGCAUUACCAGAACACAUACGCUUGUAAACGUAUUUAACCGAGUUAUAAAUUUCAUCUAAAUUAAAAUUUUCAAAAUUAUUAACAUGCUUUUAUAAUUUUUCAUAAUAUAUCCUCAAAACAUUAUGAUCAUAAUAAUUAGGGCCUACGAAACCCGAUACACACUCAUGCAAUUUAAUGCUUCAUUUCCAUUUCAUUAUUUCGAUAUUUUAUAUACCAUCAUUUUCAUGAAUUUUGUACAUACUAGUAAUAGUUCAUUUCAAAUUCAUGUUAUCUCACUUCAAAACUUUACCCGUUAUAUCAUUUAAGUAUCAAUGGUUACAUUUAUUUCAGAUCAAUACCAAUAAUAAUUCAAUUCCAUAUUUUCUAAUACCCUUAUUAUUUUCCAUGUUUAUCCCGUUGAAUUUCUCAGAAAUUUGAUGGAUUUUCAGAGGUACACUUUUAGUGUACAAUUCCGGGUCCGUCAAUUCAUAUUCAUGUGCGGACAUUUUCAUUUCAGAGAGCACACUCCCGCGAACCUCAUCCUUACAGCGGGAUUACCAGUCCAGGCUAAAUUCAGACCCUAAUUCGGAUUACCCGUCCGGGCUAAAUCCAUUUUCCACAUAUUCUUCAGGAGGGCUAUAUCAGGAUAGGAUCACCCGUCCGGGCUAGAUCCUUUUUACCGUCAAUUCCUUUUCAGAGAUCCAUCGAAUUUUCCUUUCAUUCAACCGAGAUUUAUUUCCUCUUUUCAUCAAGUAUAUCAAUACUUAAUCAAUUAUCAUACAAUAAACAUACAACUCAUAUUCACAACAAUAACAAACAUUUCAAGCAUUUAAGAAUAUAAUUCAAGUUACACGAACUUACCGGGCUAAAUUGUAAAAAUACUAAAAUACAAGAGCAUUUUGGUAAUUUUCCAUUUUUUCGAUUUUCUAUCCGAUCUUGAUCUAAAUUAAUUUUUAAUUUUAAUAAAACAACUCAUUUCAUGCAAAUUGGUCAUUUUGACAUUUUUCCAAAAUUGCCCCUAAAGUUUUACUUUUAUUCAAUCUAGUCCUCGAACCUAAAUCAUGUAAAUUAACCAUUUGUAAUGCAAAUCCAUAAUAUUCAUACAUUUAUUUUCCUCCUCCUCCUCUCCAUUCCACAUCCUUAAUUUAUAUAACAUGCUUAUAAGUAAUAUUGUCUAUAAUUUUCACUAUUUUCUUGUAAAUUUAUUCAAAGCUGUCCAUUUGAGUCAUAGUCACUAAAUUAUUUGUAUCUUGAGAUAAAAAAAUCAAAAUUAAUAUCCAUUAAUUUUUCCUGAAACUAGACUCACAUAUCUUCUUGCCAUAAAAUUUUCAGAAUUUUUGGUUUAGCCAAAUGGUACAGUUUAUUCUUUAAAGUUUCCCUUGUUUCACUGUCUGACAGUUCCACCCACUCUUCACUAAAAAUGAAUUAUCUAAUUGUACAGAAUUCGGAUGAUGUUAAAGUUUGUUUUAUUUAAAAAUAGACUCAUCAAAUAUUCUAAGAAUAUAAAUAAAACAAGGGAACUGUCUUAUUUUCCAAAGUCAGAACAAGGGAACUCGAAAUCAUUCUGACCUUAUCUCAUAUAACCUAUUAUAUCUCAUAAUUUAUAAUUUCAUUGCUUACACUGUUUCUUCUAUGUGAAAAUAGACUCAAUAAGCUUUAAUUUCAUAUUUUAUUUAUCCUAUAAUUUGAUUUCCAAAAUUUAUGGUGAUUUUUAAAAGUUAACCUACUGCUGCUGUCCAAAACUGCUUUAGUGCAGAAUAUUGAUUACUAAGUCUAUAACACUCUUAUUUUCUUUUUUUACACUAUUUCUCAACACUUUCUCUUAUUUUCUCUUCACUAACAUAUCAAGAACAUAUAACUUUAUAUAAUAAAACCCUACAUUAACAUCAAUCUCACACUUUUUCAAUAAUAUCAAACUCAAAAAUAUAUUGAAAUCAUGAUGUUCUUACCUUGCUCAAUUGACUUCAAUCUUUAACUUGAUUUUCUCUCUCCUCCAGCCUCUAUUUCUUGAAUCUAACUUGAUAUUCUAGCUCCCCAUAGUCUCUUUGUCAAUUUUCUCUCUUGGUGGCAAUGAAAAUUUCUUUGAUUUCUAAGUAAAAAGGGUGGAUUUUUGGUGAAAAGACCAAAUUGUAAAGAAAGCAAAGCUUUCUUUCUUCCCCUCUUCUUCUCACGUUAAUGCAUGCAAAAAUGGUGGGGAUGACUACUUUUCAUCCUUCUUUCCACAUAUAUAUAUACUAAAUAAAUUAAUAAUAAAAUAAUAUCAUUUUAAAAAAAAUCAAAUUAAAAUAUUAAUAAACUAAUAUUUAUUUAUUUAUUAAUCUAAAAUAUCUCCAACAUCAUCAUUAUCUUCUAGAUUUCUCUCUCUUCUAAUUGACCAUUUUGCCCUUUAUGAUCUUUUAAAAUUCCAUCCUUGAGUCAUCACUUUAUUUGGUAAAAUUGUGAUUUAGUCCCUCGAACUUCUUCACCUUUUUCAAUUUGGUCCUAAUCCAUCCAUUUUCUUAGUUUCUAGAUUAUUCCACCCUUAAAAUAUUUACAUCAUUGGUCCUUCAACUUUUUCAUAUUACAUUUUAACCCCUCAACUUUUAAGUAUUUACUUGUGGGUAACAAAACUUUUCUCAAUUUUGCGAUUUAAUCCUUUCUUGAAUUAAUAUGUUAUAAUUUACUUCCCAAUAUUGCCAUAACUCAAAAUUACCCCUUUUUAGCACUUUAUUUCCUUAUUUUACUAUAUCAGAGAUAUUAUCUUACUUUCCUUACUAUAAAAAUUUUCGGGAUAUUACAAUACUGUCUCAAUACAAGUAGAGGGACAUAUCCAAUAGCUCCCCAUAUCCCGAGUAGAGGGACCCGGUCGAAGUUUCCCUAUCGGUACAAAAUCUCAUCAAGGAUCAUCCAAGGGGCUCUCCAUUCAACGUCUUCGUCUUAGAGACUCUGAAGAAUUGCCAUACAUUUCUCAUCUGAAAUGGUGUCUCGCCUUGGUGUAGCCACGAAUUCUUUCAACGGAGAGUAGUUCUUGGAAAAUACUCGAUAGGAGAAUUUCUUUACCUUUCAAAAGUGGUUGUGAAACCAAGCUAGUAAGAGUUGUGCACACCUAAUAAAUCUUCCUUCACCCGCUCUCCGGCUUGCAUUCAAAGAUCUGAAAGUUUCAGCCAAAAUUGUCGAGACGGGCGUGGCCCUUUUGUCAAGUCGGUCAAAUAGAUCUGAAACUGCAUCGUCUACGUACCCUAGUGCUUUGGUGAAAAUAAUCAACCCGUAAAUACUCAAGGCGAAGACGUCGACUCUUUUCUUCAUAUCCGAAUGUGCCAAGAUAAAAUCCCACAAACUUUUUCAAGAGAUGCAUUUACUAUAUCUCUUUUGUUUAAUUUGGGUCGUGACCCAUUUCUCACUCAUCCCUAUGAUGCUUAUUAGCUUUUUUAGGAAAGUCAGGACGUUGGCGGCUCUAAAAUAAGCUUUGUCGGCUUGGAUUCUUAGGCAACGAAGUAGAAUUGUGUACUCUUCUACGGUGGGCACCAAAUCUACCUUCCCAAAAGUGAAACAAUUAUAUACGGGAUUCCAAUAUUGGGCCAGAGCUCAAAACAAGUGCUUAUCCACUUUGACAUCGAGUAAAUAAGGCAGAUCACCAUAGUUAUACUAGAAUAGCUGUUUGGCUUCGUCACCCCAUUGGUCUCACACCUCUUUCAACUCUUGGAGGUUAUUCUGAGUCACACUGAUGCGAGUGAAAUCCCAUAAUUCUGACAUGUAUCCCUCUGUCAGGUUGUCACCUUUUCUUGUUGUGUCUUCUUGGACCAUAUCCGAACGACCGCAUUGUCUUUCACUUUAUCAACAAAUCCUUUUUCCAUAACAAGUUCUCUAUUUAGUACUGAACGUGAAUCAAUACCCUUUUCUAUGAUGAAAAUGCAAUGCAAUCACAGUUGAAACAAAAUGAAAAAAGUCAGUACAUUUCAUACAAACCUAGAAUUCAAAGCAAGAUAUAAGAAAUAGAACACCCAAUCAGGUGACCACUUGAGGUUCAGUGUGGUUCUACCUAAGGUAGGCUCUUAGGGCUCAUUAUAUGCGGUUUGAUUCUAAAGUAAGGGUACCUGAACCAACAGAUUCCUCGAUCCUCACCCAUUAUAGGCUCAUAUGGACCGAGUUCGGUUCAGAGGAAUACAUUUCCCUAUGGCUAGAGGGAGAUGAAGAUCUCACGAAGACAUAAGUACGGAUGUAUCUAGAAAGCGAUCCACUAUUUUAUACGGAGGUGAAGACCUCACGAAGGAAUAGCUUAUCACUCCCACUUAAGAAGGGCAAAAUCAAACGAUUAUGCAAUGCAGCAAUAUGUGGAAACAUACCAUGAGACUUGAACCAAUAAAGUAAACAUAUCAUUAUGUAACAAAAUGAUAAAGACCACAAAAAUGAAAGAUGAAAUGCAAUGAAGGGAUCGUAAAUUUAAACCGGAUUAUCAAUUUUUGACAAAAAGACCAAAAGUAAUCAACUCGCGGCUUGACUCUCUUAUUUCGUCCCCAGCGAAAUCGUCAAGCUGUUGAAACCUUUUUUGAAAUCAACUUUUUAUUUUAAAACGAAAAUGGAGUAACCACCAAUCCUUUUUUUAUUUAGGUGUGGUUGGAUCACCUCAAAACUCGAUCAUUUUAAUAAAACGUUAGAUUUACUAAAACGGUAAUCUUCGGUCUACAAAAUCCAGGAAAUGGGUUCCGGAGUCGGUUACGUAUGGGGAAGGAUUAGCACCCUCAUAACGUACAAAAUUGGUACCUAGUUGAUUACUUGAUGCUUUGAUGUCGAAAAUUGAAAAUUCGAAGAGAAUUUAAAAUACGAUCCCUUUUGCGCGAUGUUGUUUGAUGGUAUUGAAAAUAUCCCUAUCUAAAUCAAAUUUUUAAUGAGGAGGUUUUCUCAUUUUGAAUUGAUCGAGACAAAAAAUAUGUCCCGUAAGUUAGGGCACAAAAUCUCGAAUUCUCGAAAACAAGAAUUCUCGCCAUUUAGUUAUUGUCUAAAUCUUAUAUAUUUUAAAUAAUUUUUUUUAAAAAAAAGGAAAUUUCCUUUAAAGGGGGAAGGAUAUCCAAUUAUUUCGGUUCAAUGAGAGAAUUGUACCCUGUAAGUUAGGGUACAAUUUCUCAAAUCCUCAAAAUAAAGAACAUUGCCUUGAUUCAAGUUACUAAAUAUACAUCAUAUAAAAAUGAACCUAACAUUUAAAGCAAUAUGCGACUAAUUUAUUCGAGUAGUGGUACAAAAAUGAACAAAUAUUUAAACGUGUUACAUAAUAUGGUAGUGGCAAAAAUAGGAUAAAAUAGUUUACGCGGGUAAAAAAUGAUAAUAAGAUAAUAAAAAGUAAUAGUUGAAAUAAUUUUGUUAGCCGAUUAAUAAUACUAUUUAAUAAUAACAAUAAUUAGUAAAAUAAUAAGUGGAACAUUAGCAAUAACAAAAAUAGUAAAAAAUAAUAAAAAGUAUGAUAUUAAUAAUAAUAAUAAGAUAUUAACUAGCAUUAAUAAUCAUUUAACAAAAAUAUCAACAUUACAAAAUAUACAUAAAAAAUAAAAACUAAAAACUAAAAUGAACUAAAAUGAGAUGAUUAAGAAACUUAAAGAUAAAAAUGCAAGUUAUGUAAAUUAAAGGGUAAAAUAUAAAUAGGGAAUUGAAAAUGCUGAAAAUUAAAUAAAUAAAUAAAUAAAAAGGCAUGAUUAAAUGAAGAAAGAUUAAUCAAAACCAUAAAAAAAUUUCAGGGAAUAACAUAAUAAAAAUAGUAAAUAGAGAGGCAGAAUUAAAUAAACGAGGGAUUAAAAUGAAACUUAAACAGAAUUUAAUGCAUAAAUUGCAAAAUAAAUAAGAGAAUGAGAAAUAAAGGACUAAAUUGAAAAUAUAACAAAAUAUAACAUCUAAAUUAUGAGCAAAUAGAACAUAAAUGAUUAAAUUAAAAUAGGAAUAGAAAAGUUUAGGGACCCAAAGGGAAAUUAUCCAAACCCCAUGUCAUUUCUUUACUUCAAUAGUGGGUCAAAGGACCGAUUUACAAGGAAAUUAAAUUAUGGGUAAAAUUUACAAAAAAAAUUAAAAGGAAUAAGACGAAAAUAAAAUGGAAAUUUCCCCCUCCAAGCUACGACACGCGGAUCCUAGGGGUCGGGUCGGAUUAUUUGGAUCAGCUUUGAAACGAAGUCGUUUUGGGUGUCUGAAGCCAAGCCCAAAACGACGUCAUUUUGAAAGGGCUAUAUAAGUUUAAAAAAUCAUUUUUUGCAUCAGUUAAAAAAAAUUUCUUGUUUCUUUUUUUUUCUCUCUCUCAACACUCCCUUUUCGUUUGGCCCAUGUGCCAGUGAAUCUCCCCCGUGGCCACCAAUCAUCUGCGAUGGAGACCGUCGCCUCCAGUGGCCAAAGUUCCUCAAAAUAGGCCAUUUUUAUCCUCUUUUUGAGUAGAUUAUGUAUCUAGAGUUAGAUCUUCCAAAAUCUAUUCGAAACUUGAUUGGAAAUCAAAAGAACCUUUUGACUCCUCUUCUCCGAUGAAGCCGUCGACGGUGGUGGAAGAUGAACAGGUAAAAAGAAAGUUUAAACCUUUUGUUUUAUUUUUCUUGUAUUUUUCGAAACAAAAAAGAAAAAAAAUAAAAAAUAAAAUAAGACUACCUUCGUAUUUUCUUUUUAACUUUUGUUGUUCUUUUUUUUAUUCGAUUUUUCUUUUUUUGUUACAAAUCAUUUUCGGUCUUUAUAGCCGAAAUAUAAUACAUUAUAUUUUUGUUUUGUUUUGUCUUUUCUCUGUUUCUGCUUUUGUUCUUUGUUGUUGUCUUACAGGUGGUUUCGUGUGAUGGUGGCAAGGAGCUCUUCGGUCAACCAUGGUGGGGAGUCGUGUUUUUUGCCAUUUUAGUUAAAAAGGGUAGACCUUGGGCGACGCAAUUGCUGAUGUGGCAGAGGCGGGGGUUAAAGACUUAAGAAGGCUAGGGUUACUGAUAUUUUUUUAAUGUUUUGGGAUUUUAGGGUUUUUGUAUUUGGGCUAUUUGGGAUUGUAAUUAAUGGACUUUUAUUAUUCAUUUAUUUAUUUAUUUGAUUAUUGUUUGGUUUAUUUGUUUUGGGUUUGGGUUGGAUAAAAUUGGCCUGUUACAAAGUGCAUAGAAAACACAAGCAUGUUCAAGGGUAUGCUGAAGGAUAUCAUUGUUAAUUAGGGUGGAGUGAAAGACAAUGUUGGUUUGUAAGAUCCAAAGUUCCCAAAGAAAGUAAGCAAAAACAACAUUCCAAGGUAGGGAUGGCCUAGAAAACCAAGCUUCUAAGUGAAGAUUCUCAAAUAGCCAAAGUAUCCAACCUCUGUUAUGUACUUGAUUAAUGUUCUCUAGAUUGCACAAUUUGUUCAACUAGAGAUCAUUGGCUAGGCAUUUGCGAAGUAGAUGUUUCAAUGUCUUCUUGGUGAUUCUCACAUAGGGGACAUGACAAGUCAAUGGUCAUAUCCCUCUCAAACAAGCGUAUCUUAGUAGGCAAAAUGCAAAUGCUGCAUUUCUAUCAGAAAAUAUUCACCUUUGGAGAGAGAUUUGUUUUCCAAACAAAAUCCCAAAUAAGUUUAUCCCAAUUAUCAACAAAUGGAGGCCUAUUAUUGGCCAUACCAUAGGCUCUGGAAAGGGAAAAGAUCUCAACAUUCAAUCGUGACCAAAAAAUCAUGUCUUGAUCUUGCAAGUGGGACACUGUUAGGGUACUUAGGAACAUAUUGAGAAUAUUCGACUGGAGGUUAAAAGAGAGGGUAGAAGCUUGUCGUUCAUCCUAUUCGAUUUUAACUUGUAGAAAGGAUUUUUCCUCCUCUUCUAGUCGUAGUAGCCUUGUUAGGAAAGAUCUAGGUGCACCAAAACCUGUCUAGUAAUAUUCCCAUCCCAUACUACCCAUCUAAUGCCUUGCUAAAAGAGUAAACUAAUCCUUCUAAGUCCACUCCAAGUUGCGAAAAUAUUGUUCGACCGAGGAUUACCAAUGCGGGUUUGAGUGUAUUCGGCUAUAAGCAUUUAUGCCCAAAGAAUGCACCAUCCAAGAUUUGAUAUUUGCUUCCAAGUUUGGUGAGACCAAUGAGAUUAACAAUAAAUCUCUCUAUUAAGUACCUUUAUGACCUUUGACUAUUUCUUGAAGUUUCAAUAAUUAUGUAUGAUUCAAUCUAAUGACUAAAUAUGUAUGAUUCGAUCUAAUGAAAUAUAACUAAAGUGUAGUUGAAUUGAAGUAGAGAGGUUUAAGAAAAAGGGAAAAUCAUUAUAGCGUGUGAUUCAAUUGUAUUCACAGGCAAUCAAUUAUGUUUAAUGUUGUGAAGAUAAUUGUGAAUACAAAAAUUUAUUAUUUCACUAAGUAAAAAGAUGAUAAGAAAACUUGAAAUGUGCUUAAAUGAAUUCGGGUGUUGCAUACUAACUCUACUAACAGUUGUAUAGUAGCCUGCUCUUAAAAGUAAAAUAUGUUGGUCCCAGGAUUUAUUUCCUUAUAUGAACCUUGAAGAGAACAGAAAGAACACAAAAUAAUCUCCUAAAGUUUAAUCACGAGAAUAUUGUACUCGUUAUGUGUGAAGAUAUUGAGAUUAGACGCACAUAAUGAGUGACCCAUUUGCGAUAUACUAUAUUACCAAUGACCAUAAUUUUUACUCAAACCAUUAUAGUUUAAGGUUAUAAAGUCGGUGAAUUUUAGGUAAAAUUCUAUUAUUAGUCUAUGUAUUUAGUAAAAGUUGUAGAUUUAAUCCAUACAUUUUUAUUUAGUCAUUUCAGUUCUCACUAAACAAUAAUUGUUAAAUUCAUUAAAUAAUGUUUUGCUAUUUCUAAAAUUUGAUGUGACAAACAUAUUUCCAUAUGUGUAAUGUCAUAUUAGUUUAUUAUUUCCACAUAUUACUUUCUAAAAAUCCAGUUAGAAUUAAUGAUUGUCAUUUGCGUUAAAAUUGAAAUUUCAAAAUUCAAAAAGUAUAGAGACUUAGAAUAAUACAAAUAGGGAAAAUGGACUAAAUCUGCAAUUGUAUGAAUAUUACAUGACUAGUAAUUGAAUUUAAUUAAACAGAUUUAGUUGCUACUGUUUGAGUCGGGGCUAAAAUUUUAAAGUUUAAAAAGUAGAGAGAUUAAAACUAUACAAUAACUAAAGUUGAUCAAAUAAAAAUAUAGAGAUUAAAUUUGCAAUAAAGAGGGAGAAUUUAACUUAAGAAUGAGAAGUAGGGAGAGUUUUACCAUUGAUGAGAGAAUGAACCUUGGUUAGGUGGACAGUUAAGGAGAGGUGGAGCAAGUUAACAUACCAAAUUACAAUAAAUUUGAUUUUAACCAAGUUUUUGGAGUUGGUAUGGCUAUGGAUGAAUGAGUUGAGUUGGAACAAAAGCCUAGGUGUUGAGCAUCGUAGGUGUAGCUGAUGAGCCGAAAAAAGGUAAGGGAUUUCAUCAGAAUUAACAAUACAUUGUCCGGUCCGUACUACUGAGGAAUAAAAAGAGGAACAUGGAGGAGCCACCGGUGUUACAGAUGCAGCAGCACUUGUAUGAAAAACUCCAUCACCCUAUCUAUCCCAUUGUUAUGUCAAAUCCAAAGUUGCUGUUAAUUAUGGUUCACUUUCAUCCUACUUUUUUCUGCCGCCGGCGCUACAACGCCUUUUAAGGCUCUUCCUUAUUCAAGUAAAAUUAAAAUUUGUAGACUAAGAACUUUUAUUUAUUAAAUUCAAGUGAAAAAGUUUAUGUUAUGUGUAAAUUAUAUGUAAAAUUUUAGUUUAAAUUUUAUUUUGCUUUUAAGUUUUAUCAUGUGUGAUUUAUGAAAUUUAUUCAAGUAAAAUUAAUUUUUUUUAAUUUAAUUUUAGAUGUAUUUUGAUUAUUAAUUUGAUUAUAUUAAUUUUUGUGUUAAUUAUUUUAAUAUAUAUAUUUGUACUUGAUCCAAUAUUUUUACUUUUAAAAAAAACCUAAAGAUCAUUGCGAAGUUUAAUUAAUUUAAGAUUGACAGUUAAUUUAGGAUUGUUUCUCAAAAAUAUUUUUGAGAAAAAAAAAACACUUUUGACUUGAAGAGAAGUUAAAAUUUUCAAUUUCUAAAAAUAAAAAAUACUUUUGGGUUAAUUUUUAAGUUGGGAGAAACAUUUUCUCUCUCAAGAAGCAAUUUAUUUAAGAAUGUUGUUAUCCAAAAGUGUUUUUUUUGAAAAUAAUACUAAAACACACCCCCUUGAAUAACACCUAGUUACUUCUUAGAAAUUACAAGUUUGACUAGUGUAAUAUUCUACUAAUUUAAUUAAUUAAAGGGUUUAAUGAAUUUAUAAAUAACUUUAAAAUGUAUUAAAACAAAUGAGUGCUUAGCCUUUUGAAUUUCUCUAUUUAAAUAUGAAAAAAUAUUUUAUAUAUUGCUAAUGAAGUUUUUAGAUUCCAUAAGUAGGAUUAAAGAGUUGACAAAUGUCUCAUAGGAGUAUAGUAAAAUAUAAAAAAUAUAUUUUAAAAAAAUACAUGAUAUUUUUUAAGGUAACUUAUGGAAUAAAAAAAACAUACUACCAGUGUACCAAAUACUAGUUUAAAUAUAGUGGUAAAUUUUUCAUUCCAAAAUUAAUCUUUUGGGUUAAAGUGAAAACCUUUAAAUAUAUUAAAUUUACGAGAAAAUAUUUGGUACGCUGCUCGUGGAGUUUUUAGACUCCAUAAUUAAGGUUAGAAAUUGACAAGUGUAUUAUAGGAUAUAGUAAAAUAUUUUUUAAAAAUAGAUACAUUGAUAGUAUACCAAAUACUAACCCUAAAUUUAAAUAUCUAUACUUAUUAUAAAAUUUUGAAUGGGUUGAAGUGUUAAUUGAGUACAAAACUCGGUUGGAAAAAGACAAAAAUACCUUUACUUUACAAGCACGGUAUACCCAAAAUGAUUGCAAGUACUUAACACAAUAAGGAAAAUAACCUUGGAUUCUCUAAAGUGUCGAGCAAAAAUCAGUAAAAGAAUAAAGCAUCCACCAAACUAGAGAGGACAACGACGAAACCAUCCCUAAAUUCACUUACAAAAGCAAGACUAAAAAAGUUAUAAAAUGUAAGACAAAAAGUUCCAAAAUGAAGAAUUAUUAAACAAUGAAAAAAACAUAUAAUACUUAAGACAACAUGAGUCCAAAAUAACUCGUAAAAUAAUUUAUUAUUCUGAAAUACUCUCAAAACAAAAUAGAUUAAGAAGUCGAAGAAGGUCACUGUUCGAGUAUCUACAACCAACCAACUUUUCAAGAAAAAUUGUUGGUCAUUUGUCCAUCACAACUUAUGAAAACAACAAAGAUAUCCAUAACACAUCUGCAAACUGAAAAAGGAAAAGACACGUGAAGUGAAUAAGAAAAACAAAAAAAAAAUUAGUGAAAGAGAGAAAAAGGUGAAUAGUAACCAACUCAAAGACUAGCACUACUGUUAAGCAAAACAAGGUAGAAAAAACAAAUUACUUCAUGAAAAAAAGGGAAAUUAUCCUUAUAAUUAUAUUGUUAUUUAUUAUGAAGAUUAAAUCAUUUAAUAAUUUCUUAAUUAAGUUGUUGUUUGGAACCCAACAUUUUGUUUAUUGGUUAAGGUGUUCAUUAUAUCUCAAAAUUGUGGGAUCGAUCAAGAGAUUGUGCCUAUGUGAUAAUUUAAAUAUGUGUGUGAGCUUGAGAUUCUAUUGUAUCAAAAAAAAAUAAUUUAUUUGAUUGGUUCAUAACAUCAACUCAAUUAAUAAAUUAUACAUAAUAAAGAUAUAUAAUAUAUUUUUCACUAAAUUAAUUCACAAGUUAUACUGCACCAAUAGGUAUGUAUAUAUAUAAAUUUAUCCACCUUUGUCCAUUACAGUUAACCACAGCCCCUUAUCUUAUUUCACAAUUUUAAAUGUGCUUUUUCAAGGCACUUUGAUUUUUUUUUCAUAUUAAUUAACAUUUUUUUAAUUUCAAAAAUAAAUUUCACAUGCAUUUUUUGCAUGUGGCAUAAAAUUUAGUAAUAUAUAACACUAAUAAAUAAAAACAUAAAUUGUUAAUGUGUUAUAUAUUCAUGUCAAAUACUAUUUUUAUAGUAUUAUAUUUUAUAUUUAGUUUUUUUUAAUAAAUAUAUCAAAAACUUGCAAGCUGCAAUUUUUUUUUAAAAGACCCCAUUGAUGAACCGAAAAGAUCAAAAGGGUCACUGGGAUAGAACCAGCUGAUAAUGAUAGGCAGUAAUGGUCUCAUCACAUUCACAUGCAUGCAGUAGCAAACAAAAACAAUAUUCUCGUAUUGGGAAAAAAGUUGGAGUUUUUAUCGCAAAACGAAUGGGAGAGACAGAAGCCAACUGGAAAUGGUGAAGCAAAAGGAAUCAGAUGAUCAAAGAAAGUUUGAACUUUGAACAAAAAAAAAAAACUAAAACGAAAGAGCCAAGCAUCACUCUUGUUAAACACAGUAGUUAACAUGAAGCAACUGUUGUUCCAGUGGACUAUACUUACACCAUUUCGCAAGAAAAGCCACUUUGUUCCAGGGCUAUAUUUAUACAUAUAUAAAUGGUGUUAUGCUUCAGUGUAGUUGUGGUGGAUGAGGCGCAAUGUCACGCCUGUGAAGGAUCACGUACUUCGAAGAAAGACCGGUUCUUGACGACAAUGUCGUACAUAUGUAUGGACCUGAAGUUGUCGAAGUUCCUUGGGAGGGAAAUGAGGUGACUUGAGUUUGCUGAUUUGUGGAAUUGGAGAAGCUCAGGUUGGUCCGAGUUGUAGUAACGAGUCCAGCCAAGCUCACCCAGACGCUGCUCCAGUUCGGAGUAGGAGCGGAUCACUUGGUUCGUGGGGCGGUAGACUAGGACGCGUGGUCGAGCCCCUGCUGCGGUCGACGUUCCCGGAUAAAUAGGAUCUUUUUCCUCGAAGGAUUCUCUGGUUGGAUUGGAUAUCAAUCGAGCCACACCAUUUUUGUCAAAUAUCCAUACACCCGACAUUGUAUGCCUAGACACAAGAGAUGAUGGCUAGUUAAUUGUUGCUAGGUUGAAACUUGAAAGCCCGUGCCUCCACCUUUAUAGGACAAGGGACUCCCAGUGUAAAGACUACUUUAUUAUAUAUAGUAAUGUAUUACCGGCACCUUACAUUCUUUAGAUAAAUGCCAACUCAAUAGUUAAUUGUAACUUCAAGAAUAUAUAUAUUUGGGCUUUAUUGUACAAAAUAAUAGUUCAUCGUAUUCUUGAAUUGAUUGUCACUAAACUAACUAUAAAUACGAUUAAAGCAAGCGCACCUAUCGAACAAUAGUAUAGUUACGGUGAGUAGGGAAUAUUGUAUUCACGAGGACUAAAAGUACUAGUAAUUACCGGUUUUCUAUUAUUUAGCCGAUAAAUUGGAGUGAUUGUUUUUAAUCUAAAAUUACUAAACUAAUUUAACUAAGAAUGCAACAUAGAAUAAAAUAGGAAAAUAACCGAAGAUGCCAAUGAGAGAGAUAAUACCCAGGAAAAAAUCCACCUACACUUCACUUAUUAUUAUGAAUCUGAAUUAAAUGAUUUAUUCGCUUAUGCCUUGAUCCGUAGAAAUCCCUAAAUUAUGUUAAUAUCUCUUUCGAGAGUAUGAACAACUAACUCUAGGUUGAUUAAUUGAAAUCUCUUUCUAAUUAAAACUCCUAUUGUCGCAUUAACUCGAUCUAUGGAUUCCCCUAUUAUAUUUGACUCUAAUCCGGUAGAUUUAUGUCGUCCUAUUUCUAGGACUGCAUGCAACUCCACUCAAUUAUGCUAUACAGGGACUUUUGCUCCACUAAAAUAAGUACAUUAAACAUGAAUUAAUAUCCUUAGAUUAUUAAAACAUGAAAUAAGCAUACAUAAUUGAGAACAAGAAUCAAGUAUUUAUCAUGUAAAUCAAAAAUUAAAUAAUAAGAUUCAUCAUAGGUUUCAUCUUCCCUAGGUAUCUAGGGAAUUUAGUUCAUAAUCUUAAAUAGAAACAUCUCAAAGUUAAGAUAACAACAAGUCAUAAAGAAACCCAAAUAAGUUUCUAAAGAAAUUAAAUGGAGAUCUUCAAUCUUGAAGGCGAUCCGCUUCCAAGAUGAUUCCGAUGGCGUUCUUCGAGUAUUUUCUUCAAUCUUCUAUGGGUCCUCUUUUGGGUUCUCUUCUAAUAUAUGUAUUUAUAAACUUUAGGAUGCUCUGAAACCCUAAAAAUUAGAUUUUUUGUGAAAAAGGGAAGCAGGGUGCAAAAUCGACACAGGCCAGCACAUGGGCGUGUGGCCAGCCCGUGUGGUUCACACGGGCGUGUGCCCAGCCCGUGUGGAAAAGCUAAAGCCGUGUGGAUCCUGAAAACAGCUCUUUUUGUCUUAGUUUGGCCUAUUUUUCGCUCCUUUCACUCCCCUAUGCUCACUUAAGUAUAGAAACAUGAAUUUAAAGGAUUAGGAGAUCAAAUUCACUAAUUUACAUACUAAAUCAUCCAAAAAUGCAUUAAGAAUGGGAUUAAAAACAUGUUACUUUUAUGGCUUAUCAUGAAUCUAUGAGAUAUUGAAACAAUGAAUUGAAGGAAUCUGGUUUCUAGUAAGAGUAUAAGUAAGUUGUCCAAACUAGAACAUUUGAUUUGAUGGUAAAGGACCCAAGAGAGUGAAUCACUUGCUUGUAAGCUAUAUGAGUUAUCCACUUCGUUCUUCAUGUCGCAGAUGGUAAACUCACUUUUUUUGUUAAUGGCGAAACACCCCUAAGUGUUCCAAGUGCCCACUCUAUCGCACAUUCAACAUGUUAUUGCUAAUGCGUUUGUUCUGUGAUACGUCGGAUGUUGUUAUGUAUAGUCCAACUAGAGUAGAGGUAGGCUGCAAGCUCAUGUAAUUGGGGUGAUUGAAGAAUUAAUUAGGAUCAUUGCAUUGAAUUCUUACUUUCUUAGACACUAAAAUGGAAGAUUAAUCACUGCAUAUCUAUGCACCAAGAGUAUGUUUUUUUUCCUUAUCUCUUGUUUGAAUGUUUCCCAUUCUAUUGUAGACCAGCAUUAAAAUUUUAACUACGGGUUAUAGUAAUUUAAGGCUAAAUUAGUUAAUUAUGUCAUUUUUGUUAUUUGGUCUUUUAGGUUGUUUUUUUUUAAAUCGGGAAAAUAAGUUAACUUUGGAGAUAGUGUGUGAAAGGGACCAACAGUCAUUUUUUUAACGUUGACAACGAUAAAAUUUUUGAAGGGCCCUAACGGUAAUUUUUUUCCUAUAAAUACUAGGCAAUUUUUUAUUCUUUUCACUCAAAUCCAACUCUCUCAAUUCUUUAUAAACUCUCAACUCUCUCAAUUUUCUCAAGUUCUGUUCUCAAUUUUCUGAUACGUUUGUUUAAAAAUAUCAUAGAUUUAUUUAAUUAUUUCGUAUAUUAUUCGUUUCAAUUAAAUUUUCACGAAUGACAACCUCUCACUACACCAAAUGAGGCUUUUAACGGUAUAUUUUGUGGCGUUUUUACUACAAACGCCGCUAAUAAUCUCGCAUUAGCGGCGCAAAAAAUAAACCGCUGCUAAAUAUCAGGCAUUAGCGGCGCAUCAUGAAAAACGCCGUAAAAGAACAUCAUUAGCGGCAUUUACCAUCACAUGCCGCAAGAUCUGAAGACCAAAACGCAUCGUUUUGGUCUUGAUGUAUACUAGAAUUAGUGGCGUUUAUAGUAAAUCGCCGCUAAAGCAAUUAAUAGCGGCGCAAUGGCUGAAGCGCCGCAAAAAUCUAAACGAAAACGCAUCAUUUUGUCUCGCUAUAUAUUAGCGUUAGUGGCGCUUUAAAAAAACACGCCGCUAAAGCAAGUAUUAGCAGCGCUUACUAAAAGCGCCGCAAUAUAUGUUAACCAAAACGCAGAGUUUGGCCUAGAGGUAUGUUACAAUUUAUGGCGCUUGUGGAAAAACGCCGCAAAAUAUCCUAACCAAAGUGCACCGUUUUGGUCUUGGUGUAUGUUACACUUAGUGGCGUUUAAUAUAAAACGCCGGUAAAGUAUAAUAUUAGCGGCGUGUUGUGGUAAGUGCCGCAAAACAUCUUAACCAAAACGCAGAGUUUGGUCUUGAGGUAUACUAGAACUAGUGGCGCAGAGGGAAAACGCCGCUAAUGCAUACUAUUAGCGGCGCUUUCGUAUAAGCGCCGCAAAAUUUGAUAACAAAAAUGCAACGUUUUUGUCUUGAUGUAUACAGUUAUUAGUGGCGCAUAUUAAGAAACGCCGCUAAAUCAUAGUAUUAGCGGUGCUUGGGCAAACGCGCCGCAAAAUAUGCUCACCAAAACGCUGAGUUUUUACAUGAGGUAUAUUAGAAUUAGUGGCGCUUGCGGGAUAUCGCCGCUAAAGUAUAUUAUUAGCGGCGCUUCUUUAUAAGCGCCGGAAAAGAUAUUAACAAAAAUGCAGCGUUUAAGUCUUGAUGUAUACUGGAAUUAGUGGCGUCCACGAGAAAUCGCCGCUAAAGCAUGGUAUUAGCGGCGCUUUUUGAUAAGCGCCGGAAAAUGUCUUAACCAAAACGCAGAGUUUUGGUCUUAACCAUGCAUUAUAUAAUGUAGGUUAUUAUAUAUGUUUAGUUUAUCGUAUUUGGUCUAUGGUUUAUGGUUUAAAGGUUGGGGUUUAAGGUUUAAGGUUAUGUGUUAAGGAUUUAUGAUUUAAUUUAGGGUUUAUGGUUUACAGUUUAGAUUAACUAGUGUUUUCUAAUUUAUAUAUUAAUUAAUUUCUUAUAUAAUUGUAAAAGAUAUAAUAUUAAUUUCGAUCUUUAAAAUUGUGUGAAGAUUUGGUUAUUCAAAAUCGAUAUAAGCUAUAUCCAGAAGGAUAUCCCCAUCUUAUCCCAUCUCGGUUCAGUAUUUUUAGUGCUCUGUUCAGUAUAAUAUAUAUAUAUGAUUAUUAAUUUAAGAUUUUAGCUAGGUCAUAUUUAGGGUCGGGUUACUAUUUUAAGGUUAUUGUAAUUGAUCAGGAGUACUGUAUAUAGUAUUAUGUAAGAGCUGAUCAGAUUUAAUGUUUAGGUGUUAGGAGCUGGGUUAGACGUUAUGGGCCGAUUAGGAGUUAGGGAUUUAUGGUUUAGCCAGGGAUUUAGGGUAGACCUUGGGCGACGCAAUUGCUGAUGUGGCAGAGGCGGGGGCUAAAGACUUAAGAAGGCUAGGGUUACUGAUAUUUUUUUAAUGUUUUGGGAUUUUAGGGUUUUUGUAUUUGGGCUAUUUGGGAUUGUAAUUAAUGGACUUUUAUUAUUCAUUUAUUUAUUAAUUUGAUUAUUGUUUGGUUUAUUUGUUUUGGGUUUGGGUUGGAUAAAAUUGGCCUGUUACAAAGUGCAUAGAAAACACAAGCAUGUUCAAGGGUAUGCUGAAGGAUAUCAUUGUUAAUUAGGGUGGAGUGAAAGACAAUGUUGGUUUGUAAGAUCCAAAGUUCCCAAAGAAAGUAAGCAAAAACAACAUUCCAAGGUAGGGAUGGCCUAGAAAACCAAGCUUCUAAGUGAAGAUUCUCAAAUAGCCAAAGUAUCCAACCUCUGUUAUGUACUUGAUUAAUGUUCUCUAGAUUGCACAAUUUGUUCAACUAGAGAUCAUUGGCUAGGCAUUUGCGAAGUAGAUGUUUCAAUGUCUUCUUGGUGAUUCUCACAUAGGGGACAUGACAAGUCAAUGGUCAUAUCCCUCUCAAACAAGCGUAUCUUAGUAGGCAAAAUGCAAAUGCUGCAUUUCUAUCAGAAAAUAUUCACCUUUGGAGAGAGAUUUGUUUUCCAAACAAAAUCCCAAAUAAGUUUAUCCCAAUUAUCAACAAAUGGAGGCCUAUUAUUGGCCAUACCAUAGGCUCUGGAAAGGGAAAAGAUCUCAACAUUCAAUCGUGACCAAAAAAUCAUGUCUUGAUCUUGCAAGUGGGACACUGUUAGGGUACUUAGGAACAUAUUGAGAAUAUUCGACUGGAGGUUAAAAGAGAGGGUAGAAGCUUGUCGUUCAUCCUAUUCGAUUUUAACUUGUAGAAAGGAUUUUUCCUCCUCUUCUAGUCGUAGUAGCCUUGUUAGGAAAGAUCUAGGUGCACCAAAACCUGUCUAGUAAUAUUCCCAUCCCAUACUACCCAUCUAAUGCCUUGCUAAAAGAGUAAACUAAUCCUUCUAAGUCCACUCCAAGUUGCGAAAAUAUUGUUCGACCGAGGAUUACCAAUGCGGGUUUGAGUGUAUUCGGCUAUAAGCAUUUAUGCCCAAAGAAUGCACCAUCCAAGAUUUGAUAUUUGCUUCCAAGUUUGGUGAGACCAAUGAGAUUAACAGUAAAUCUCUCUAUUAAGUACCUUUAUGACCUUUGACUAUUUCUUGAAGUUUCAAUAAUUAUGUAUGAUUCAAUCUAAUGACUAAAUAUGUAUGAUUCGAUCUAAUGAAAUAUAACUAAAGUGUAGUUGAAUUGAAGUAGAGAGGUUUAAGAAAAAGGGAAAAUCAUUAUAGCGUGUGAUUCAAUUGUAUUCACAGGCAAUCAAUUAUGUUUAAUGUUGUGAAGAUAAUUGUGAAUACAAAAAUUUAUUAUUUCACUAAGUAAAAAGAUGAUAAGAAAACUUGAAAUGUGCUUAAAUGAAUUCGGGUGUUGCAUACUAACUCUACUAACAGUUGUAUAGUAGCCUGCUCUUAAAAGUAAAAUAUGUUGGUCCCAGGAUUUAUUUCCUUAUAUGAACCUUGAAGAGAACAGAAAGAACACAAAAUAAUCUCCUAAAGUUUAAUCACGAGAAUAUUGUACUCGUUAUGUGUGAAGAUAUUGAGAUUAGACGCACAUAAUGAGUGACCCAUUUGCGAUAUACUAUAUUACCAAUGACCAUAAUUUUUACUCAAACCAUUAUAGUUUAAGGUUAUAAAGUCGGUGAAUUUUAGGUAAAAUUCUAUUAUUAGUCUAUGUAUUUAGUAAAAGUUGUAGAUUUAAUCCAUACAUUUUUAUUUAGUCAUUUCAGUUCUCACUAAACAAUAAUUGUUAAAUUCAUUAAAUAAUGUUUUGCUAUUUCUAAAAUUUGAUGUGACAAACAUAUUUCCAUAUGUGUAAUGUCAUAUUAGUUUAUUAUUUCCACAUAUUACUUUCUAAAAAUCCAGUUAGAAUUAAUGAUUGUCAUUUGCGUUAAAAUUGAAAUUUCAAAAUUCAAAAAGUAUAGAGACUUAGAAUAAUACAAAUAGGGAAAAUGGACUAAAUCUGCAAUUGUAUGAAUAUUACAUGACUAGUAAUUGAAUUUAAUUAAACAGAUUUAGUUGCUACUGUUUGAGUCGGGGCUAAAAUUUUAAAGUUUAAAAAGUAGAGAGAUUAAAACUAUACAAUAACUAAAGUUGAUCAAAUAAAAAUAUAGAGAUUAAAUUUGCAAUAAAGAGGGAGAAUUUAACUUAAGAAUGAGAAGUAGGGAGAGUUUUACCAUUGAUGAGAGAAUGAACCUUGGUUAGGUGGACAGUUAAGGAGAGGUGGAGCAAGUUAACAUACCAAAUUACAAUAAAUUUGAUUUUAACCAAGUUUUUGGAGUUGGUAUGGCUAUGGAUGAAUGAGUUGAGUUGGAACAAAAGCCUAGGUGUUGAGCAUCGUAGGUGUAGCUGAUGAGCCGAAAAAAGGUAAGGGAUUUCAUCAGAAUUAACAAUACAUUGUCCGGUCCGUACUACUGAGGAAUAAAAAGAGGAACAUGGAGGAGCCACCGGUGUUACAGAUGCAGCAGCACUUGUAUGAAAAACUCCAUCACCCUAUCUAUCCCAUUGUUAUGUCAAAUCCAAAGUUGCUGUUAAUUAUGGUUCACUUUCAUCCUACUUUUUUCUGCCGCCGGCGCUACAACGCCUUUUAAGGCUCUUCCUUAUUCAAGUAAAAUUAAAAUUUGUAGACUAAGAACUUUUAUUUAUUAAAUUCAAGUGAAAAAGUUUAUGUUAUGUGUAAAUUAUAUGUAAAAUUUUAGUUUAAAUUUUAUUUUGCUUUUAAGUUUUAUCAUGUGUGAUUUAUGAAAUUUAUUCAAGUAAAAUUAAUUUUUUUUAAUUUAAUUUUAGAUGUAUUUUGAUUAUUAAUUUGAUUAUAUUAAUUUUUGUGUUAAUUAUUUUAAUAUAUAUAUUUGUACUUGAUCCAAUAUUUUUACUUUUAAAAAAAACCUAAAGAUCAUUGCGAAGUUUAAUUAAUUUAAGAUUGACAGUUAAUUUAGGAUUGUUUCUCAAAAAUAUUUUUGAGAAAAAAAAAACACUUUUGACUUGAAGAGAAGUUAAAAUUUUCAAUUUCUAAAAAUAAAAAAUACUUUUGGGUUAAUUUUUAAGUUGGGAGAAACAUUUUCUCUCUCAAGAAGCAAUUUAUUUAAGAAUGUUGUUAUCCAAAAGUGUUUUUUUUGAAAAUAAUACUAAAACACACCCCCUUGAAUAACACCUAGUUACUUCUUAGAAAUUACAAGUUUGACUAGUGUAAUAUUCUACUAAUUUAAUUAAUUAAAGGGUUUAAUGAAUUUAUAAAUAACUUUAAAAUGUAUUAAAACAAAUGAGUGCUUAGCCUUUUGAAUUUCUCUAUUUAAAUAUGAAAAAAUAUUUUAUAUAUUGCUAAUGAAGUUUUUAGAUUCCAUAAGUAGGAUUAAAGAGUUGACAAAUGUCUCAUAGGAGUAUAGUAAAAUAUAAAAAAUAUAUUUUAAAAAAAUACAUGAUAUUUUUUAAGGUAACUUAUGGAAUAAAAAAAACAUACUACCAGUGUACCAAAUACUAGUUUAAAUAUAGUGGUAAAUUUUUCAUUCCAAAAUUAAUCUUUUGGGUUAAAGUGAAAACCUUUAAAUAUAUUAAAUUUACGAGAAAAUAUUUGGUACGCUGCUCGUGGAGUUUUUAGACUCCAUAAUUAAGGUUAGAAAUUGACAAGUGUAUUAUAGGAUAUAGUAAAAUAUUUUUUAAAAAUAGAUACAUUGAUAGUAUACCAAAUACUAACCCUAAAUUUAAAUAUCUAUACUUAUUAUAAAAUUUUGAAUGGGUUGAAGUGUUAAUUGAGUACAAAACUCGGUUGGAAAAAGACAAAAAUACCUUUACUUUACAAGCACGGUAUACCCAAAAUGAUUGCAAGUACUUAACACAAUAAGGAAAAUAACCUUGGAUUCUCUAAAGUGUCGAGCAAAAAUCAGUAAAAGAAUAAAGCAUCCACCAAACUAGAGAGGACAACGACGAAACCAUCCCUAAAUUCACUUACAAAAGCAAGACUAAAAAAGUUAUAAAAUGUAAGACAAAAAGUUCCAAAAUGAAGAAUUAUUAAACAAUGAAAAAAACAUAUAAUACUUAAGACAACAUGAGUCCAAAAUAACUCGUAAAAUAAUUUAUUAUUCUGAAAUACUCUCAAAACAAAAUAGAUUAAGAAGUCGAAGAAGGUCACUGUUCGAGUAUCUACAACCAACCAACUUUUCAAGAAAAAUUGUUGGUCAUUUGUCCAUCACAACUUAUGAAAACAACAAAGAUAUCCAUAACACAUCUGCAAACUGAAAAAGGAAAAGACACGUGAAGUGAAUAAGAAAAACAAAAAAAAAAUUAGUGAAAGAGAGAAAAAGGUGAAUAGUAACCAACUCAAAGACUAGCACUACUGUUAAGCAAAACAAGGUAGAAAAAACAAAUUACUUCAUGAAAAAAAGGGAAAUUAUCCUUAUAAUUAUAUUGUUAUUUAUUAUGAAGAUUAAAUCAUUUAAUAAUUUCUUAAUUAAGUUGUUGUUUGGAACCCAACAUUUUGUUUAUUGGUUAAGGUGUUCAUUAUAUCUCAAAAUUGUGGGAUCGAUCAAGAGAUUGUGCCUAUGUGAUAAUUUAAAUAUGUGUGUGAGCUUGAGAUUCUAUUGUAUCAAAAAAAAAUAAUUUAUUUGAUUGGUUCAUAACAUCAACUCAAUUAAUAAAUUAUACAUAAUAAAGAUAUAUAAUAUAUUUUUCACUAAAUUAAUUCACAAGUUAUACUGCACCAAUAGGUAUGUAUAUAUAUAAAUUUAUCCACCUUUGUCCAUUACAGUUAACCACAGCCCCUUAUCUUAUUUCACAAUUUUAAAUGUGCUUUUUCAAGGCACUUUGAUUUUUUUUUCAUAUUAAUUAACAUUUUUUUAAUUUCAAAAAUAAAUUUCACAUGCAUUUUUUGCAUGUGGCAUAAAAUUUAGUAAUAUAUAACACUAAUAAAUAAAAACAUAAAUUGUUAAUGUGUUAUAUAUUCAUGUCAAAUACUAUUUUUAUAGUAUUAUAUUUUAUAUUUAGUUUUUUUUAAUAAAUAUAUCAAAAACUUGCAAGCUGCAAUUUUUUUUUAAAAGACCCCAUUGAUGAACCGAAAAGAUCAAAAGGGUCACUGGGAUAGAACCAGCUGAUAAUGAUAGGCAGUAAUGGUCUCAUCACAUUCACAUGCAUGCAGUAGCAAACAAAAACAAUAUUCUCGUAUUGGGAAAAAAGUUGGAGUUUUUAUCGCAAAACGAAUGGGAGAGACAGAAGCCAACUGGAAAUGGUGAAGCAAAAGGAAUCAGAUGAUCAAAGAAAGUUUGAACUUUGAACAAAAAAAAAAAACUAAAACGAAAGAGCCAAGCAUCACUCUUGUUAAACACAGUAGUUAACAUGAAGCAACUGUUGUUCCAGUGGACUAUACUUACACCAUUUCGCAAGAAAAGCCACUUUGUUCCAGGGCUAUAUUUAUACAUAUAUAAAUGGUGUUAUGCUUCAGUGUAGUUGUGGUGGAUGAGGCGCAAUGUCACGCCUGUGAAGGAUCACGUACUUCGAAGAAAGACCGGUUCUUGACGACAAUGUCGUACAUAUGUAUGGACCUGAAGUUGUCGAAGUUCCUUGGGAGGGAAAUGAGGUGACUUGAGUUUGCUGAUUUGUGGAAUUGGAGAAGCUCAGGUUGGUCCGAGUUGUAGUAACGAGUCCAGCCAAGCUCACCCAGACGCUGCUCCAGUUCGGAGUAGGAGCGGAUCACUUGGUUCGUGGGGCGGUAGACUAGGACGCGUGGUCGAGCCCCUGCUGCGGUCGACGUUCCCGGAUAAAUAGGAUCUUUUUCCUCGAAGGAUUCUCUGGUUGGAUUGGAUAUCAAUCGAGCCACACCAUUUUUGUCAAAUAUCCAUACACCCGACAUUGUAUGCCUAGACACAAGAGAUGAUGGCUAGUUAAUUGUUGCUAGGUUGAAACUUGAAAGCCCGUGCCUCCACCUUUAUAGGACAAGGGACUCCCAGUGUAAAGACUACUUUAUUAUAUAUAGUAAUGUAUUACCGGCACCUUACAUUCUUUAGAUAAAUGCCAACUCAAUAGUUAAUUGUAACUUCAAGAAUAUAUAUAUUUGGGCUUUAUUGUACAAAAUAAUAGUUCAUCGUAUUCUUGAAUUGAUUGUCACUAAACUAACUAUAAAUACGAUUAAAGCAAGCGCACCUAUCGAACAAUAGUAUAGUUACGGUGAGUAGGGAAUAUUGUAUUCACGAGGACUAAAAGUACUAGUAAUUACCGGUUUUCUAUUAUUUAGCCGAUAAAUUGGAGUGAUUGUUUUUAAUCUAAAAUUACUAAACUAAUUUAACUAAGAAUGCAACAUAGAAUAAAAUAGGAAAAUAACCGAAGAUGCCAAUGAGAGAGAUAAUACCCAGGAAAAAAUCCACCUACACUUCACUUAUUAUUAUGAAUCUGAAUUAAAUGAUUUAUUCGCUUAUGCCUUGAUCCGUAGAAAUCCCUAAAUUAUGUUAAUAUCUCUUUCGAGAGUAUGAACAACUAACUCUAGGUUGAUUAAUUGAAAUCUCUUUCUAAUUAAAACUCCUAUUGUCGCAUUAACUCGAUCUAUGGAUUCCCCUAUUAUAUUUGACUCUAAUCCGGUAGAUUUAUGUCGUCCUAUUUCUAGGACUGCAUGCAACUCCACUCAAUUAUGCUAUACAGGGACUUUUGCUCCACUAAAAUAAGUACAUUAAACAUGAAUUAAUAUCCUUAGAUUAUUAAAACAUGAAAUAAGCAUACAUAAUUGAGAACAAGAAUCAAGUAUUUAUCAUGUAAAUCAAAAAUUAAAUAAUAAGAUUCAUCAUAGGUUUCAUCUUCCCUAGGUAUCUAGGGAAUUUAGUUCAUAAUCUUAAAUAGAAACAUCUCAAAGUUAAGAUAACAACAAGUCAUAAAGAAACCCAAAUAAGUUUCUAAAGAAAUUAAAUGGAGAUCUUCAAUCUUGAAGGCGAUCCGCUUCCAAGAUGAUUCCGAUGGCGUUCUUCGAGUAUUUUCUUCAAUCUUCUAUGGGUCCUCUUUUGGGUUCUCUUCUAAUAUAUGUAUUUAUAAACUUUAGGAUGCUCUGAAACCCUAAAAAUUAGAUUUUUUGUGAAAAAGGGAAGCAGGGUGCAAAAUCGACACAGGCCAGCACAUGGGCGUGUGGCCAGCCCGUGUGGUUCACACGGGCGUGUGCCCAGCCCGUGUGGAAAAGCUAAAGCCGUGUGGAUCCUGAAAACAGCUCUUUUUGUCUUAGUUUGGCCUAUUUUUCGCUCCUUUCACUCCCCUAUGCUCACUUAAGUAUAGAAACAUGAAUUUAAAGGAUUAGGAGAUCAAAUUCACUAAUUUACAUACUAAAUCAUCCAAAAAUGCAUUAAGAAUGGGAUUAAAAACAUGUUACUUUUAUGGCUUAUCAUGAAUCUAUGAGAUAUUGAAACAAUGAAUUGAAGGAAUCUGGUUUCUAGUAAGAGUAUAAGUAAGUUGUCCAAACUAGAACAUUUGAUUUGAUGGUAAAGGACCCAAGAGAGUGAAUCACUUGCUUGUAAGCUAUAUGAGUUAUCCACUUCGUUCUUCAUGUCGCAGAUGGUAAACUCACUUUUUUUGUUAAUGGCGAAACACCCCUAAGUGUUCCAAGUGCCCACUCUAUCGCACAUUCAACAUGUUAUUGCUAAUGCGUUUGUUCUGUGAUACGUCGGAUGUUGUUAUGUAUAGUCCAACUAGAGUAGAGGUAGGCUGCAAGCUCAUGUAAUUGGGGUGAUUGAAGAAUUAAUUAGGAUCAUUGCAUUGAAUUCUUACUUUCUUAGACACUAAAAUGGAAGAUUAAUCACUGCAUAUCUAUGCACCAAGAGUAUGUUUUUUUUCCUUAUCUCUUGUUUGAAUGUUUCCCAUUCUAUUGUAGACCAGCAUUAAAAUUUUAACUACGGGUUAUAGUAAUUUAAGGCUAAAUUAGUUAAUUAUGUCAUUUUUGUUAUUUGGUCUUUUAGGUUGUUUUUUUUUAAAUCGGGAAAAUAAGUUAACUUUGGAGAUAGUGUGUGAAAGGGACCAACAGUCAUUUUUUUAACGUUGACAACGAUAAAAUUUUUGAAGGGCCCUAACGGUAAUUUUUUUCCUAUAAAUACUAGGCAAUUUUUUAUUCUUUUCACUCAAAUCCAACUCUCUCAAUUCUUUAUAAACUCUCAACUCUCUCAAUUUUCUCAAGUUCUGUUCUCAAUUUUCUGAUACGUUUGUUUAAAAAUAUCAUAGAUUUAUUUAAUUAUUUCGUAUAUUAUUCGUUUCAAUUAAAUUUUCACGAAUGACAACCUCUCACUACACCAAAUGAGGCUUUUAACGGUAUAUUUUGUGGCGUUUUUACUACAAACGCCGCUAAUAAUCUCGCAUUAGCGGCGCAAAAAAUAAACCGCUGCUAAAUAUCAGGCAUUAGCGGCGCAUCAUGAAAAACACCGUAAAAGAACAUCAUUAGCGGCAUUUACCAUCACAUGCCGCAAGAUCUGAAGACCAAAACGCAUCGUUUUGGUCUUGAUGUAUACUAGAAUUAGUGGCGUUUAUAGUAAAUCGCCGCUAAAGCAAUUAAUAGCGGCGCAAUGGCUGAAGCGCCGCAAAAAUCUAAACGAAAACGCAUCAUUUUGUCUCGCUAUAUAUUAGCGUUAGUGGCGCUUUAAAAAAACACGCCGCUAAAACAAGUAUUAGCAGCGCUUACUAAAAGCGCCGCAAUAUAUGUUAACCAAAACGCAGAGUUUGGCCUAGAGGUAUGUUACAAUUUAUGGCGCUUGUGGAAAAACGCCGCAAAAUAUCCUAACCAAAGUGCACCGUUUUGGUCUUGGUGUAUGUUACACUUAGUGGCGUUUAAUAUAAAAUGCCGGUAAAGUAUAAUAUUAGCGGCGUGUUGUGGUAAGUGCCGCAAAACAUCUUAACCAAAACGCAGAGUUUGGUCUUGAGGUAUACUAGAACUAGUGGCGCAGAGGGAAAACGCCGCUAAUGCAUACUAUUAGCGGCGCUUUCGUAUAAGCGCCGCAAAAUUUGAUAACAAAAAUGCAACGUUUUUGUCUUGAUGUAUACAGUUAUUAGUGGCGCAUAUUAAGAAACGCCGCUAAAUCAUAGUAUUAGCGGUGCUUGGGCAAACGCGCCGCAAAAUAUGCUCACCAAAACGCUGAGUUUUUACAUGAGGUAUAUUAGAAUUAGUGGCGCUUGCGGGAUAUCGCCGCUAAAGUAUAUUAUUAGCGGCGCUUCUUUAUAAGCGCCGGAAAAGAUAUUAACAAAAAUGCAGCGUUUAAGUCUUGAUGUAUACUGGAAUUAGUGGCGUCCACGAGAAAUCGCCGCUAAAGCAUGGUAUUAGCGGCGCUUUUUGAUAAGCGCCGGAAAAUGUCUUAACCAAAACGCAGAGUUUUGGUCUUAACCAUGCAUUAUAUAAUGUAGGUUAUUAUAUAUGUUUAGUUUAUCGUAUUUGGUCUAUGGUUUAUGGUUUAAAGGUUGGGGUUUAAGGUUUAAGGUUAUGUGUUAAGGAUUUAUGAUUUAAUUUAGGGUUUAUGGUUUACAGUUUAGAUUAACUAGUGUUUUCUAAUUUAUAUAUUAAUUAAUUUCUUAUAUAAUUGUAAAAGAUAUAAUAUUAAUUUCGAUCUUUAAAAUUGUGUGAAGAUUUGGUUAUUCAAAAUCGAUAUAAGCUAUAUCCAGAAGGAUAUCCCCAUCUUAUCCCAUCUCGGUUCAGUAUUUUUAGUGCUCUGUUCAGUAUAAUAUAUAUAUAUGAUUAUUAAUUUAAGAUUUUAGCUAGGUCAUAUUUAGGGUCGGGUUACUAUUUUAAGGUUAUUGUAAUUGAUCAGGAGUACUGUAUAUAGUAUUAUGUAAGAGCUGAUCAGAUUUAAUGUUUAGGUGUUAGGAGCUGGGUUAGACGUUAUGGGCCGAUUAGGAGUUAGGGAUUUAUGGUUUAGCCUUUAGCCAGGGAUUUAGGCGGGUCGGGUUAGGGUAUUAGGUUUAGAUCUUUUACAUAUGUAAAUGGAAUAACAAAGCUUGGUGGACACCUGUAUAUAUGAAUUUAGGGUUACGGUUAUAGGGUUAGGGGUUAGAAGUUAAUAGUUAGGGACUUAGGGUUUAGAUCUUAUUUAGUUUUUUUAAUUUAUAUUUUAAAUAUGUUCUUACAUUUUUGAACAUAAAUAAAAAUUAUAUAUUAACCAACCAAAUCUGAAAUAAUUAAUAAAACACCACAUUAAAGCACGAUAAAAUAAUAAUUCUUAGAGAAAUAUCAAAAAAAAUCAAUUGGCUGGAAUAAAAAUCAGAUUAAUUAAUUGUAUUUAAACUUACAUAUGUUAAUGGGAUAGCAAUGCUUGGUGGACACUUGUAUGGAUUUAGGGUUUGGGAUCAUAGUAUUAAGGAUUUUGGGGUCAAAUCAGGGUUUUGGGUUUAGAGUAAUUAGUAUUUUUAAAAUAUAUUUUAAAAAUUUAAUCUAAACCAAUUGAUGUAUUUAAUUAAUAUUAGUUUAAAUGGAAUUAAAAAAUAAGUUAAAAUUUUUGCUAAACGACGCGGUUUCUGUCCACGAUUUUUAAAUUAGCAUUUUCUCUAUAUUAACUAAACGGCGCUGUUUAUGUUAAUUUUUCGUGGCGUUUGUGUUUGAAACGCCGGAAAAGUGACUUGAUAUAUUGGCUAAACGUUGACGUCUAACUUAAGGAAAUUAAUUUUUAGUGGCGCUUUAGAAGAAAACGCCAGAAAUGUGCAUUAAAUCCGAGCAAAACGGUGCUGUUUCGGAUUAGAACCUUCAUUAUUUGUGGCGCUUGUCAAGAAACGCCGCAAAUACACAAGCUAUAGCGGCGUUUUUUAAUAAACGCCGAGAAAGUGUCUUCAAAUUUUUGCUAAACGGUGUCGUCUCUGUACACGCUUUUAUACUUAGCAUUUUCUCUAUAUUAAUUCAACGGUGCCGUUUCUGUUAAUUUUUUGUGGCGUUUAUUGAGAAAACGCCAGAAUUGUGCAUUACAGCUUAAUAAAACGGCGCCGUUUCUGUUUUAACUUUAAAUUUUAAUGGCGUUUUUUCAAAAACGCCGCAAAUGUUUCUUAAACUUUCGGCGAAACGUCGUCGUUUCUGUACCGUGUUUUAACUUAUAAUUUUCUCUAUAUCUCAGUGGCCAGAAUUCAAUACAUUCCAAAAACAAAUUUGGGGGAAAACGAAAGCAGUGAAAUCGAAAGAGAAAAAACGAAGUAAGAAAGGGAGAGGAGAACUCUUUCUGUGGAAACGAAGGCUUCAGAGGAUACUAUCAAAGCUGCGUCAUUUGUGUUUAAAAGGUAAGCUUUUUUUUGUGGAAACAGUGUAUCUUGAUUUAGGGUUUAGGUUCAGAGUAAAUUGGGAAUUUAGGGUUUAGGGUCCUAGUUCAGUCACGAAGCUUGUACCAAUUUGGUUUGGAAUUUGGGGAAUUUGGGAAUUUUUGCAUGUCUAGGGUUUGGGAAGAAGUUCCGAUCCUGUCGAGCUUUUUUAUUUCUAGUUUGUUCUUCUACUUUUUUCCUUAUACUGUUCUAUAUUCAUGUCUUGUUCCCCAGGAGCAACACUGCAUUUGCCCAACUGUUAAAGGAAGGAGAACUGAAAAUUGUGUACUUAGGUAAGUUUGUUGAUUUGGUCAUUUAUCAACAGUUGAAUGGCUUGGAAUUUUUUCUGCAUUUCUUACUGCUCGUAUUUAUAGUACUGCUUUUAAUUCGGGUUUUUUUGGAAUUUUUGGUGCAUUCCUUACUGCUCGUAUUUAGGGUAGUUUGCUGAUUUGUUGAAAUAUGCAGUGUUACAAUAUUUUUCAUUGCUUGAAAAAUAGAAGCAUUUUAGUAAAGAAAAACUAUAAAUAGAAAUGUAUAUUCAAUAUUUCAUGUUAAAUUGCAUUUUUAGAACUAAAUUCAAAAUUAGUUAUUGUUAAAAGUACUCAUACUUGAAAAUAAAAUUAGAACUAAAUUCCAAAUAUUUUAUAUGUCUUUGGUGCUGGAUGUAAAAAAUGGAUUGGUCUAAUUUACAAAUUCCAGUUGGUGCUUAUAAAAUUUACAGUAUUAAGCCUUUAGCUUUAAAUUUGAUUUUUAAAAAGUAAAAUAAAAUAUAUAUUUGUUUAAUAAAUUAUUGCUGUUGUGUAGGUGUAGUUCCACAAUAAAUUGGUAAUCUACCACAGUUGAGAUAUCUUUAUUUAUCUGGUUAUUCUCUAACAGGUAUUAUAUUACAUUUCUUCUCUAUAUAUGCUCAGUUUCAUUAUUGUUAUUUUUUACUUUUAUUCUCUUCCUUAAAUUAAAUUUAUGUUCAAAUUAUACAAAUACAUUAAAUAUUUUAAACUCCUGCAAAUUUGAUUUUGAAUCAUGGUACUGCAUAAUUUCCUUUUCGAUGAGAUCAUUCAUUGGAAUUUUCAAUUUACAGAAUUGCAUAGAAAGUUUCCUAUUUAUUUCCUCUUCACAAUCACAGAGGAGAAAUGGUUUCAUGUUGAGUUUUCUGAAUAAAAGUUUUGUUACCAAAAGGUGUAAAAUAUUGUAAAAUUAUUUAUGUUUUAAAAUCAAAUCAGCCCAUGCCCUGAGCUCACAACUUACAUAUUUAGGAGGAAAAUGAAUUCCACAAUAAAUUUUUUCUUUUGGUCCAAAAUGUUUAGAUUUGGGUUUUCAUCCUUUUGAAUACUUAGAAGUACUCAAAUUUGAAAAUAAUUGUAUCCAAUUAUAUUAUAUGCCUUUGGUGCACAACGUAAAAAAUUAAUUGGUACCAAUUAAUUGUAUCCAAAUGUAUUAUAUGUCUUUGGUCCAAAUGUUAUUGCAUAAUUUUUGUUUUUGCUAAGGAGCUUUGCUUUCACAAUGCGGACAGAGUAUUAAAAGUGUCCUACGAAAAGCUACAGCGUGUUAGAUUUUUUUGUAAAGUAUAAAAAUAGUGACUAAUCUAUUUGUUCUAUUUUGAAAUUACUAAACUUUUUGAAAUUAAAUACUUUAGCACGAAAUGAGAUUAAUUGUUGUUAAAUGAGAGACGAAAAGCUGACACGAGACUUUUUUAUUGAUCUAAUACAUAUCUCUAAUCUCUAACAAUGAUAACAAAUUUAACCCUCUUAAAUUUCUACAAAAUUGGGACAACAAUCUCUUACAUUAAAAAUUUUAAGGCAAGCUUCAAUUCUAACUGUAUAGAGUAUGACCUGCAGAACUUUUAAUAUUUCAAUAUAUGAAAAUUCAAUCUCGAUUAAAAGGUACAUAUCUCUAAUCUAAUAUUAUUGUAUUCAAAAUUUCGCAUGUAUUCGUAUAUUUUGAAUGAUAAAUAAAGUUUGAAUGUUUAUUAAAAUAUGUAAUUAAAAAUAUCACAUUACAGUAUGUGAUUAUUAAAAUAGCCAACAAUUUUUUUAAACCCUGUUAUGACAUUUAGACUAAAAAUCAUAAUUGAAUAAUAUCUUACAUAUCACAAAUUAAAUAAGUUACAUUAAUUACAUAACUUACAUAAAUUAAGUAAAUUAAAUAUCUUACAUAACUUACAUAAAUUAAAUAUCUUACAUAACUUACAUAAAUUAAGUAAAUUAAAUAACUUACAUAACUUACAUAAAUUAAAUAUCUUACAUAACUUACAUAAAUUAAGUAAAUUAAAUAACUUACAUAACUUACAUAAAUUAAAUAUCUUACAUAACUUACAUAAAUUAAAUAUCUUAUAUAACUUACAUAAAUUAUAAGGGAAAGCAUUGUUCAAAAUGAUCCAAACUCGACAGAAACAAAUAGUACUGAACAACAGACAGCAAUUGGAUCUUCGAAUGUUCCGAUUACACACGAGGAUCCUACGGAAGUUCAAAGUAACUUACAUUAAUUUCAUGCGUGUUGACUUAUAAUUGAUUUAUUUUUCAAAUUCUUAUAUUAUAAUAUACCAUUUCUAGCUGAAAAUGGUGGGACGCGUAGAGGUCGAGGACGUACGAUACUUAGAGAGUUAUACGAGUUAGAUCCAGUCGAGCGUGUCAAGGUAUGCAGAAAUAGUUUUGGUCAGCCUGUUGGAACAGAAGCUCGACUUUUAGCAGGAUACAUGGGCAUUUUAGCACGAAAUGCGAACAUGUUGCCUAUCAACUACGAGUCAUGGCGUCAAAUGCCCGAUAGCAACAAAAACCAAGCCCUCGAUAAUAUUAAGGUAACAAAAUGUUAAUGUGAUCUGUAAUGCUUAGGAAAUAGUUUCAUUUAUAUUUACUUUAUUAACUUGUGUUUUUUGUAGGUGAGGUUUGCUUUAGAGGUCUCCGAUGCUUAUGUAAAGAAGGCAUUGGGAAAAAGAUGGAGAGACAAUAAAAGUAUUUUAAAGACAAAUUAUUAUAAGACAAAAACAACCCUCGAUGAGAAAUUGCAAAAUGUCCCGCCGGGUAUGUUGAGGUACUAAUGGGAAGAUGCGGUUAGAUUUUGGCAUUCUCAGAAAGGCGAGGUACGACGUAUUUCCAAACUAUUGUAAUUAUUUUGGUUUAUAGUAUACUAUUUACGUACUAAAAAUUUUAUAACGUAGGAUCGAGAACGAGUUGGAAAAAGCAGCCGGCAGCAACAAAAAUUCACUUACACAGCCGGGUCGAGAAGUUUUGCAUGUGUAGCUGAGGCGGAGGUAUUUUUAAUUUUUUAAUAUUCUCAAAUAUGUAUAACUUUUUAUUAAAUAAUAUUUUUACUACUAUAUUGUAGGAACGGUUGUCCGGUCAAAAAGUUGGACGCCUACAACUUUUUGAAAUUACACAUAAGAAGAAAGAUGGAUCUGCUAUGACUCCUGAAGCUGGUGAAAUUAUGGUACGUUUACUUAAUACGAUUUCACUUGUUUUAGUUAUUUAUAGUGUUUAUUUUCUAAUGGUUUAAUUCAUUGCUUGUAAUGCGACUAUUGUUAUAUUGCAUUUGUUUUUUUUACUAUAUAUUGCGUUCCUAACUAUGUGAUUUAUUUAUUAGGAAAAACUAAAGGAAAAAAAGACGGAGUGCGAAGCAAUUGCUUCUACUGAUAGUUCUGUUCAUCUUGAAGACAUUGAUAACCGGAUUAUUACUGAAGUUUUGGGUCCUAAAAAGUAUGGUCGGGUUCGAUUUCAAGGAUCUUUUAUCAGCCCAACCCAAUAUUUUGGAUCCAGCUCGCACCAAUACAUGGCUUCGGGGAGUCAAUCUCAAGCUGAAGUUCAGAGGUUAAAAGACCAGAUGGCUCAGAUGCAAGCGACCACAUUUGAGGUUCAAAGGAAAUAUGAAGAACUUCAGCAGCAACUUAAAGCAGAGGCAGCAGCGAGGGAAGCAGAUGCCGCAGCGAGAGAAGCAGCGAGAGAAGCAGCGAUAGAAACAGAGGUUCAAAAGAAAUAUGAAGAACUACAGCUACGACUUCAAAAAGAUGCGGCAUCGAGAGAAGCAGAGCAGAGCAAAAAGUACGACGAACUUCAACAGCAGCUUCAGAUUAUGAUGAAGAUGUUUCAGCAGUCGCAACUUCCGCCGUCAUAGUGUAUGUUGCAUAAAUACUUUUAACGCUUUUGUAAAGAAAAGUAUGAAUUCACUUUUAUUUAUCAAUUAAUAUUAUUUUAGUCAUUUAAUUUGAAAUAUUAUAUAAAUUUAUUGUUUUUGGUUAGUUUAGAUCUGGUUGCUUUUGAUUUGUUGUUGCAGGAGGGUUGAAAAAAAAUUUAUUUUAAAAAAAUCCCAAAAUUAGUGGCGUUUUUUAAAAAAGCGUUGCUAAAAGUCAUAUCAAAAUAGUGGCGUUUGUGAAAUAAGCGUCGCUAAAGAACACUACUUUUAGCGGCAUUUUUAAACAAGCGCCGCUAUAGAACAUUACUUUUAGAGGCGUUUUCUUCCAAAGCGCCGCUAAAGAACGUGAUCUUUAGCGGCGUUUUCUUCCUAAGCGCCGCUAAAGAACAUGAUCUUUAGCAGCAUUUUUUUCUAAGCGCCGCUAAAGAACAUGAUCUUUAGCGGCGUUUUUUUCUAAGCGCCGCUAAAGAGCAUGAUCUUUAGCGGCUUUUUUUCUAAGCGCCGCUAAAGAACAUGAUCUUUAGCGGCAUUUUUUUAUGUAAGCGUCGCAAAAGUUAGCGACGUUGUCGUUAGCGGCAUUUUUUGUGGCGCUUUUUGAAGCGCCGGAAAUGGAGUUAGUGGCUUUAAAAAGCGCCGCUAAAGACUUAAAAAAACGCCGCUAAAAACUUAUUCUGCUGUAGUGUCUCUAAUUCGUUUUAACAACAAGCACAUUUCCGCCACUCAAGCGAUAAUGGUAAAACAAAAUUUUAAAUUUCGUUAUUUUCAACUAAGUUAAAUUUAAAGUUUUUUAUUUUUUAAAAUAUUUAAAAUUAAAAUUUUUGUCGAUAUAAAUAGGCAGAUGAUUGUGCUUUGGAGGGAUUUGUCGAAACCACCUUUUUGAAAAUAAAAAUUUAGUUGUCGACUUUAAAAACGAAAAUUGGAGUCGCCACUGAUCCUUGAUUGAGGUGUGAUCGGCUCACCUUAAAAAUAAUUUUGGUCUACGAAAUUUGACAAGAUAGGUUCAGGAGUCAGUUACGCACGAGGAAGGGUUAGCACCCUCGCAACGCCCAAAAUUGGUACCAAAUUGAUUAUUCAAUGUCUUGUUAUCGAAAGUUUGAAAAGAUUUUAAAAGGAAACUUUUUAUUUCAUGAAUGAAUCAAAAUAAUAGGACAUUCUUAUUUCAAAGAAAUAAAACACCACACCCAGUGAGUUAGGGCACAAUAUUUUUAAAUCUUCAAAAUGCCCGAAUAUUGCCUUUUGCUUUUGAAAAUUCUUAUUCCGAAAAGUCAAAAUAUCAGGACCAGUAAGUUAGGACCCAACAUUUUUGAACUCCCAAGAAUAAGCUUUUAUUUAAAAUUUGCGAAUUUAAUGCAAAAUGAAUACUUGGUUUUCUAAAUUCAUCGAAAAAUAAUCGCAAUCCAGUAAGUUAGGAUACGAUCUUUCUCGAGAAUCAUGAGUACCAAAUAUUUUGAAAAUUUAUAAAAUAUGAUGAUUUUAAUACUUUGACAAAACCAAAAUAUACAUUUUUUUUAAAAAAGAUAUGCUAAAAAAGGGGGUAAUGUAUAACAUGAAACCAAUAUUCUAACUUCAAGCAUAUAUGAAUAAACAUUUACGAAUAUAUAUAUAUAUAUAUAAGUAUAAUAUACAAGUAAAUUUGCAAACAAAAAGAAGGAAUGAAAUACAUCAAAUAGAAACAAAUAGAAAUACAUGUAAAAAAAGUAUAAAAGUAUGCAUAUGUAUAUAUUUACAGAAAUAAAAAGUAUACAUGUAUUGGUGAAACCUGAAAGUAUAUAUGUAUAAUAUACAAAAAAUAAUUGAAUAUGUGAAAUAAUAAAAAUUUUAUAAUGAUUUUUUUAAAUGGGAACAUGAGUAUAUUAAAAAAAAUGCCCAUGUUAUAAAGCGUGUAUUUAUAUAUAUAGUAUAAAGUAUAAAAAAAGGAAAGUAAAAUAAAAAAAAUAAAAAAAGAAAGAAAGUAUGUAUGCGUAAAAUAUAUGCAAAAUUAAAACCCUUAAAAGUAUAUAUUAAAAUAUGCACAUAUAUUAUAUAUAAAAAUAUGCGUGUAUAUGUAUAGCAAAUACAGUAGUAAUAAUAAUAGAAAACAAUGCAAUAAUAAUGAUAUAAUGUAACAUAAUAAUAGUAAUAAUGGUAUAAUAAUAGUAAAAAAAUGAUAUAAAAAAAUAAAAAUGAAAAGAAAGACUGAAUUGAAUUUUAAACAAAAAUGGGGGGGCUGAUUUAAAAUAAAUUUAAAAAAAGACCGACUUGAACGCGCGCAUAACAGUGGAAGACCAAAAGCGAAAUUAUCCCUUCCUUCCAAAACGCUGCGCAACAAAGGGCUAAAUUGAAACAAACAUAAAAUAUGCGGCCCAAUUUUUAAAAUAAGUAGAAUGGACUUAGUUGGAACGCAUUUGCAAAAGGGAAGGCCUAAAUGCGCAAUUAGACCUUUAAAGCCAAACGCACGGAUCCUCCCCUUCGGGUUGGGUCACUGCACGGGUCAAGGCUUGGACAAAACGGCGCCGUUUUGAGGUUUCAAUAAAACCUAAUUUUUCUUUUAAAAAUUUCAUAACCCGUUUUAAAACAAAAAAAGAAAUGUUGCACCUCCUUUUUGUUCUCUGCUAGGUUUUCAUACCCAAGCCGCCGUGCCACCGUUCAACAGUGCGCCAUAGCUCCGAUCGCGAUGGAUGUGGCACCGAUCAAUGCUUCUGGCCAAAGAGGUAAGUUUCCCUUCUUCUUUUCUUUGUUAUUUCUUUAAAAAAACCAUAAAACGCAAAAGAGAAAAAAUAAAAAUAAAACUAUAGGAACCCGAUUCACCUUAGGAAAAAACUUUGUAUUCUCUGUUUUUUUUCGAUUUCUUUUCUAUUUCUCUGUUAUCCCCCCUUUUACAGUACUUGAAAUCGGCCUUUUAUAGCCGAAAUAGAAAAGAGAAAAAGAAAAAGAAAAAUCUAAAUAAAUUUGUUCUGUUGUUUAUUGGCCCGAUUUUUACUCUUCUGUUUGUGUGUGUUGCUGCAGGUACAAGGCGAGGUGCGCGUGGAGCGAGAUUCGCGGCGGCGUGCGAGGGUGAGCUGCGGCGGUGCUGAAGCAAAUAGGCUCCUAGGGUGUCUGUUAUUUUUUUUGUGUGGGCUAGGUUUAGUGGAUUACUAGUUUUAGGCCUUAUUGGGUUGUAUUGUAAUUGGGUUUAAAAAAUGUAGAUGGUUUAUUUAUUUUGGGUUUUAGAUUGGGCCUGGGGCAAAAUUGGUUACUACAGCUGCCCCUCUUUGCUUGUUGUCGUGUAACGAGAACGGAGCAAAGACUAAGAAAGACCAAUUUUGCUCGGUUGCGGUGGAUCUUGGUGCUCUUCCUCUUCAAGUAGCCUCGUUCUUUCCUACUGCAUCCUUAGAGGUAUAGGAACUAGUGUUUCAAUCUACUCCACUGCAAUGUCAGGGAGAUAAGAUUCGUAUGCUGUAGCUUCUUAAUUUGUUAUCUUUAAUCUGCUCCACUCCAACUCUAGGGAGAUAAGACUUGUAGUUUCAAUUUGUUCUGCUACAACUUAAAGAUAAAUCUGAUGCGAUCUGCUUUACUGUAACUUCAGAGAGAUAGGAUUGGUAUACUUCUGUCUGCUCCACUACAACUUCAGGGAGAUAAGACUUGUAUCUUCGAUCUACUUCGCCACCAAUAUGGGAAGACAAGAUCUGCUGUCUUUGAUCCACUUCACGUCAAUACAUGAAGACAAGAUCUACUUUUUUCGAUCUACUUCACCACCUGUAUGGGAAGACAAGACCUACUUUCUUCGAUCUACUUCACGCCAAUAUAUGAAGACAAGAUAUGCUAUCUUCGAUCUACUUCACGCCAAUACAUGAAGACAAGAUCUGCUUUCUUCGAUAUACUUCGCCACCAGUAUGGGAAGACAAGAUCCGCUUUCUUUGAUCUACUUCACGCCAGUACAUGAAGACAAGAUCUGCUUUCUUCGAUCUACUUCGCCACCAGUAUGGGAAGAUAAGGUCUGUUAUCUUUGAUCUACCUCACACCAGUACAUGAAGACAAGAUCUGCUUUCUUCGAUCUACUUCGCCACCAGUAUGGGAAGACAAGAUCUGUUAUCUUUGAUCAACUUCACACCAGUACAUGAAGAAAAGAUCUGCUUUCUUCGAUCUACUUCGCCACCAGUAUGGGAAGAUAAGAUCUGUUGUCUUUGAUCUACUUCACGCCAGUACAUGAAGACAAGAUCUACUUUCUUUGAUCUACUUCGCCACCAGUAUGGGAAGAAAAGAUCUGUUAUCUUUGAUCUACUUCACGCCAGUACAUGAAGACAAGAUCUGCUUUCUUCGAUCUACUUCGCCACCAGUAUGGGAAGACAAGAUCUGUUAUCUUUGAUCUACUUCACGCCAGUACAUGAAGACAAGAUCUACUUUCUUCGAUCUACUUCGCCACCAGUAUGGGAAGACAAGAUCUGUUAUCUUUGAUCUACUUCACGCCAGUACAUGAAGACAAGAUCUGCUUUCUUCGAUCUACUUCGCCACAAGUAUGGGAAGACAAGAUCUGUUAUCUUUGAUCUACUUCACGCCAGUACGUGAAGACAAGAUCUGUUUUCUUCGAUCUGCUUCGCCACCAGUAUAGGAAGACAAGAUCUGUUAUCUUUGAUCUACUUCAUGCCAGUACGUGAAGACAAGAUCUGCUUUCUUCGAUCUACCCCGCCACCAGUAUGGGAAGACAAGAUCUGUUAUCUUUGAUCUACUUCACGCCAGUACAUGAAGACAAGAUCUGCUUUCUUCGAUCUACUUUGCCACCAGUAUGGGAAGACAAGAUCUGUUAUCUUUGAUCUACUUCACGCCAGUACAUGAAGACAAGAUCUGCUUUCUUCGAUCUACUUCCCCACCAGUAUGGGAAGACAAGAUCUGCUAUCUUUGAUCUACUUCACGCCAGUAGAUGAAGACAAGAUCUACUUUCUUCGAUCUACUUCGCCACCAGUAUGGGAAGACAAGAUCUAUUAUCUUUGAUCUACAUCACGCCAGUACAUGAAGAUAAGAUCUGCUUUCUUCGAUCUACUUCGCCAUCAGUAUAGGAAGACAAGAUCUGUUAUCUUUGAUCGACUUCACGCCAGUACAUGAAGACAAGAUCUACUUUCUUCGAUCUACAUCGCCACCAGUAUGGGAAGACAAGAUCUAUUAUCUUUGAUCUACUUCACGCCAGUACAUGAAGACAAGAUCUACUUCGCCACCAGUAUGGGAAGACAAGAUCUGUUAUCUUUGAUCUACUUCACGCUAGUACAUGAAGACAAGAUCUGCUUUCUUCGAUCUACUUCGCCACCAGUAUGGGAAGACAAGAUCUGUUAUCUUUGAUCUACUUCACGCCAGUACAUGAAGACAAGAUCUAUUAUCUUCGAUCUACUUCGCCACCAGUAUGGGAAGACAAGAUCUGUUAUCUUUGAUCUACUUCACGCUAGUACAUGAAGACAAGAUCUGCUUUUUUUGAUCUACUUUACCACCAGUAUGGCAAGACAAGAUUUACUGCUACUCCACUGUUGCUCAGGGAGAUAAGGCUUUAUACUUUCACCGAUUUGUUCUCUGGGGAACAUGACCUGUAUGAUUCAUUUAUGAACCUAAUUAUGCCUAAUGAUUAGGAUGUCAUGAUCAGAAUGAAUCAAAUGCUCCUAACUAGACAUGUAUGAAUGACAUUUGAAUGAAUGCAAAAUGUCAUUAAAAUGAUAUUUUAACGCUUGAGUUAUUAUUACUCCAAUUUUAUUAAGGUUUCAUCAUUAAUUUGUUAUAACACCUUCUUGCUCAGCUGGCGUCUCCAAAAAAACACUUAGUCAGAUUGUCCCACUGUAACUUUCAAAGUUUAAAAAUUUGUACCAUCUUUCUCCCGUUGUAAACCAAGAGUAAAAGAUUUGGCCUUUUCUCAAUCCUCUGCUAUCACAAUUCAAGGAUACAGGAUGUGAAACUCUUUGGUCUCUUACACCAUUCGCAGGGUGUCCUACCAAAUGCUCAUGCACAAAUGAAGAAUUUUCUUCUCCAAGAACAACUUUUUCUUAUUAUUUGGUGAUCAUUGCUUGCUUGUUCAUUUAAGCUUUGUCACCAACACGACAUCUUGUCGUUUUUCAAUCAAUGUUUUAGACAACAAAAUUUAAAGGGAUAGUCUUAAUUUAGACUCUUCCUUAUUAGAUUUCCAACCUUUGAACCUGGCGCGUUCUAAACAAUAGUCCUGUUUGAGGUUUCUAUAUUAUUUAGAAAUUUCAAGAGUAAUAUGCAAAACUUCCCUUGUGAAAGUUUUAUUAAUCUACUAAUCAUUAUUCUAACAAAAUAUGCUUGCAAAAAGAUCAUGGAUAAGAAUAGAGUUGGUUCUGAGCAUAGCUCGAAAUAAAUAAAUUGUCAAGGUUAAUAAAGAUGGAUAACAAAGAAAUUGAUUUAGGAAUGCCUAUCUUGGAAAUGAAUGAAGCGUUCCAAGAAUAACAAAAAUAGUAUAAGGAUUAGGCGCCCCAGAUAUCGCAGCUUGAACUUCUCUAUACAAACAUUCUAAAGACCAUUCUGAGUUUAACAUGUGUUUAGGAGAUCAACAGUACUUUGUCAAUGCCCCAAGAUGUUGCCUACCCUUUCCUGUUGAUUUAGGUAUAGCAAGACCACUGCAUGCCCCAUUCUGAUCAGUAUUUGAGCUGCUCUGAUUACCUCAUGCCUCAUUCUGAUCAAUAUUUGAGCCGUCCUUUUCGAGUUUUCAACUCAAAUCCCUUUGGUCUAAAGCACCCUUUGCGGGUUUUCACCUUAGCCUCUUCAUUUUACUUCUUCAUUUUUCAUUUUCAUCUUUUCAUUUUUUCACAUCACUACUUUUUCUUUUUUCCUUUUUUUUUUGGAUUCAAACUACCCUUUGUGGGUUUUUACCUUGGUCAUCUCCUUCUUUAAGCGGAGUAUUUUCUAACUGAACCUGAGUUUACAAGACUUUGCAGGUUUACCAUCUAUCUCACUCACAAUCAAAGCUCAUUUGGAAAAGACCUUCUCUAUAACAUAAAGUUCUUCCCAAUUUGGCAUCCGUUAUAUUUUUUGUAGAGUGAGGAUCUUCUUCAGCAUUAGGUCGCCAUCGUGGAAUUCUCUGGGACAAACUUUUUGCUAUAGGCUCGCAUCAUUCUUUUCUUGGUACAUUUGACUCUGAUGAAUAGCUUUUAGCCUUCUUCCUUCUAUCAAGUUCAAUUGAUCACAUUGCGAUUGGAUCCAUUCUGCUUCAUCCAACUUGCUCAGCUAAUACCUGGAGAGAAAUAAUUUCAACUUCAAUAGAAAAAAAACCCUGGACUAAAGAGAGAGGCACUGCUCCGGUAGAGUUUUCACCAUAUCAUGAUAUUAAUCUUGAACAUACUGUAAAUUUUUGAUAUCGUGCUGUUGUUCAGAUUGCAAUGACAGUACUUAACCCGGGCAUAUCCCGGUAUGACCAUGCGCAGACAUCUUUGAAUUCUUGAAGUAACUCAACAAUGUCUUACUUUGUUUCUUCGGUCAUGCCUGUUCCCUCAAGGUCACAAUUUCUAUUGUCUCAUCAUGAGGUAAAUUUUUUCCUCUUCCUGCUCUACCAUCCUUAACAAGUCCCGAGAUAGACUACAAUCUAUGUCAUUUCCACAGUCAUUAAAUCCUUCUAGACACAUGUCUCGUUCAAAAGGAAAUUCUGAGUCUGUAGCAGCGUCACUCAUGUCAUUGAUAUCCAAGGACCUAUUGUAGGUGCUAAAGGAUAUACAAAGAAUAAUAUGAAUGAAUGGUUUGGCAGAAAAAAUCCAAAAGAAUGAAAAAAAUCGUAAAGAAUGAAAGAACAUUUGCUCAAAGAUGAUUGCAAUAAUGUAUUUCAUUAAAACAAUAAUGUUUACACGUGAGCCUAUCUCACAAAGAAAUUCUUAUUGCUUCUAGGAUGAAAGCAACAAGUGUGUUCUGAACAUUACUCUAACAGAGUCUAAAUACUUCAGGGGUUUCCUCUACAGUCCCAUUAUUUAGAACACCUCUAAGGCGAAUAUCUAAUAAGGACCCUUUUAAUUGUGUCUGCAUGUAUGACAUCGAUGUGCAAAUUUCUCACCACUUCUUCAUACAUUGCAGUCCCCCCAUCCUUAAUCAUGACUAGGUAGCAUAUUUUCUGCACUAGACAAGUCACCAAACUUGACUAUACCCAUGUUGAUAAGUCUUUCAACUUGCUUCUUGAAGGCAGUACAAUUCUCAAUCGAGUGUCCCGUAACCCCAGCAUGGUAUUCACAUUGUGUGUUCGCAUCCUAUCAUUCGGGAUAUGGAGGUUGUAGAGGCUUCACAUGAAAAGGAGACACAACAUGUGCAUCAAACAAAUUUUGAUACAGUUCCUUAUACGGUACUGGGAUUGGCGUAAACUGGAACUUUUCAGUCUUCAUGCCGGAAUCUUGCCUCGAUGAAUUCUGUUGAUUACCAACCACCUUUCUUGGUUGACUCACAGUAACUGAUUUAGAGUAACCUGUGUUGUUCACCUCAUUUUCUUUUCUCUUUGAGGCUGACCUCUUGUUACUCUCCUCUGCAUCAAUUUUCCCGCUUCUUAUAGCAUUUUCGAUCAUUUCACCAUUCAUGACUAUGUCAGAAAAGCUUUUUGUAGCACUUCCUAACAUAUGCGUAAUGAAUGGAGAUUUCAACGUAUUGACAAAGAGCAUUGUUGUUUCUCUUUCUAAUAGUGGUAGUUGAACUUGAACGGCCACUUCCCUCCACCUUUGUGCAUAUUGCCUAAAGCUCUCGUUCGGCUUUUUUUCCAUAUUCUGAAGGGUGAUUCUGUCAGGAACCAUGUCUGUUACAUUACUGUACUGCUUCAUGAACGCUUGUGCUAAAUCCCUCCAUGAACCAAUCAUGCUACGGCUUAGUUGAUUGUACCAUUUAGAUGCUGCCCCUGCAAGGCUAUCCUGGAAACAAUGUAUCAAAAGUUGGUCAUUGUUAACAUAUCCCGCCAUUCGCCUACAGAACAUGGUGAUAUGAGCUUCUGGGCAGCUUGUCCCAUUGUACUUUUCGAACUCAGGCAUCUUAAACUUAUGAGGGAGUAUUAAAUCUGGAACUAAACUCAGCUCCUUAACGUCAAUGCCUCGAUAACUUUCAGUGACCUCCAUCGCCUUGACUUUCUCCUCGAGCCAUUUGCACCUUUCCUCUAGCUGCUUUGAUAACUCCUCCUUUAUUCUUUCUUUUUCAGCCACCUCAUCAAAGUCAAGAAUGGCAAAAUUAGCAUGGUGGUUUCUGAGAUUAGAGCCUGAUCCAGCUUGAAAGUUUGAAGCACCGGCCUAGAAUUGUUGAGGCCUGAUUGUGACAGUAGAUUUGUGCGAAUAUUCAACUUGAGUUUGCACCUGUGGAGGAGUAAAGCCUGGAGGGUAAAGUGAUUCAUCCUCGUUACCCUCUUGGCCAUCAGCCAUGGGACCCUUUCCUUUAUCACCUCCUCUGGUCAACAGUUUGGUUAGCUUUGCCAUCAUAUCAUUUUGGGAUUCCUGCAUUUUCUCAGACAUAUCCUGUUGCAUCUUGUCUAACCGCUCCUGCACUUGUAGCUGAAGUCGGUCUUGCAUCUCCUUCUGGUACUGUUCAAGCUUUUCCAAUCUCUGAUCCAUGUCUUUAAUCUUUGCUCGAGUGCCGUAAUGGUGUUUGGUUGGUUGGUUGGUUUCCAAGUUAACUGAGCAGUGAUUUUAAUUAAUUAGGAUCAUUUAACGGUGUCUAAUGCAUGUGAUGUAAUGAAAUGCAAAUGCAUGAAAUGAAUGCAAAAAGAGACGUUGAUUCUGGUUCAAUUCUUUACUAGAAAAGCUUCGCUACAAAACAAAUCUCUUUACACAAAGCGGAUAUAUAUACGGCUUCGCCCUCGUACUCCAAGCAAAGACAUCGAUCAUUUAGGUAUUAAAAUGUAUCUCGCGAAUUUGAGCUCCUUCUUGUUUGAUCUAGGUCGUAACUCCUUGCUCGCUCACGUUCAUUAUCUUCUUUAAGAGGUUGAAACCUUUGAUGACUUUUGAAUAAUCUUUGGCAAUUUGAAUCCUCGGGUCACACAGCAAAGUCGUAUACUCUUCUUGUUAGGUUUUUCGUGUCAUGUUUUCUUAGACUAUACUCGGACAACCAUAUUAUCUUCCACCUUAUCAAGAAACCCGUUUUCCGUGGCAAGUUCUCUAUUAACAACCAAACGUGAAUCAACACCUCUUUUCUAUGAUGAAAUGCCAUGCAGUCAAAAAUGUCAUGCAGCAAAAGCAAAAACAAACCCAGGUUAGUAUCACACAUAAAGAUAUAAUCCAAUACAAACAUGAAAUAGCAAGAACACUUAUUUCGGAAUCCACUAGGGUUUUGGAAUAGUUCUACCUAGGGCAAGUUCCUAAAGCUCACUAUAUGAGGUUUAGUUUCUAGAGUAAGGGUACUCGAACCAGCAGAUUAAUCGAUCCUCACCCAUCAUAGGCUCAUGUGGAUCGAGUUCAAUUCAGGGGGAUACAUUUCCCUAUGGCUGCACGGAGAUGAAAAUCUCACUAAGACAUUGGUACGGAUGUAUCCCGGAAGCGGUCCACUACCCUGCACGGAGGUGAAAAGCUUACGAAGGACUAGUUUCUCGCUCCCACUUAAAUGGGUAAAACUGACCAUGUAAUGCAAAAUGCAAAGUAACCGACUUGGUCCAAUCAUGCAAACGUAUCACGAUAAAAAUCAAUGAAUGCGAAGGGAGAUCAUGAUUUAAAAAACUUUUGAUUUUCGACAACAAAGACAAAACAUAAUCAAUUCAUGGCUCGACUCUCUAAAAGUCCCCAGCGGAGUCGCCAAGCUAUCGAAACCAUCUUUUUGAAAAUAAAAAUUUAGUUGUCGACUUUAAAAACGAAAAUUGGAGUCGCCACCGAUCCUUGAUUAAGGUGUGAUCGGCUCACCUUAAAAAUAAUUUUGGUCUGCGAAAUUUGAGAAGAUAGGUUCGGGAGUCAGUUACGCACGAGGAAGGGUUAGCACCCUCGCGACGCCCAAAAUUGGUACCAAAUUGAUUAUUCAAUGUCUUGUUAUCGAAAGUUUGAAAAGAUUUUAAAUGGAAACUUUUUAUUUCAUGAAUGAAUCAAAAUAAUAGGACAUUCUUAUUUCAAAGAAAUAAAACACCACACCCAGUGAGUUGGGGCACAAUAUUUUUAAAUCUUCAAAAUACCCGAAUAUUGCCUUUUGCUUUUGAAAAUUCUUAUUUCGAAAAGUCAAAAUAUCAGAACCAGUAAGUUAGGACCCAACAUUUUUGAACUCCCAAGAAUAAGCUUUUAUUUAAAAUUUGUGAAUUUAAUGCAAAAUGAAUACUUGGUUUUCUAAAUUCAUCGAAAAAUAAUCGUAAUCCAGUAAGUUAGGAUACGAUCUUUCUCGAGAAUCAUGAGUACCAAAUAUUUUGAAAUUUUAUAAAAUAUGAUGAUUUUAAUACUUUGACAAAACCAAAAUAUACAUUUUUUUUAAAAAAAAAUAUGCUAAAAAAGGGGGUAAUGUAUAACAUGAAACCAAUAUUCUAACUUCAAGCAUAUAUGAAUAAACAUUUACGAAUAUAUAUAUAAGUAUAAUAUACAAGUAAAUUUGCAAACAAAAAGAAGGAAUGAAAUACAUCAAAUAGAAACAAAUAGAAAUACAUGUAAAAAAAAGUAUAAAAGUAUGCAUAUGUAUAUAUUUACAAAAAUAAAAAGUAUACAUGUAUUGGUGAAACCUGAAAGUAUAUAUGUAUAAUAUACAAAAGAUAAUAGAAUAUGUGAAAUAAUAAAAAUUUUAUAAUGAUUUUUUUAAAUGGGAACAUGAGUAUAUUAAAAAAAAAUGCCCAUGUUAUAAAGCGUGUAUUUAUAUAUAUAGUAUAAAGUAUAAAAGAAAAGGAAAGUAAAAUAAAAAAAAUAAAAAAAGAAAGAAAGUAUGUAUGCGUAAAAUAUAUGCAAAUUUAAAACCCUUAAAAGUAUAUAUUAAAAUAUGCAUAUAUAUUAUAUAUAAAAAUAUGCGUGUAUAUGUAUAGCAAAUACAGUAGUAAUAAUAAUAGAAAACAAUGCAAUAGUAAUGAUAUAAUGUAACAUAAUAAUAGUAAUAAUGGUAUAAUAAUAGUAAAAAAAUGAUAUAAAAAAUAAAAAUAAAAGAAGGACUGAAUUGAAUUUUAAACAAAAAUGGGGGGGCUGAUUUAAAAUAAAUUUAAAAAAAAGACCGACUUGAACGCACGCGUAACAGUGGAGGACCAAAAGCGAAAUUAUCCCCUCCUUCCAAAACGCUGCACAACAAAGGACUAAAUUGAAACAAACAUAAAAUAUGCGGCCCAAUUUUUAAAAUAAGUAGAAUGGACUUAGUUGGAACGCAUUUGCAAAAGGGAAGGCCUAAAUGUGCAAUUAGACCUUUAAAGCCAAACGCGCGGAUCCUCCCCUUCGGGUCGGGUCACUGCGCGGGUCAAGGCUUGGACAAAACGGCGUCGUUUUGAGGUUUCAAUAAAACCUAAUUUUUCUUUUAAAAAUUUCAUAACCCGUUUUAAAACAAAAAAAAAUGCUGCACCCCCCUUUUGUUCUCUACUAGGGUUUCAUACCCAAGCUGCCGCACCGCUGUUCAACCGUGUGCCCCAGCUCCGAUCGCGAAGGAUGUGGCACCGAUCGAUGCUUCUGGCCAAAGAGGUAAGUUUCCCUUCCUCUUUUCUUUGUUAUUUCUUUAAAAAAACCAUAAAACGCAAAAGAAAAAAAUAAAAAUAAAACUAUAGGAAUCCGAUUCACCUAAAGAAAAAAACUUUGUAUUCUCUGUUUUUCUUUCGAUUUCUUUUCUAUUUCUCUGUUAUCCCCCCUUUUACAGUACUUGAAAUCGACCUUUUUUUACAGUACUUGAAAUCGGCCUUUUAUAGCCGAAAUAGAAAAGAGAAAAAGAAAAAGAAAAAUCUAAAUAAAUCUGUUCUGUUGUUUAUUGGCCCGAUUUUUGCUCUUCUGUUUGUAUGUGUUGCUGCAGGUACAAGGCGAGGCGCGCGUGGAGCGAGAUUCGCGGCGGCGUGCGAGGGUGAGCUGCGGCGGUGCUGAAGCAAAUAGGCUCCUAGGGUUUCUGUUAUUUUGUUUUUGUGUGGGCUAGGUUUAGUGGGUUACUAGUUUUGGGCCUUAUUGGGUUGUAUUGUAAUUGGGUUUAAAAAAUGUAGAUGGUUUAUUUAUUUUGGGUUUUAGAUUGGGCCUGGGGCAAAAUUGGUUACUACAGGAUUCAUACAUAACUUGUCAAUGAGCCCAAAUAUCGAAAUUCGUGGUUACUUGCAAGACGCGAGAUUCUUGUAUGCAUCUCAUAUGCUAUGGCAUUGCAAACUCGAUCCUACACUCAUUUGCGCGUUGGUGGAAAGAUGGAGGCCCAAGAUACACACUUUUUAUCUUUCAUUAAGCGAGUGUACAAUCACACUCGAUGACGUAGCUUUACAACUCGGUUUUACAGGCCAGUCGUCACGGGGUCAGCAGUUGAUUUGUGAUUAAAUGUGUAUGUAGUGAUAGUUAUUGAAAAAUCUUAAUAAGUUUAGUUGGAAAAAAAGUAAAUUUGUAAUUGUUGAUGGGCUUUUAACGUCUCUAACAUUCUGUCAUGUAUGGGCUGUUUAUGAAUCUUUUUCAAGCAUUGGGGCCUACUGUUUUAGGAUCUGGGUGCGUGGGUCUUUUCAAACCUAACCCUUCCAAAAUCUCUGACAGCAUGCCCACAUUUGUCAUCAAAUUUUUAUAAUGUCAUUAAUUAAUUUAAAUAAUUGAUACUAUCCCUUCUUUUUGUAAAAAUAUUUAAAUGAAAUUUAAAAAAAAAACAUUUUAUUUCUCAUUUUCAACAUGAUGAAUUAAAGAUUUUACUUUAAAAAAGAGAGCGGGGGACAUGUCAAAAUUUUAAUUAGAAAUUAUUAAUAGUAUUAACUAAUCACAUUAAAUUUUUAUCAAAUUGAAGUACAUAAUUAAAUAUUAAAUUUAAUCAUAAUAAAAGUGCCAUGAUUUCACCUUUAAAUUGUGCUUUGAGCACAAAUUUUGAAUAAGACUCGACUGAGGAAUGAUUCAAAUAUCGAUGUUAAAGGUUUUUGAAAUAUAAGUUCAAAAUCGCAAUUUAUUUAAAUUGAAAUCGACUCCACUUUUUAUUUGAAGUAUAAUUAGUUUUAAUUUUUUAUUAUGUGAAAAUAAAUAUAUUAUAUUUAAAUUUAUGAAAAAAACUUAUAAAAUUUAUAUAAAAUUGUUUUUCUAUCUUUUACUUGAAUUUUUAAAAAGAAUAUUUAUGAAAAUUUAUUUGAAACUUUAUUAAAUAUUGUUCAAAAACCAUAUAAUAAAGUUUAUUUUUUGAAAAUAAAUCUAAAAAUUCAAAUUUUAAAAUUAGUAAAAAUAAAAAAUCAAAUCAAAUUGAAAAUCAUAAACAAAUUGAAAGAUUUUUUAAAAAACUUGAAAUUGAAUGUAGUUUACCCCUAACCAACAUAUCUCUUGUUAAAAUUACAACAUAAACCAAUAGGAUAGAUAGUAGGUUUUGUAUUGAGGGAGUAAGGGUGAACAUUUGGUCGAGUUGAGUCAAAUCGAGUAAAAUAAUUUUGAGUUAGUCGAGUUGAUAAAUCAUACUUUAGCAACUUAACUCAAUUUGAAAUUUUUUUGAAUCGAGUCAAAAAAUUUCAAGUUGAGUUCACGAAUCAUAUUAUUUAUACUCAAUAUUACAUUUACAUUAAUUGAUUAUUUAAAUAAUAAACGAAGUAGAAGAUUAUUUAACUAUGUAGGUAAGGUUAAUGGGUAAGCAUUUAUCUAAACGACGUAGUUUUGUCUUUUCUUAUUAAGAUUUUUAGAUAACUCAAAUUGUGUAAUUCAUAUCCGAUUUAAACCAAAAAAAAUAAUUUUUUUAUUGAAGUUGAUCUAAACAACUCAAUUAGCUUGAAUAACUCGAAUUAUUUAAUUUAAAUUUUAAAAAUUUUACCAAACUUUUUAAACGCUCAGAAAAGAUAGUAAAUUCCCGUGUUACCAUCAUGAUUAGAGGAAGCCCACAUAGUGGAAGCAAGUCUAGAAACAGUAGAAAAAAGUUGAGCACAAAGGAAUCCAAAGCCCCUGGUAAAAUCUUUGGAUUCUCCCCCAGAGUCAAAACCAGCUAACGAAGAGAGAAACAACCCUACCCACAUGUGUUUAGAGGAUUAAGGCUAAAUUGACCCACCUCCCAUGUGCUCAAAGUUAAUUUGGUAAAAUGCAUUGGACCCUUCUUCUUCUUCUCUUGAUUGACAUGUUUGUUUUCAUUGAAAUCCUCCUCAACUAUAUGUAAAUUUCAAACUAUCAACUUUUUGUAGAUGUUGAUGCAAAAACUAUGGUAAUGGUAUAAGGCGUUUUGGAACAUACAGGAUAACGGAAAUUUCCCCUAUAAAAUGGCAAGAUUUGGAAAGAGAGAACAUCAGUACCUUACCUACCCCUUCUUUUAUAUACAUAUAUAUAUACAUACAAAUGCAAAUGCAAAUGUUCAAAAAGAAAAUAAAAAUCUGGGAUAGCAUAGGAUAGGGUCUCUUGCUUUCAAUACAUUUUUGUUGUGUUGCAAUGUUGGUUCGUACAGGGUAAAGAAAAGGAAGCUUCAUUUGAAUCAACCCUGAAAACCUAACCCACCUUCACUCACCAUUUCCAUGCACCACACUUUCUCCUCCAAAGUUUUCUUCAAAGAUUGGACUUGGAAUUGAUUUCAUAUCAAUCAAUGGAUUUAGGUAUAAUUAUUUGUAAUUGUAUAAAGGUGUAAUUAAAGCACCCCAAUUACACGUUUCAUUUCUUAGGAAGGAGAAUUGGAAUAAUCACAUAAGUAAUUAUACCCAAAUCUAAUUUUAAAAAAUUAUUUUUAUAUCAAUUAUAAAAAUUAUAUUAUAAACAUAAACACGUAUGAAUGCUUGAGAUUGUUAUGAUAAAAAUUUUCUUAUAUUAUGAAUUCUAAAAAAUUAUAUUAUUUAAAUCCUAAAAAAUUUCUAAAAUUAUAACAAAAUAGUUUAUUAUAAAAAUUAAUUUAUAUAUUAAAAAAGUAUUAUGAUAUCUUUAUUUAUAAAAUCAACAGAACUUAUUUAUGUGCCUAUACUAUAUAUAUAAAAACAAUAUACUUAUUCAUAAAAAUGUUAUAUUAUCAUAACUUAUUCUAAAGCUAUAACAAAAAAUAUAUUAUUUAUAAAAAAUGCUAUGAAAAUUUUAGAUAAUAUAUAAAACUUUUUUUUAUAAAUGUUAUAUAUUGUUUUUACUUAAUUUAUGAAUUAUAAAAAGAGAUAUAACUAUUUCUCCAAAUUAAGUUUUUAUAAUUAAAACUAUAGACUACAUGGACUGUGAACCUAAAUAUUAUAAGGUUAAUGCUAAUUAUCCAAAUAGAAAAGAUUUUCUUGCAACAUAUCUUACAGUGUGAUACCAUUUGAAAGAAUGGUGCCAAAAACAAGCACUAUAGACAUAUUACAAACUCGUUAAUUUGAGACAUUGAAUGCUUCAUAAUGUGGUUAAGAAGACAUUUAUUGUUCUAGAAAAUAUUUCUCAUAUUAACAUUAUCACCUUAGUAUAACAUAAAAAAAAGGUUAAAUCAUACUAGCGUGUUGCAUAUUUCAUAACGUUAAUAAUAGGUGAAAUUGAGAUAAUCCAUACUUUGACGAGUACAUAAAAGAAGGAGAUUGAGAUCUUAAUAAUCUUAAUGAUGUAGAUUCAAAUUCAAAUUAUGAUUAACUCGAUUAAUUACCAUCAUAUGAUGAUAAUAAGGAACAUAUGUUAAAUAUUAAAGAGGAAACAACUCAACCAAUAUACACUAGAACGAUUAAAUAAAAUUGUAUGUGAUGUUUGUUUUUCUUGCUAUUUUUAUUAGUAAUCGUAUUAUCAACUACUUUUUUAGACUAACAUAAUACAUAUGAUUAUUAGAUUUUAAUUUUUGUUACUUGUUUAGAAAUUAUUUUUUAUCAUACUAAUAAUUUCUUAUCAUAAUUAAUAUUUUUAAAUUAUGAAUUGUGUAACUUUGUAAUUAAAAUUUAUAAUUUUUAUGAUUUUUUAAAUAAUUUUUAAUUUUUAAAAGUGCUUACUUUUUUUUUCAAUUUGUUACUAAGGCCUUUUUGACCAUUUAGUCUUAUCAGUUUUAAAAUUUUCUAAUUUACUUCCAAUAAAAGAGUAGGGGUCAAAUUGAAUAAAUAUGUAAAGAUUAAGGACUAAAUUUAUUAUUAUACCUUAUAUAUAAACAUCAAAUUUUGACAGAGGGGUUACUUUACUCUCUCAUCUAGCAUCUAGCGUACAUGAAUUAAUUUACUCAUUUUUACAAUAGAUGAACUGAAAUGCAAUUUAAGAUAUAGUAUAGGAAGUUUUGUGGUACUUUUACCGGAAUUUUUUUAUAACUAAUAAAAUUAUGACAUGCGUAAUUAGGGACUUUAAUAGGUAAAGAUAAUAUAUUAGGAGUUUAUUUAACUACAAAAUAAGUAUAAGUGGUUGUUGAAAUAUGAUUUAGUAGUUGAAGGGGUUUUUUUUAUAUAUUAGCCAUAAAAUCUCUUCUACCAUAUAUAAAAUAGAAAUAAGUACAUAAAAAUCCAUAAAAGGAUAUAAAAUAGAAAGAUCCUAUGCUGUACCUUCUAUCUAAGUCGCCAGAGCGGGCAUCCGUGGAGUGAAUUAACUCCUUUAUAUCCAUCCUUAGAGUCCGUUGUUUGCUUUGUUUGCUUUCUUUUUUUUAAAAUUAAUUUAGUGGUACAAUUAAAGUAUAAAUAUACGUUUCAAACCGUAUAACUGAACGUAGCAGGAUAUGAAGAUAUCUGAACAAGUAAAAUCAAAUUAUUAUAGUACAGAAUUAAAAAAAAUCAAAUAAAACGACUAAUUCAAACAAAAAUCUACACAUGACAUCAACAUAUGAUGAGACUUUAAAAUCUACUCGUAUAAUUACCCAUGAUAAUUUCGAACUAGUAUACUCAUGAUUCAAAGAUAUUUUCUUUUGCUGACGAGCCAAAGCCUCAUAAGCAAAAUCGUCCUUAAUUGCAUUGUUAUGAACGACGUUUUCUAUUUUACCUAAGAAUAUUUAAAUAUCAAAUCAUAAAUUAAAAGCAUAAUGAUUUAUUUCACCUUUCAAAUUUACAAGUUAUUUUAGUUUCUCAUUUAAUUUUUCGUUUUUUUAACUUUUAAAUUUGUGUCAUUUGUCAAAUUGCUCUAAAAUGGAUAGAAAAUUAAUAUUUGUUGACUUUAUUGAUGUGACAUACGCAUGGGUUACCAUAUGAAUACUAGAUAAGCAAUUAAUUAAUUUUUUAAAAUUUAAAAAUUUUAAAAAUAUACAAAGUGUUUUUGAAAAUUAAAAUUAUAAAAAAAAUUUAAUUUUAAAAAAAUAAUCAAGUACUAAUGUGAUAUACUAUAUUAACACAAUUAACAAACAUUAAUUUUUAGGUGAUUUGACAAAAUAAAAUGAAUAGUUAAAAUAAAUUUUUUUAUAAAAUUAAACAACCAAAAAAGUCAUGCUUAAAUUAAAUCCCUUAAUUACUCGUAUUAAAGGUGGAUAGAUACAAUUUAAAAUAAUCACCCAAACAUUAGAACAAAGUUUAGCUUAGUUAAAUGAAAAGAUUAUAUUGGUAAGAAUAUGAAAUUAAUAAACCAAAUAUAAAAAUAUAUAUUUGAGUUGAAGUUAAAAACAAUACACUUUCCCAAAGUAUAGCUAAUGACAUUAAAGUUUAAUAUUUAGGCUGCGGGCUACAAUUUUGUGGCAGCCGCCUCAGUCCUUCCCCCACCCCACCCAACCCAACCCCAAAUGCAAACCCAUUAACCCCAAAAUCAGAACCAAAAAUUAAAAUAAAGAAGACACCCCAAGUACCCAAUUUGUCAAAAAGAGACAUCACCCUAACAAAACAAAAGUUGGACCAUCAAGGGUAAAACUGGAAAUGGCUUUUCCUAACUUAUGGGGCUAAUAUUUUUCUUUUUUUCUUUUNNNNN